CUGCGCGUAAUUGCUGGCCGGAGAUGGGAAUCGACGGUGGCUGACUGAUUUGGUAGAAGUCCUACUUGACAGACUAGGGUAGGAGUAUGCUCAGUUUCUUUGUUAUGGCUUAUACACAGAGCAGAUGGCUGCAGGUGGACGAUGCUGCGAGUGGGCGGUGGCGCACGUCGACAUGAGGCCAGAGUUUUGGAGAACGCAUCCUACCACGAACAGGUGAUAACUUAAGUACUAGGAGGAGUACUAGUUCUCAUCAUUGUCUCGAAGAAAACGUGACGGUUUAUUACGGCUGGAUAAUACUACAAGGUCCAGCGUUCGAUCUCUGGACCGUGUAUUAUAUUAGCGAACGUCAUUUAUUUAUUUUUCGAUCGAUGAAACCUCCGGUGGGCCGGGUACUGUGUCAGCGCGGGUACUGUGUCAGCGCGCGCGUAUGCCGAGUCGGCCCACGCGGACGAGCGCACAGGUCGUAUGCUCUAAAAAUUGUCCCACCUCGCCUGCUGUGGGACGCUGUGCCCAGCUUAUAUACUCUCUUCCUCCGAUCACAUUACAUCCACGGGGACAACCAGCUCAGAAAGAGGCCUUAGAGCCCACGAAAAUAAGAAAAGAGGCUUCAGAUUCAGAGCCCACGAGAAAAAGAAAAAGAGGCCUUCACAGCCCAGGAGGCUUUAGUAGAGCCCACGAGAAAAAGAAAGAAAAGAGGCCUUUAUAGAGCCCACAAAAGAAAAAGAGCCAGAGCCAAAAAAAAUGGACUGAGGCCAGAGGCACNNNNNNNNNNNNNNNNNNNNNNNNNNNNNNNNNNNNNNNNNNNNNNNNNNNNNNNNNNNNNNNNNNNNNNNNNNNNNNNNNNNNNNNNNNNNNNNNNNNNNNNNNNNNNNNNNNNNNNNNNNNNNNNNNNNNNNNNNNNNNNNNNNNNNNNNNNNNNNNNNNNNNNNNNNNNNNNNNNNNNNNNNNNNNNNNNNNNNNNNNNNNNNNNNNNNNNNNNNNNNNNNNNNNNNNNNNNNNNNNNNNNNNNNNNNNNNNNNNNNNNNNNNNNNNNNNNNNNNNNNNUACCCGUGGAGACUGUGCUAGACAUUAGCACAUGGCUUUUUUUAGUUUUGAUCUAUUUCACAACCUAUUUUUAAAACUCCCUACUAAUUUUUUCCUGAUAUAUAUAGCAUGACAAACAAUUUAUUAAUUCAUGGUGGUCAUUUUUAUCCUCCAACUAGGAGUGUGAAAAUGCCCAAAAUAGGAACAUGUAUUUUUUAUCUUUGUCAUAGCCUUUUUUUAACUCCUAUUUUUUCCCCUGAUAUAUACCAUGAGAAACAGUUUGUUUAUUUAUGGCGGUCAUUUUUAUCCUCCAACCAAGAGUGUGAAAAUGCCCAAAAUAAGAAAAGAGGCCUUCACAGCCCAGGAGGCUUUAGUAGAGCCCACGAGGAAAAGAAAGAAAAGAGGCCUUUAUAGAGCCCACAAAAGAAAAAGAGCCAGAGCCAAAAAAAUGGACCGAGGCCAGAGCCAACCCAAAAAAAAAGAGGCGACGUACCCGUGGAGACUGUGCUAGACAUUAGCACAUGGCUUUUUUUUAGUUUUGAUCUCUUUCACAACCUAUUUUUAAAACUCCCUACUAAUUUUUUCCUGAUAUAUAUAGCAUGACAAACAAUUUAUUUAUUUAUGGCGGUCAUUUUAUCCUCCAACUAGGAGUGUGAAAAUGCCCAAAAUAGGAACAUGUAUUUUUGAUCUUUGUCACAGCCUUUUUUUAACUCCUACUAUUUUCCCCCUGAUAUAUACCAUGAGAAACAGUUUAUUUAUUUAUGGCGGUCAUUUUUAUCCUCCAACCAGGAGUGUGAAAAUGCCCAAAAUAGGAACAUGUAUUUUUUAUCUCUGUCACAACCUUUUUUUAACUUCUAUUUUUUCCUGAUAUAUAUACGAGAAACAAUUUAUUUAUUCAUUUAUGGUGGUCUCUUUUAUCCUCCAAUCAGGAGUUUGGAAGUGCCCAAAAUAGAACAUGUAGUAUUGAUCUCUGUCACAAAUUUAUUUGUGGGGUUCACUUUUAUCGUCCAACCAAGAUUAUGUAAAUGCCCAAAAUAGAAACAUGUAGAACGCUGAGCUAAAAUAUAAUAGACCCGAUGUAGAACAAACAUUUACAUUAUCGCGAACCAAUCUAUGGUUGGAUGGUUAGAGAGUCUUUGGUAUCCCCAGUCCACUAGGGUUCAAGUCCUCGUGCUCGCAUUUAUUUUUGGAUUUAUUUCAGGAUUUCCGGUGAUGCGCAUUCAGUCGGAGGAGACGUUCCCGUCGACAACGAGGUGCCUACGGUGGUUUCGUAAAUUUCAAGUUGAUAUGCCGGCUAAGUCUUUCAGAGGUGCUCAUAGGAAUAGGGUGCAUGUGUGUGUGUUCAUAGGGGUGAGUGUAUGCGCGUGUAUAUGAGCGCUUGCGUCUGUACCGUGUUAAAAUAAACAUGUACACUGUCCAAUAAUCUUUAAUGCUCAAGUCCUGAUAAGUAAAAUGCAUUUUCUAAGGGGAGUAGGUAAAAUGCAUUUGAUGUUUAGAAAGACAACAACAUUAUCAUUACCACAUGGCUUUUAAUUUUUUUGAUCUUUGUCUCGAUAAACAAACUAUUUGUGGCGGUCACUUUUAUUCUUCAACCAGGAAUAUGAAAAUGCUCAAAAUAAAGCAUCCUGAGCAAAGUUUCAGAUCGCGGGCGAAAACAGCACGAUCGCGGUGCUAUCGCCUGCUGGAGCGCUUCCCGUGACGCAAUCCCGUAAAAAAUGCGAUCUGCCGCUAACCGUGUGAUUGCGCACGAAACGGCGCUAUUUGACUUCGUUGUUGCUGCAAAAUCACGGGCAUGGGCCGAAAGACUGAAGCACAAGGGCCUAAAGGCCCCAAACAGACCAGAACGGCCCAAAUUCGCGAUGGUAUAUGUAGGACCUUGAAGUAUGUCUAGAGGGGGGGGUGAUUAGACUACUUGGCCAAUUAAAAACUUAACAUUUUUCCAAUUUUAGAGUUUGGCAGAUUUUAGCUAUCUUAGGACAAGUCAAGCAAUCAUCACACAAUUCAAGCAAGCAUGCAAAGAGUAUAUAGGCAGCGGAAAUUAAAGCAUGCAACUUGCAAGAAAGUAAAGGGAAGGGUUUGGAGGAUUCAAACGCAAUUGGAGACACGGAUGUUUUUGGCGUGGUUCCGAUAGGUGGUGCUAUCGUACAUCCACGUUGAUGGAGACUUCAACCCACGAAGGGUAACGGUUGCGCGAGUCCACGGAGGGCUCCACCCACGAAGGAUCCACGAAGAAGCAACCUUGUCUAUCCCACCAUGGCCAUCGCCCACGAAGGACUUGCCUCACUAGCGGUAGAUCUUCACGAAGUAGGCGAUCUCCUUGCCCUUACAAAUUCCUUGGUUCAACUCCACAAUCUUGUCGGAGGCUCCCAAGUGACACCUAGCCAAUCUAGGAGACACCACUCUCCAAGAAGUAACAAAUGGUGCGUUGAUGAUGAACUCCUUGCUCUUGUGCUUCAAAUGAUAGUCUCCUCAAUACUCAACUCUCUCUCAUAGGAUUUGGAUCUGGUGGAAAGAAGAUUUGAGUGAAAAGCAACUUGGGGAAGGCUAGAGAUCAAGAUUCAUAUGGUAGGAAUGGAAUAUCUUGGCCUCAACACAUGAGUAGGUGGUUCUCUUUCAGAAAUGGUAAGUUGGAAGUGUAGGUUUUAGUCUGAUGGCUCUCUCCAUGAAUGAAGAGGAGGUGGAGGGGUAUAUAUAGCCUCCACACAAAAUCUAACCGUUACACACAAUUUACCAAAUCCGGUGGGACCGAUUCAACAGACUCGAUCGGACAGAUUUAGUAAACCUAGUGACCGUUAGGAUUUUCGGUGAGACUGACAUGCAACUCAGUGAGACUGAUUCGGUUCGGGUUAGGGCAUAACAUAAUCUCGGUAAGACCGAUUACACAAACUCGGUGAGACUAAUUUUGGUAAUAAGCUUUCCAGAGAGUUGGUCAGGUAAACUCGGUGGGACCGAUUUGCUCUUUUCGGUGAGAUCGAAAUGUUACAAAAGGGAAACAGAGAGUUUACAUUGCAAUAUCGGUGGGACCGAUCGCUCACUUCGGUUAGACCGAAACGUUACGAAGGGAAACAGAGAGAUUACAAUCCCAUCUCGGUGAGACCGAGAUCCCUAUCAGUAAGACCGAUUUGCUUAGGGUUUGUGGCAGUGGCUAUGACAAUCAAAAUCGGUGGCACCGGAUAGAAAGAAUCGGUUUGACCGAUUUUGGCUUUAGGUUUAGGUCAUUUGUGGAUGUGAGAAAGUAGAUGAGGGUUUUGGAGCAUAUCACUAAGCACAUGUAGCAAGAGGCUCAUUAAGCAACACCUCAUCCCUCCUUGAUAGUAUUGACUUUUCCUAUAGACUCAAUGUGAUCUUGGAUCACUAAAAUAUAUAAAAUGAAGAGUCUUGAGCUUUUGAGCUUGACCCAGUCCUUUGUCAUUAGUAUUUUGAGGGAUCCACUUUCAUCAUCCAUGUCAUGCCAUUCAUUGAGCUUUUCUGAAAUAAUAGUCUUGGAAUAGCAUUAGCUCAAUGAGCUAUAUGUUGUUAUGAAUUACCAAAACCACAUAGGGAUAGUUGCACUUUCAAUCUCCCCCUUUUUGGUAAUUGAUGACAACAUAUAGAUCAAAGCUUCGACAAAUGAUAAUAAGAUUUAGAACAUCGUCGCUUUGAGAAGUAUGUGAUAAGCAAGAGCUCCCCCUAAAUUUGUGCAUAGUUUAAGAUUUGCUUUGGACUGCAAAUGCACAAGGAAUUAGGCUCAUGGGUUAAUCUUCCAUGUCACAUACAUCUUGGUGGAGCGCUCAAAAUGAUAAAGAUUGAAUACAUGCACUCAUCACCAAGCAAAGUGAAUGAUCGCAUAGGAUAGAUAAGAUAAUAUCAUCAAACAUGCAUAAGUGUAGCUUAUGAUCAAACACAUGAUCAUCAAUGUCUCACAAGAACAGCAUAGUAUCUCAAGCAAUCAAAAUCAAACAAGUUUAACCACCAAAUCAAGAGAGAAUAAAAGCAACACUCUCUCUCUCUCUCGAAGCCUAUGAUCUAUACAUUUUUCUCCCCCUUUGGCAACAAGUUACCAAAAAGUUCAUAGAAAAGGCAUAGUGCUAGAUUGACUCUCAGGCUUGAUCUUCAGGUGGUGGUGUCCGGAUAACUCCAAGAACGAAGGCUUCAGUUAAAGUAGAGGGUGCUGGAGUUGAUGCUGGAGUUGGUUGCACUGGAGCAGUAGGAGCUGUAGCUGGUGCAGAUGAUGUGGCUCUGGUGUCUGUGACAGGCACUCUAGCUGACCUGUGAGCUCUAGGCACUCUGGCAAAUACAUUAGUGGUAGUCUUGCCCUGCCUCUCCUGCAUGUCAUCCUGUAGCUGCUCCACAACAGACUGAAUCUCAGUUACUUUGACAUCAAGAUCAUGAAAUUUGAGUUCCAUGAUUCUUUCCAAGCUCUCCUGAUUUUGAGUGAGGGUGGCCAAUCCCUUCUCAAUCCUCAGAGUUGAUGCUAUUAAGUAACCAAGCUGCUCCUGCUUGUUCUUCAAGAAAUACUCAGAUGCCUCCUCUUGAGUUGGCAUCCUGGCAGCCUUCUCCUUCCUUGCCUUCUCCUUCUUCUCUUGAGCUUCUACUGAUGAUGGAUCAUUCUCAUUCAUGACAACCUGAUUGUCCUCAAAAUCUGGAUAGAGAGGAAAAUGUUCCUUAUCCAAUAGAUAUUUGCCUGUGUCCAUCUUUGAGUUAAUCAACUCCUGAAUCCGAGGGGCAUAUCCACAACUCCUCUUCUGAUCUGCUGCAGUCCUCUUAAUGGUUUCAACUAUAAGGCUCAUGACCUUGAAUUUCUGUGGCACAUCAAACAAAUGCAACAUGUUGAUUGCAUGCCCUCUGAUCAUGUUGUGGUCACCAGACUUAGGCAACAGAGUGUGCCUUAAGAUCCAAUUGAUAGUUGGCAACCCUAACAGAAGAAAGUGGACUGAUCCAAACUUAUGUGUCUCAACAGCUUUGUCCGGGAUCUCCUUGUACAUGCGUGCCAUGGAAUUGUGGUCCAUCUUCUUUUUGGCAUAAAUAUCCAAGUCAUCAUCAUUUUCCUUUGGGGCAUUGAUCAGUCUUUCCCAUUCCUCAACAGUGGACUGGUACCUUGUAGCUUCAGACAUCCAAACUAUCCUUCCAUCUGGAUAAAAGUGUUUUGUGGAGUAGAAUUGCAUGAUAAGUUCAUCAUUCCAGUUGGUGAGCUUUUUCCCAACAUAAUCUGCAACUCCACAAGCAACAAAGCUGUCUUGCACUCCAGGAUAGUGUUCCUCAUUUUCCUUCAUAUAGGUCUAGUCGACCCACCUCAUGUCACACACUAUGGGCUUCUUAUCCCACAAGAUUGUCUCAUAGAAGUCCUGCUGUUCCUUUGUAUGGAACAUGUAAUCAACAGCAGUUCUUCUUUCUUGAGGCAUAUGGAUCUGUCAUCCUCCAUAGCCUCAACCCUGAGUCCUUUCUGAUCCUCAUGUCCUCAGCCACAGGAUGGGCAUCAUUGUGGUCUGGUAUCUUGGGCUUGAGCUUCCUUAGGACCUGUCCUUCUUCAUCUUCCUCAUCAGCAACAUUAGGCACUGGGGCCUUAUUCUUCUCAGCAGCUGGAAUACUCCUGGUAUUCCUCUUUGGUGCAAGCUUGGCCUUGGGGGCAGCUUUGGGUGCUUCCUUGGGCUUAGAUGUUGCAGCCCCUGAUCUAAUAGCAUCACCCAUAAGCUUUGGUGCCUUGGGUGCUGGUGCAGCAACCUCUUCUUCCUCUUCAGAAUCUCUUCUCAUUGAGGGCUUUCCAAGAACUUGGGCAGUUGUGGUUCUUGCUCUCUUCUUCUUCUUAUCCUAAGCUGCUUCAUCCUCUGAUUCAAUGGUAAACUUCAUAGUUUCUCCAGUAGGGACUUUCUUGGAUUUGGAAGUUGUGCCUUUUUUUGCAGGUGCCUCUUUGGGUUCUGACUGUUCUAGCACUUGAGUGGACCUUCUGACCUUGGGCAUAGGUGUCCUCUUGGCUGGAACCUUCUUAUUCAGUCCAGGCUUUGUGCUAUGUGCUAGGCCAUACUCCUUUUUGAGCACUGCCUUCUUGGAGGUAGCCUCAUCUUCUUCUGCUCUAUAAUCUUCAUCCUCAGAAUUUGAGGUUCUUUUCUUCCUUUGCCUGGUAGCAGCUUUAGGCAGAUUGCUAGGAGUGCUUCUGCUGCCUUCAUCUGAAGUGCUUGAGGGACUAGUGCCCUCACUCAUGUGAAUCUGCUCUUCAUCCCUGUUCUGGCUGUCACUCUGGUCUGACAUGCUGCAAACGCUGACUGCUGACCCUGUGAAGAGUUAUAGAUGAGAUAGAAUGGAUGAGCAUCACAAAAUGCAGAGAUUUUUGCAAAAGAAUGAUUCAAAAAUUCAGUUUUAGUUUUCCACAGAAAGCAUUUCAGAUCAACCGAUUUUCAAACUCGGUGAUACCGAAGCAGUUUUGGAACCUAAACUGAUGAACUCGGUUGGACCGACUCACAGUUCGGUGGCACCGAGACUGCUAGGGUUUCACAAAGUCCUAAAAUCGGUCUCACCGAUUAGCAAUUCUCGGUCAGACCGAGAGUUACUAGUGCAAUGGCAUUAGCCAAAUCGGUGGGACCGAGUUUUUCAACUCGGUGGGUCCGAGAUGGUUUCGGCGGAAACCUAACCCUAAAAUUUCGAAUCUCAUCUAAUCUACGGAUUGCAUUGACUGGAUAGGAGUGUUUCAAUCAUGGCAAGAAUCAAUAAGAACACAAUGUGCUAGGAAUCGGACGAGGAUAACACAGUGAUCGAGUCCAUACCCUAGCUUGGCGAUGAACUCGCUACGGCGGCAACGGCGGGGUUGAAAUCCGUUGACGGCGGCGGAGACCAGCGACAGGAGGCGGCUGGCGACAAGGAGACGAUCCAGAGACCUUGGAGGCAGAGCGAGCUAUUGCGCGGGCGAAGGGUUCGGAGGAAUUUUCAAAUUUUUGCCCAUGACUAUAUAUAGCCCGACCCUGUUGGUGUGACCGAGUGGAACAACUCGGUGGCACCGAGAUGCAUAACUGUGUACAGUUACAGCAACUCGAUGUGACCGAAAAGUUCAAAUCGGUUGCAUCGAGAUUGAAAACUUAGAUCGACUUAAUGAUCUUAGUAGGACCGAAAUGGAGGAAUCGGUCAGACCAAGAAUCACAAAGAAGUUUUGGAAGUUUAAGUCAAUGACGAAUCGGGGACUCCGAGUGCUCCUCACACAGAGUGGUUCGAAUCUGACUUGAUCAAAUUUUGUGAUGUAGCAUGAAUAGAGUUUGAGACGAGAAAAGCAUAGACAGCUAGAGAAGGUUCUUAGGCAUUCUUGUCCAUCCACUUGGCAAAAAGAAAAAGAAGCCAAUCAAUCAAAACAACAAGUGGAUGUCCUUGAAUGAGUCAAAUAUGCACCAACAUGCUCACACAAUAAGAUGGCAAAUGAAAUGUGUGGCAAAACAUGCACAACCAAUUCUAGCAUCUAUCAAACAAUUGGCGAUGACUAGGUCAUCUAUAUAUGAGUAUAUUGACUUAGGAGUCAAAUGAAAAUAUUUGAUCAUAGGUCAUACUCAUCGUUUAAGCUCAAGUGGGGUUACCACUUUUACAUAAUGCAUUGAUGUGUUCACACCAUUAGAGUUGCUUUGACUCAAUUUUUAGAGUUAAGCUCCCCCUAGAUGUGAGAUCCCCUUUUAGAGAGAUGAACUAACCUUGGGUUUUGUCGAUGAUGACUUCAUGUAGGUGUUGAAGAUGUGGAUGCUCAAUGUUGAUGUAGAUCAUUUGGAGUAAUCCUUUGGAGUGAGUUGCACUUUCAACUUACCUACAUGGGUUAGUCCCACAAGGAACAAACAAGAAUAUCCAUAGACAUAGAGUGAUGCACACACAAGAUGAUGUCCAUGAAAUCAUUAGGUUACCUUGUCCCUUGCCUUACCAACAUGAGGGUUUGUGACUCCUUGAACUAGUGCAAGAUGUGGAAGCUGACUGCACUUGUUCUUGCCAUAAUGAUAUGAGUGAAGAAUGUUGGCGGAGUCACCCUCAAGGACUCUCUAGUUCUUCUUUUUCGGGAUCCACAUCAUCUUGAUGGGAAUCCUUGGAGUUGUAGUUGUACUUGAUGAGGUAGAACUUGACGUAGUCUUGGGAACCCACUUGAACGAGGCCUUAGGUGCUUCUUCAAAUGCAUCGAUCUCUUCUUGAAGCUUGUCCUUGCCUUUGUUCUUGUGGUCUUGUGGUGGAAGAUCAUCUUGUGCUUGUGUUCCCUUGAAGGAAGUAGGAUCAUACUUCUCUUGUUGAGGAACAAACUUCGUCUUGGGGUAUUGAUCUUCUUCCCACUCAACUCCAUUGGCAUUGAGCUUUCGUUCAAAACCAACACCUUGAUUCUUCCGGUGCCUUCCUUGCUUGCAUACAAUUUCCUCAAAUUGCUUACUCCCGGCAAGGCUCUUGUAAACACCUUUCUCUAUAAUUCCCUUCAAUAAGCUAUUUUCUUGCUCAAAUGUAACUUGACUAAGAGAAUCAUUACUGGAAUCAAGAGAACUACUAGAAGCAACAAAAUUGGAUUUGACAUUAUUAUUGUUACUACUAGAGGAAGUAUCUUUCUUGUAGUUGUUACUAGACUUGACUUGAGGCAUGUAAGUAGAUAAGAGUAAACGCUUGGCAAUGUAAGAAGAACUUUUCUUACGGAGAUCAUCAUUGAUUGCUUUUAAGAACUCAUGCUCUUGCUCAAGAUUGAGCUUUUCAAAGCGUAACUUCUCAUGAGCCCUUAAAAGUUCUCGAUGAUCUUCGAAGAUAGUUUCAUGAGCUAACUUAAGAGUGUUUAGUUCUUUAGUUAGAAGCGCAAUCUUCUCCUUAUCAUUGUCAUUCGUUUUAUCUUGAUUAGCAUGGUUAAUUGACGUUUCAUCAUAGUAUUCAUCACUAGAGUUGUCAACAAGUAAAUCAUCAUCCACAAGCAAGUCAUCUUCAUCACUAUUGAAAUCAACAUACUCAGGAUGUGUUACCUUUGGACCUUUGGCCAUGAAGCAUCUUCCAAUUCCUUCAUUUGGUGAAUCAAAUAUGUCGUAGGAGUUGGUUGACACAAGUGCUAGGCCGACAACACCUUCAUCUUGAGUAUAUUCGGAGUCGGAGUGAUAGCUUCUCUCGGAGUGAUUGUCGGAGUCGGAGCCGGAUACCCAUUCACCAACAGUAGCUUGAUGUCUUUGUUUUGUGUAGCUCCUUGAUGACUUGUCCUUCCUUUCCAAAUCCUUGCUUCUCCGUGAGGGUCUUCGUUCAUAACGAUCAUCUCUACUCCUUCUCUCUCUUGGUGGUGAUUCUUCUCUUUUGCUUCUUCUUCUUGAAGAAUCUUCUCUUCUUUUGUAGGGUGCCGUACACUCAUUUGAAUAGUGUCCGGGUCUCCCACAAUUGUAGCAAUUGCGCUCUCGACUAGAAGAUCUUUUGUCAUUGUAAGACCUUGACUUGGAGCUUCUUUCUUUGCUUCUACUCUUGUAGAAUUUGUUGAAGUUCUUCACCAUUAAGCUCAAUUCUUCAUUGAAGGUUUGUUUCUCACUUGAUGAUGUGGGGGCUUCACUUGAGGCUUUGUAAGCACCACUUGACUUGUUGUGAAGUUCCUCCUUAUCCUUGAGUGACAUCUCAUGAGCAACAAUUCUUCCAAUGACUUCUGUUGGCUUGAGAUCUUUGUAGUUUGGCAUCAUUUGGAUCAAUGUGCACACGGUAUCAUACUUUCCAUCCAAUGCUCUUAGGAUCUUCUUGAUGAUGAAUUUGUCAGUCAUCUCUUCACUCCCUAAGCCGUCAAUCUCAUUUGUGAUAAGAGCAAGCCUAGAGUACAUUUCAGUGACACCUUCACCGUCCUUCAUUUUGAACUUGUCAAGCUGACUUUGGAGCAAAUCCAACUUGGAUUUCUUGACGGAUUCGGUACCUUCAUGCAUAUCAAUCAAAGUAUCCCAAAUUUCCUUUGCAUUCUCAAGACGGCUGAUUUUGUUGAAUUCUUUGGGGCACAAUCCGUUGAAGAUGAUAUCACAAGCUUGAGUGUUGUAUUGCAGCAUCUUCAAUUCUUCCGCAUUAGCUUCACGUUUCGGUUCUCCCCCAUCAAAGAAUUCACCUUGCAAGCCAAUACAAAUAAUUGCCCAAAUGGCGGGGUUAUGUCCGAGAAUAUGCAUUUUCAUCUUAUGCUUCCAACUAGUAAAAUUAGUACCAUCAAAGUAACAACCUCUACGGUGAUAGUUUCCCUCGCUAGACGCCAUACUCUCCUAGGUUGUGAAACCAAGGCUAUGACCACCAAAAGCUAUGGAAAUCAAAGCAAAUGGAGACCAAAGCUCUGAUACCACUUGCAGGACCUUGAAGUAUGUCUAGAGGGGGGGUGAUUAGACUACUUGACCAAUUAAAAACUUAACCUUUUCCCAAUUUUAGAGUUUGGCAGAUUUUAGCUAUCUUAGGACAAGUCAAGCAAUCAUCACACAAUUCAAGCAAGCAUGCAAAGAGUAUAUAGGCAGCGGAAAUUAAAGCAUGCAACUUGCAAGAAAGUAAAGGGAAGGGUUUGGAGGAUUCAAACGUAAUUGGAGACAUGGAUGUUUUUGGCGUGGUUCCGAUAGGUGGUGCUAUCGUACAUCCACGUUGAUGGAGACUUCAACCCACGAAGGGUAACGGUUGCGCGAGUCCACGGAGGGCUCCACCCACGAAGGGUCCACGAAGAAGCAACCUUGUCUAUCCCACCAUGGCCAUCGCCCACGAAGGACUUGCCUCACUAGCGGUAGAUCUUCACGAAGUAGGUGAUCUCCUUGCCCUUACAAACUCCUUGGUUCAACUCCACAAUCUUGUCGGAGGCUCCCAAGUGACACCUAGCCAAUCUAGGAGACAUCACUCUCCAAGAAGUAACAAAUGGUGCAUUGAUGAUGAACUCCUUGCUCUUGUGCUUCAAAUGAUAGUCUCCCCAACACUCAACUCUCUCUCAUAGGAUUUGGAUCUGGUGGAAAGAAGAUUUGAGUGGAAAGCAACUUGGGGAAGGCUAUAGAUCAAGAUUCAUAUGAUAGUAAUGGAAUAUCUUGGCCUCAACACAUGAGUAGGUGGUUCCCUCUCAGAAAUGGUAAGUUGGAAGUGUAGGUUUUAGUCUGAUGGCUCUCUCCACGAAUGAAGAGGAGGUGGAGGGGUAUAUAUAGCCUCCACACAAAAUCUAACCGUUACACACAAUUUACCAAACUCGGUGGGACCGAUUCAAGAGACUCGGACGGACCGAUUUAGUAAACCUAGUGACCUACGAGAGAAAAGGCAUUAGAAUUACUCCAAAAAGCAUUAUUAUACAAUAAAACAAUAUAAAUAACAGUAGGUAAACAUGAUGCAAAAUGGACGUAUCAACUCCCCCAAGCUUAGACCUCGCUUGUCCUCAAGCGAAAACCAAAAUCGAAAAACAUGUCCACAUGCUUAGAGAGAGGUGUCGAUAAAAACAAAAAUAUGGACAUAGCAGCAUCAUGUAACUUAUUAUAACAACAACACACUUUAACAUAAAACUUUUAUCAUAGAACUUUUAUCAUAGACUUCUCAUGGAUAAGUGACAAUUCAUCACAACAUCGAAGUAUAAAGCACAAACUCUUUAUGCCUCUUUUAAUUUUUGAUCUUUGUCUUGCAAACAAUUUUUUGUGGCGGUUACUUUUAUCCUCCAAUCAAGAUUAUUCAAACGCCCAAAAUAGAAACAUGUAGCAUGCUGAGCUAAAAAUAUGUCAGGACCCCGACUCAAUGCCACAUCGAUCUAGCAUGUAACACCUCAUAUCACUUUGCGGCCUCACGCACGGUAUUCCCACGGGUGUCGCCUUACCUUUGCCCGGGACCGUUUGCGUCUUUUGGCACACGUAUAUGAUAGUGUCGCUAGCAUCCAUAUGGUAAGGAGCCCGGGCUGACAUGGCUAGUCGUAAACCCAAAGUGGCACAAACUUACAGGGACAGGCAUCCAUGACCCAACAUCGAACAUGCCGGUCAUCAGCGAGUGAAUCCAGGCUGUAGCACUGGGCUAGCAGGACUCCGGUGAACCGGGCUGUAGCGGGCUAACAGGACUCCGAUAUUCAUCGCGUGACAUUUCCCCGAAGGGACAGACACAGGAACGAAGAAGGACACAUGCCGGCCAGCCUAAGUGUUCCGGAGCAGUAGCAAGCUACCAUGGCUCGGUGGAAACACUAGGAGACAUUUCCCGGUAAGAGAGGCUACUAAAGAUAAACAACUACAUAGUCAGAUCCCACACAUACCAAGCAUUUCAAUAACAUACACACAAUAUGCUCGAUAUGUGCAAUACAACAUGGCAUCACAAAAUGACUCUACGACUCAGUAUUUAUUCAAUAGGCUCCGAGGAGCGAGAUAUUACAAACAUGGGUCUCAUGACCCAACACUCAGAGCAUACAAGUCAAAGCACAAACGGAAGCUUAACAUGUCUGAGUACAGACAUCUAUAAAUGAAAAAGGCUGAGAAGCCUGACUAUCUACCAGAUCCUGCCGAGGGCACAAGAUCGUAGCUGAGGUAACAAGCUAAACAUCGAAGACCAUGCGGAACUACUAGCGAGACUGAAGUCUCUCUGCAAAAACAUAAAAUAGGCAAACGUGAGUACAAAUGUACCCAGCAAGACUUACAUCAGAACUAUCUACAUAUGCAUCAUUAUCAACAAAGGGGAUGGUGGGGUUUAACUGCAGCAAGCCAGCUUUGACUCGGUGGCUAUCCUAAACUACGACUGCAAAUAACUCUUUGAGGUGGCGCACACGAGUCCACAUAUUCACCAUAUUAAUACACCACUAUGGAUCCGCUCCCGUCUCCCUACGAGAACGCCAUCCAUAGCACUCACGCUUAUCUUGCGUAUUUUAGAGUAUGCACUUUCACUUGUCUAUGAACUGUACAAGGGGUCCAAGUUUCCAUAUCCGAGGAAUCCGGCUAUUCGAAUAGAUAGUGAUAACCCUGCAGGGGUGUACUUCUUCACACACGCUUUCGCCACUUAUCGCCCUGUACACGUCAUGUACCUCGGCAACCUUCAAGCGGAAGCCGGGCGAGGGAGUCGGCCACGACCUGACUAACCGAACAAGUCUCUAGUCCAGGUUUAUCGCCUAUUCGGGUUCCAUCCGCAAGGAGAUCCGGCCGGGGUGUCGCUCACGGCCCCAAACGAUGUGAGCAGGGUUCUCAAGCCCACCUCGACGGGUGGAUCUACGCUUGGUACACCGUGCCAUUGUGCCUAGUCUGUCCCAAGCCCACCUGUACCGGGUGCCACUUGGUAGACUACUAACACUACCUACAAACACCAGAAACUAGUUGCAACUCCUGGACAGAGAUCAAGUUGAUUAAUAAGUCGAGAGAGCUUGGAGCGCCCGGAGCCCAAUGUGUGGUAGUAACUGAUCAUGGAUCACAAACACAGAACUCGGUUCCUGAGGACGGCUGCAAUGAGACAACCCACCAUGUACUCCUACAUGGCCUCUCACCGCUACCUUUACCAAAUCGUGUUCACACACUUAGCUCACACACAGUAGGACAUGUUCACACGCCUCUGAUUCAUCCCCGAUGAAUCAGACCUGACUCAACUCUAAGCAGUAGCAGGCAUGACAAACAAACAUGAAUGAGUAGGCACAACAGGGCUCAAACAACUCCUACUCAUGCUAGUGGGUUUCAUCUAUUUACUGUGGCAAUGAUAGGUCAUGCAGAGGAUAAAGGGGUUCAACUACCGCAGCAAGUAACAGAUGAAUCGUUGUUGUCCUAAUGCAGUAAAAGAGAGCAGGAGCGAGAGAGUGGGAUUUUAUCGGAAUGAACAAGGGGUUUUUGCUUGCCUGGCACUUCUGAAGAUAAUAUAGCUCUUCGUCGGUGUCAUCGAUCACAUCGCCGGUACACGUCUAUCGAGAGGGGACAAUUACCGGCAAACAAGGAAAAACACAAUCAAUGCAAUGCGACAAUAUGAUGCAUGCUAUGACAUGGCAAUAUGAAUGUGUUUUGGGCUAAUGCACUUAGCUAUGAUUUAAAUGAAGUUGGUUUGAAUACAUGAUUCAAAUUCCAACUCCAUAUAUGAUUAUUUAAAUGCCCUUAAUUUGUUUUGUCCAAAACAGAGGACAAACAUUGUUUAAACAUGCAUGAAAAUGGUACAGAUGGAUUCCUUGAAUUUUUCUGAUAAUUUUUCAUAUAUAAAUUAUUUAAUUUGGAGUUACGGUUAAUUUUCUAUGAUUUAUUGAAGUUUUAGCUACUUCUGGAAUUUCCUGAUUAUUAUAAAAUAAACUAAAUUCCAGAAAAGGAAUAUUGCGUCAGCAUGACCUCACCCUGACGUCAUCAGGUCAACAGGGCGGGUCCAGGUCAAACCUGACGUGUGGGGGCCACACGUCAGUGACACAGGAACUAAUCCUGGUCAAACCCAGCGCUGGCUGGGGUUUGACCAGGGGUGGGGCCCACUGUCAGUGUCUGUAGGUUGAUUAACCAGCUGGGUUAGCUCCUAAUGACGGAGCCACGUCAGCUCCCGCCGGAGUUUCGCCGGCGACGACCAACGGAGCGGCGGAAACGCAUCGGGUUCGCGCUACAGGGCACAGUUUAGGGUGCGGUUGGGUUCUACGGCGAGCUGGGACUCGUGCGCAUCGAACGGUGGUGGUGGCCGUGCCGGUGAUGGCCGGUACCGAUGACGGCGAGCUCGUGAGCGGCGGCCGGAGUUCGGGUGGUGGCGGGUUUGGCGCUACGAGCGGUGGUUUGGCGCGCUGAGGGCACUAGGGAGAAGCUCUUGCUCCUCCGCAUCCAAAGGAACGGGCGGGAGGCCGCGAGGUGGCCGGAGUUGAGCACGGCGUCGACCUCGGCGGCGGCCGGAGCUCGGGCGAGCUCAGGGUCGGUGUUAGGGAGCACGGCAGGAGGUGUUGUGGGUGUCUACGGGUUCAUGCGAUCGUGCUGAGCACGAUGGUGGGCUCGGGAGUGAGCUGCGGUGGCUGUGGCCACGGCCACGCCAUGGCCGGCGGCGAGAAGCUCUCGGCCGAGGUGGGGAAGCUAGCUAGGGGAGGGGAACGACGGGGAUUCCAGGGGAAAAAAGAAGAGUGGCUCACGUAGGGACUAGCAGAGUCGACGACAAGGUCGGGGAAGCUCUGGACGACGCGAAUUUACGGCGGCGAUCUCCGGGCACCGGAGAUGAAGACGACGAUGCUCCGGUUGACUGGGGCCUCCUCUGGUCGCGUGCGUCAGUGUGCAGCUCCAUGGGGUCGGGACGGAGCUCAGGGGUGUGGAGAGGGAGCGAGGGGGUGGCUGUGGCCGCGGCGAACAGCGUCGGUGGCGACGAGCUCCGCUCGGGCAGAGAGGGAGAGAGAGCAGAGGAGAGGAUGAGGCGAGGGAGAGAGUGAGAGAGAGCCAGGGGCUGCGUGGCGCUCCGUGGCAUCGUCUAGGAGGGGCCGGGGAAGCAGGAGGUGGCCGGGGCGCGUGGCCGCGCGCGCCGGGCGCGUGCCCGUCCUCCUGGCAAGGGAGGAAGUCGACAGGGGGGUAGCGGUGGCGGGCUGGGCCGGCCAGCUGCAGUGCUGGGCCGGUUUGGCUACCAGGUGAGCGCCAGGUAGGCUUCUGCUCUUUUUUAUUUUUUUCUUCUGUUUUGUUUUAUUUAAUAUCUUUUGCCAUUGUUUUUGAAUUUUAAACAAAUUCAAACAAUGCCAAAAACUCCUCUGAAUAAUUUUAUUUGGCUAGAUGGACUUUUCCAAAAGCUCAUAAAAUAUUUCAGGGGUAUUUGAAAUUAUAUUCUAAUUAUAUGAAUAUAAUUCAAAUUCAAAUAGCUAAUGAUUUAAAUUCAAAGUCCCAAAAAUAAAUCCUUAAAAAUGUUCAAUAUUUUGGUUGGGACCAGAACCCUUGCCAAAAAUUAUCAAACAUUUAAGAAGAACAUUUUGGAACAAUGAAUGAGAUUUUAGGGUUUUUGCCCUUCUUUUAUUUAGGAUUUUGAGGCUUCCAAUUUUCCUCAGUUCAAGUUUCAAAAUUUAAACAUGAUGCACAGAUGGAAGCAAGCCUAGGUCAGGCCAGAACUAGGGAUGUGACAAAAUAUAACAGACCCGAUACAGAACAAACAUUUUCACUGCCCAAUAAUCUUCAAUGCUCAAGUCCUGAUAAGUAAAAUGCAUUUCUUUAAGGGGCGAAGGUAAAAUGCAUUUGAUGUUCAGAAAGACAAUAAUAACUAGUGACAUUAACAUCAACACAUGGCUUUUAAAAAUUUUGAUCUCUUGUCUCGGUAAACUAAUUAUUUAUGGCGGUCACUUUUAUCCUCCAACCAAGGGUAUGAAAACGCCCAAAAUAGAAACACGUAGCACACUGGGCUAAAAUAUAACAGACCUGAUCCAGAACAAACCUUUUCACUGCCAAAUAAUCUUCGAUGCUCAAGUUUUGAUAAGUAAAAUGCAUUUUCUAAGGGGCGAAGGUAAAAUGCAUUUAAUGUUCAGAAAGGCAAAAAUAACUAAUGGCAUUAAGCAAUAUGUCCUCUCUAGAUCAUAAGCACAAAACAACCGCAUUGACAUCCGUCUUGUUUCUUCCAACUAAUCCCUAUAAAUGAUAACCAGAAGACCCCGAUCCGACAUUAACUAUUUAUUUAUGUCUUUGCUAAUUUUUAAUCUAUGUCUUGUCAAACAAUUUAUUUGUGGUGUUCACUUUUAUCCUCCAACCAAGAUUAUGUAAAUGCCCAAAAUAGAAACAUGUAGCACGCUGAGCUAAAAUAUAACAUACCUGAUAUAGAACAAACAUUUACACUAUCACGAACCAACAUGUGUUUAGAUGGUUAGAGGGAUUGUGGUAUCCUUAGUCCAUCAGGGUUCAAGUCCUCGUGCUCGCAUUUAUUCCUGAAUUUAUUUUAGGAUUUCCGGCGAUGCGCAUUCAUUUAUUCUUGUAUUUAUUUCAGGAUUUCCGGUGAUACGCAUUCAAUGGGAGGAGAUGUUCCCGUCGACAACGAGGUGCCUAUGGUGGCUUCGUAAAUUUCAAAGUGAUAUGUCAUCUAAGUCUUCCGAAGGUGCUCAUAGGGGCGGGAUGUGCGUGUGUGCGUUCAUAGGGGUGAGUAUAUGCGCAUGUAUAUGAGCACUUGUGUCUGUACCGUGUUAAAAUAAACAUUUACAUUGUUUAAUAAUCUUUAAUGCUCAAGUCCUGAUAAGUAAAAUGCAUUUUCUAAGGGUAGUAGGUAAAAUGCAUUUGAUGUUUAGAAAGACAACAGUAACUAAUGACAUUAACAUUAGCACAUGGCUUUUAAAUUUUUUCAUCUAUGUCUUGAUAAACAAAUUAUUUGCGUCUGUCACUUUUAUCCUCCAACCAAGAAUAUGAAACUUCCGAAAAUAAAGCACACUGAGCUAAAAUAUAACAGGGCCGAUACAAAACAAACCUUUUCACUGCCCAAUAAUCUUCAAUGUUCAAGUCCUGAUAAGUAAAAUGCAUUUUCUAGGGGCGAAGGUAAAAUGCAUUUGAUGUUCACAAAGACAACAAUAACUAAUGACAUUAAGCAAGAUCUCAUCUCUAGAAUCAUAAGCACGAAACAACUAAUCCUUAAAUGACCAUAACCAGAAAACCCCGACCCGACAACUAAUCCUUAAAUGACCCAUAACCAGAAAACCCCGACCCGACAUAAACAAUUUAUUUAUGUCUUUUUUAAAUUUUGAUCUCUGUCUCGGUAAACAAUUUAUUUAUGGCUGUCACUUUUAUCCUCCAACCAGGAGUAUGAAAAUGCCCAAAAUAGAAACACAUAGCACGCUGAGCUAAGAUAUAACCGACCCGAUACAGAACAAACCUUUUCACUGCCCAAUAAUUUUCAAUGCUCAAGUCAUGAUAAGCAAAAUGCAUUUUCUGACAAGCAAAGGUAAAAUGCAUUUGAUGUUUAGAAAGACAACAAUAAUUAAUGACAUGAAGCAAUAUCUCAUCUCUAGAAUCAUAAGCAUGAAACAACUGCAUCGACAUCUGUCUUGUUUCUUCCAACUAAUCCUUAAAUGACACAUAACAAGAAGCCCCCGGCCCGACAUAAACAAUUUAUUUAUAUGUUUUUUAAUUUUGAUCUCUAUCUUGGUAAACAAUUUAUUUAUUGUGGUCACUUUUAUCCUCCAACCAAGAGUAUGAAAAUUCCCAAAAUAGAAACAUCAAGCAGGUUGAGCUAAAAUAUGACAGACCCAAUACAGAACAAACAUUUUCAUUGCCCAAUAAUCUUCAAUGUCAAGUCGUGAUAAGUAAUGCAUUUUCUCGGGGUGAAGGUAAAACACAUUUGAUGUUCAAAAGGACAACAAUAACUAAUGAGAUUAAGAAAUAUCUCUUCUUAAGAAUCAUAAGCAAGAAAUAACCGCAUCGACAUCCAUCUUGUUUCUUCCAACUAAUCCUUAAAUGAUCCAUAACCAGAAGACCCGGACCCAGAAUAAACAAUAUAUUUAUGGCGGUCACCUUUGUCCACCAAGACGUGAAAGAUGCUCAAAAUACAACAUGUAGCAAUAUGAGCUAAAAUAUCACAUACUCGAUACAGAACACACCUUUUUACUUCCCAAUGUCUUUCCUUUAUCCACAAUAUCUCUCAUGCUCAGGUCCAAAUGAGUAAAUGCAUUUUGGGGGGAGGUAAAGGUAAAAUGCAUUUGGUGUUGAGAAUGGCAACAAUAACUAUUCGCAUUAAGCAAUAUCUCAUCUCUAGAAUCAUAAGCGGGAAACAACCCAUCUUGUUUCUUCCAACUAAUCUUGAAAUGACCCAUAGUCGGAAAGACCCCAACCCUUCAAAACAAUUUAUUUGUGGCGAUCACUUUUAUCCUCCAACAUGUGAACCAAUAGUAUGAAGAUGCCCAAAUUAGUACAUGUAGCGCGAUGAGCUAAACUAUCACAAACUCGGUAUGGGACACGUUUUUACUGCCCAAUCAUGUGUCCUUAUCCACAAUAUCUCCAGUGCUUAAGUCUUGAUAAGUAAAAUGCAUUUUAUUGGGGAAGGGGGUAAAGGUAAAAUGCAUUUGAUGUUGGGAAGGACAACAAUAAUUAAUUAUAUUAAGAAAUAUCUAAUCUCAAUAAUCAUAAGCACAAAAUUGAAAGAAAUAUGCCCCAGAGGCAAUAAUAAAGUUGUUAUUCAUAUUUCCUUAUAUCAUGAUAAAUGUUUAUUAUUCAUGUUAGAAUUGUAUUAACCGGAAACUUAGUACAUGUGUGAAUACAUAGACAAAACAAAGUGUCUCUAGUAUGCCUCUACUUAACUAGCUCAUUAAUCAAAGAUGGUUAUGUUUCCUGACCAUAGACAUGUGUUGUCAUUUGAUGAAUGGGGUCAUAUCAUUAGAGAAUGAUGUGAUGGACAAGACCCAUCCGUUAGCUUAGCAUAAUGAUUGUUAAUUUUUAUUGCUAAUGCUUUCUUCAUGACUUAUACAUGUUCCUUUGACUAUGAGAUUAUGCAACUCCCGAAUACCGGAGGAACACCUUGUGUGCUAUCAAACGUCACAACGUACCUGGGUGAUUAUAAACAUGCUCUAGAGGUGUCUCCGAAGGUGUUUGUUGGGUUGGCAUAGAUCGAGAUUAGGAUUUGUCACUUAGUGUGUCGGAGAGGUAUCUCUGGGCCCUCUCGGUAAUGCUCAUCACUAUAAGCCUUGCAAGCAAUGUGACUAAUGAGUUAGUUACGGGAUGAUGCAUAACGGAACGAGUAAAGAGACUUGCCGGUAAUGAGAUUGAACUAGGUAUGAAGAUACCGACGAUUGAAUCUCGGGCAAGUAACAUACCGUUGACAAAGGGAACAACGUAUGUAGUUAUGCAGUUUGACCGAUAAAGAUCUUCGUAGAAUAUGUAGGAACCAAUAUGAGCAUCCAGGUUCCGCUAUUGGUUAUUGAUCGGAGAAGUGCCUCGAUCAUGUCUACAUAGUCCUCGAACCCGUGGGCUCCGUACGCUUAACGUUCGAUGACGAUUUGUAUUAUGAGUUAUGGUGACCGAAGUUUUGUUCGGAGUCCCGAAUGAGAUCAAGGACAUGACGGGGAGUCUCGAAAUGGUCGAGAGGUAAAGAUUGAUAUAUUGGAAGGUUAUAUUCGAACACCGGAAUGGUUUCCGGAAGUUUCAGAUAAGUUUCGGAGUACCGGGGAGGUUACCAGACCCCCCCCCCCCCGGGAAAGUAAUGGGCCAACAUGGGACUUAGUGGAGAAGAGAGGGCCAACCAACUAGGAGUGUGAAAAUGCCCAAAACAGGAACAUGUAUUUUUUAUCUUUGUCACAGCCUUUUUUUAACUCCUACUAUUUUUUUCCUGAUAUAUACCAUGAGAAACAGUUUAUUUAUUUAUGGCGGUCAUUUUUAUCCUCCAACCAGGAGUGUGAAAAUGCCCAAAACAGGAACAUGUAUUUUUUAUCUUUGUCACAGCCUUUUUUUUAACUCUUACUAUUUUUUCCUGAUAUAUACCAUGAGAAACAGUUUAUUUAUUUAUGGCGGUCAUUUUUAUCCUCCAACCAGGAGUGUGAAAAUACCCAAAAUAGGAACAUGUAUUUUUUAUCUCUGUCACAGCCUUUUUUUAACUUCUAUUUUUUCGUGAUAUAUAUACGAGAAAAAAUUUAUUUAUUCAUUUAUGGCGGUCUCUUUUAUCCUCAAAUCAGGAGUUUGGAAGUGCCCAAAAUAGAACAUGUAGUUUUGAUCUCUAUCACAAGCUUUUUUUUAAUCCUACUAAUUUUUUCAUGAUAUAUACCAUGAGAAACAGUUUAUUUAUUUAUGUCCGACACUUUUAUCCUCCAACAAAGAGUAUGAAAAUGCACAAAAUAGGAACAUGUGGCACUAUGAGCUAAAAUAUAACAAACCCGAUAAAGAACAAACAUUUUCACUGCCCAAUAAUCUUCAAUGCUCAAAUCCUGAUAAGUAAAAUGCAUUUGGGGGGUGGAGGGGGCAAAGAUACAAUGUAUUUGAUGUUUAGAAAGACUCAUAUCUACAAUCAUAAACACGAAAACAACCGCACCGACUGUGACGUCCGGAUAAUUAAGCUAUAGUAAUCCCCCGCUAAUGGUGCCAUGUCAUCACAUUACUGUUGCUAAUCCUCACUUGAUCAAAAUCAUGAUUCAAAUUCAAACUCAAAAUUUUAAAGUCAAUAAUUCAAAUUUGCCAAACAUGAAAACUAGAAUGUUCAAAGUGUGGAAAAUAAUCCCUGGAUAUUUUUCAUGUUGGAACCAACCUCUUUUGGAUUCCGAAAGGGCCCCUGGAAAUUAUUUAGUGAUCCAGCAGCAUUUAAACUUGGCCUUUUCAAUUUCCAAAAAUAGUUAGACAACUACUUUCGGCCUUAAACUUGUUGUGACUCCUAGAAUUAAUGUGCUUGUUUUAGUUGACAAGACUCUUUUCUAUCAAAACUCUUUUAGUGCUACAAUUUAAAAGAAAACAAAAAGGGUUUAAGAAAAAGAAAAAGGCAAAGGGAGGGAAGAAAAGCCCUGACCUCCCCUCUCACUAGGCCUCGGCCCAGCUGGACCGCCAGGCCAGCCCACCAUCUCUGGUCCCUCCCCUCUCCUCCUGUUCGUGCGACCGAGUCGCUACAGGGGUUUGGUCGCUGUCGCACCCUCUCGCCGGCAGCGCUGAGAGGGGAUAAGGGUGCCACGCCCCGACCCCUCGAUCCCAUUCCCCCACUCGCUCACCACUUCCCACUCUCUCUCCGCCUCUCGCCCAAGCGCUCGUUCCCCUUCUCCAGAUCCGUCGACGAGCGCGGCCAUAUCCACCAGGCUCACUCUGUCGUGGCCAUCGGCCACCUCUCACCUCGCCAUUGCGUCCGCGAAGACUGUCGUCAUCCGCUGCGUCCACUACGGAGAUGAAAACGGGCCGGAACCCCCCUCCUUCGCCGGAUCCGUGUCGUCCGCUUCGGUCGCCGGCCAUCUCCGUCAACUCCAACCGCCCUGCAGCUACUAAGCCGUCACCGGGCCCUCUUGCGCCUCCCCGGUGAGAUUCGCCUGCCUUCUCGUUUUCUUCGUCACCUUGCCGCGUGUGUAGCCGCCGUCCUUGCCAUGGCCGAACCCGCCACCGCUGACGAGCUCACCGCCAUAGUCAUCGUCACCGUAGCUCGCUCCCGAGUUGGUAACCGAGCUCCUAGGGCUCGUGCGGGUCCAACACCGCUGCCCGCAUCAACUACCAUGCCCCACAUCACCAUAGCCACCAACACCCGCCACCACCUAAUGUCGUCGUGCUCGCCGUGACCCCCGCCUGCUCGCGCUCCCAGGCCACGCCCCCUUGCUGCCUCUGACGUUCGCCUCUGGCCGCCCUGCUGCCGCCGAAUCCCCGUCACCCGCUCGCCGCAACGCCUCUUCCUGCCGCUGCCGUCUGGCCGCCUCAACCCACCAUCGGUCGUGCCCUGGCCUCGGCUCACGACCGCGGCCGUGCCCCGACUGCCCGCUCGCGCCAGGCUCCCCCACCGUGCUGCCCGCCCCCAUGCGCUUCCGUUGGAGCCCCUCCCCCCCAGCUCACCGACCUCACCGCGCCGCCCCGCGGGCUUCCCCGUCGCCGGUGGCCUCGCCCUGUGCUCGGGCGCAGCGCCCCUCGGGCACGGGCUCCCGCACCCAUUGACACCCGCCCCGCUGGGCUGGCCUGGUGCCACUGCCAGCGGGCCCCACGCCCUGCCUAUAAAAAAGGUUUUAAAAAUAUAUUAAUAAAAUUAAUUAAUUAAUUAAUUAAUUAAUUAGUCAGUAAUUAAUUAUUUAAGUUAAUUAACUCUGUUUAACUACCCUAAUUAACUAGGUUAACUAAUUAGAUCUGUUUAUUUAAGUUGGGCCAAUGACAGGUGGCCCCGAGUCAAACUUUUUGACCAGUCAACAGUUAACUGUUGACUGCUGACUCAGUAGUCAAUAGGGCCCAAUGCAAACUCUGUACUGCUCUGCUGUGUACACUUUGUGAGUGCACGUAGCAAUUUAGUCUUUUUUGAAUUAAUAUUAAAUCCAAUAAUUUCAGAAUAUUGUUAAAUAUUUGAAAAAUCAUAUAAAUUAAACAGCUCGGAUGAAAAUGUUUUCUACAUCGAAGUUGCUCAGAACGACGAGACGAAUCCGAAUACGCCCUCCGUUCGUCUAUCACACGCCCCUAGCAUAGCAAACAUUGAACUUUCUCCCUCCAGUUCAUCUGUCUGACAGACGUGCGGAACCAAGAAAAAUUUACCAGAUGUUUUCCCCCUUUGCCAGUUCGCCUAGCACUGCAUUAGAACACCUCUAGCCCCGCUUAUUAUCUUGUUAUGCAUAUGUUUGUGUGUAUUUACUGUUUCUUCCCCCCUUCACUCCGGUAGACCCUGAGAUCGAUGCUGAUGUCCCUGUGAUCGACUACGUCACCGACGACCCCUUCUUCCCUUUCAGCGGAGCUUCCAGGCAAGCCCCCCCUUUGAUCAUCCCGAUAUCGCCCAUUCCAUUCUUUCAUGCUUGCAUUAGAUUUUGCUACUGUAUUUGAUUGCUCCUAUUAUGAUGCAUAGCCUGCUUUUGUACCUGAUGUUGUACCUUACCUGUUUAUCCUAAACUGCUUAGUAUAGGUUGGUUAGUGAUCCAUCAGUGACCCCCACCUUAUCCUUGUUGCCCCUGCUUCAUCUUUGAUGACUCGAUCAACGUGAUCGACGACCAGAGCCCGACACCUCACAUCACAUCAUGCCCCUUUUGUUGCUCGACUCUACAGAGCUAGUAUCGAGUGCCGAGGGUGAUCCCUCAUAACGCACUCCUAAUGAUAAUUCUGUAGUGUAGCUAUUCAGUCGUGGUCAUCGAGGGUGAUUUUCUCUUUCACCAUUCCCGAUACGGCUCUAUCAUUCAACACCUCAAGUGUGAACCUUGAGGGUGGUCCCUCUUACGUUCACCUUGAUGAUUACAUUGAGUGGAAUUCUUCGUGGGUGAUUCCUCGGGUUUUGCCCUUGAUGUUUGGAGACACGGUUACAAUGACUUCACUUGAGACCUUGGUGAAAGUCGGGCGGGCCCGGAGAGCACCCGCAAGAUAAUGACGUGGCACGACCGGGCAUUCUAGGCCCUUGUCGUAAGUCCACGAGACGGGGCGACGGCGUCACUUUCGAUCAUGAGUCUCUGCUCAUCUCCGCAAACUAAUAAUACACUAUGGUUUGGGUAUUUAUUCUGAGUUGGCCUUUGGCCUUUACGCACCAACCAACAAGUGAGAAUAGUUAUGGGCCUCGACGUCGCAGUUUCAGCCGAAGCCUUGUCAGACAUCUAGUUCAGCAGUGCGGCGCGGCUCGGCCGGCACCAUCCAUGUGGAGGUGGAGCCUGGACCCGCCCUGCGUGCAACGACCCGGAGUGCAACGGGCGAUGGGCCCAGACCCCGGAGUGCUUAGGAGGUAGACCGGCGUGGACCUCUCUACUGAGCCUAGGUAGGGCUGCGACGUGUUGAUCUGCCGAGGCCGGGCAUAGACCCCAGAAAGGUGUGUCCAGACAGAGUGAUCGAGCGUGUUGGAAAACGUGGUGCACCCCUGCAGGGAAGAUUAUCUAUUAAUAGUCGUGUCCACGGUAAUGGACGUUCAGACUUAUAUCCUGAUCUUAUACAACUUCAAAUGGAUACUUGAGAUAUGUGGCUUCGGGGUUGUUUUCUCAUAGGGAGUCGAGGAAGGAUCUCUGGGCAUUAAUGAUACAACAUGUUUGUUAAUUAUAAACUGCUAUUCUUUACUCUUCUACAUGCUGCAAGAUGCUUGGAGCUGCUUGAAGAUGCUAGUUUUUGUUAGGCUAGGCCUUCUCCUCUAUUCUGGCAUUCUGCAGUUCAGUCCACAGAUACAACCCUUCCAUUUGAUACCGAUGCAUACUUAGUAUAGAUCUGAUGCUUGCGAGUACUUUGGAUGAGUACUCACGGUUGCUUUGCUACCCCCUUUUCCCCCUUCUUUCUUCUUUUCGGUUGAUGCAACCAGAUGGUGGAUCCCUGGAGCCAGAUGCCACCGCUGAUGGAUGCUACUAUGUGAAGAUCACCGACGACCAGGAGUAGUUAGGAGGUCCCAGGCAGGAGGCCUUGCCUCUUUGAUCGUGUUGCUUUUGUGCUAGCCUUCUUAUGUAUCGAGCUUGUAUUUGAGCCCUCGAGGCCCCUGGCUUGUAAUAUAAAUUUUGUAUUAUUUUGAUUUGUGCCUAGAGUUGUGUUGUGAUAUCUUCCCGUGAGUCCCUGAUCUUGUUCGUACACAUUUGCGUGUAUGAUUAGUGUACGAUUGAAUCGGGGGCAUCACAAGUUGGUAUCAGAGCCAACUGCCUGUAGGAUCCCCCUUUCCAACUCCUUGGCCGAAGUUGAGUCUAGCAUUUGAAAAUUUGUUUUACUAACAUGGUUGUGUGGCUUAUGGGCCCACGUCAUUAAUUGGGUGGUAUUAGGAUCUUUUACUCCUCCUCUAUACUCUGGGAAUCUGAUCUCUCUUCUAUUCGGGUUAACUAAUUUUGCUAACAACUCUAGGUUCUCGUAAAUACUUUCUCCCGGAGAGCCCCUCACUCCAGAUGAUUACUUGGUGUACCAGAAGUUUCUGAAGAUACUCUCCGAAGUUUUCUCGAGACCCUUGUGCCCUUCGUCGUUGCAAUCCCUAACACCGAUAAAUCCUUAUGCGUAACUACCUACGUUGUCAUUCAUACCUUCAUCCCCAGUUGCUCUUGUUAUUACAAGGUGUCCUGAAAUACUCUUCGAUGUUCCGAGGAUCCUUUAUGCUUACUGCCCUGCAGUCCUUGCCGCAUGAAUACCCCUACGGAUAAUUACUUGCUCUUAUCAAGUAUCCAUUCAUCCCCAAUUAUUCUUAUGCUUCAUAAGAUACUUUUUAAUACAAUCCGAGCUUUCGAUGACCUCUAUCGACUAUUGCUCUAGAAGGUCUUACCUGCCUACACUCUGGUUAAUUCCAUAUGCCUAGCAGUACCCAUUGACGUCCUUUGUCAUUAUCAUCUUGAGUCUUUUGAUUUGAUAUGUCUGUGUCGCAAUCAUCAGUUGAUCCUUAUAGAUUAUCUUUCCGGCUCAGACGCCUUCCCGAACAUGAGCUGGUUCUCGGCCAAUCAGAUUGGCAUCGAUUGUGCCCUAAGUCUAUUCAACUCAACCAUCCUUGGUCAGAGCGUUUGCUUCUGAUCCCUUGAUUUUGGGAAUCAUAAUUCCUUUGCAUUUGAACUAUGAAUUAGUCAGUUGCUUCUAUAAUCUGAUAUCCUUGCAUUCUUUCUACCUCUGGUUGAGUACUGAUACUCACAUCAGAUCCCUUGUGAACCACUAGAUCCUUUCUGGGGUUCUAUCCGACAACGUCCUUCAUAUACAGUAACCUUGUGAGCUUUUCCUCGGAUACAUAAUGCCUUUGGUAAAUUGUGUCUUCUGCUUCCUGAACCAUGCUCUACUCUUGGGAUUGAGUUAUUUACUCAUGAAGUUUGUGGUAUAUGUUCCUCAGAUGCCCUGAUGGGUUGAAUCUUUGUCUUACCUAAAUCCGUGUGAACCCGAAGAUUAUGCAAGUUAUAUCUACUGGUGUUUCUUCAGAUAAAUUUUCAAUUCUACAACUUCUUCGAACGCGAGAGGUGAAUGGAAAGUAGUGCAUAAGAGAAGUGGGAGUCGACCCUGAACCUUUGUGUUCAUACCCACAGACCCGAUGUGGAACUUAUCAUGGAAGCUUCUUGUUAUAAUAAUAAUCCCCUUCUGAUAAGUCCAUCUUGUAUCUAUGUUUGGUCCUCUGCAAUCGUGGUUCUGACCAUAUUGUUCUUGUUUGAUCUAUUUAUUGGACAAGUUAAAGUACUUGUCUUCUUCAGAUCAUUUCACCUGUUCAACCUCUACAUUGAUAUACCUUUGAGUAUAUCCCUUUGGUUAUCUCGAGAAUAUCACAGAACUACAUAACUUCUUAUGAGUUCUUGAUCAACUAUUAUUUCUCGUUGAUUCAAAUUUUCCACUCGUUCGGAGUUGUUAGACACUCGAGAAUACAGACAACUGAUUCGAGUCUAUGCUUUCCUUUCCAUUGUUUUGUUUAAUCUUUCUUGAAACCUAUCUUAUAUGAGCAGUGAUAAUUUCCCGCUUAUGUGAACACCUCGGUGUACAAGCUCUGUCUGUAAGACCUUGUUACUAUUGUUGAUGACAUUCCGAUAGCCACCAACGGACGACAACUUUGCCUAUUGGUCCGCCUCGUCUUAAUGAGCAGGGAAAUGGUUCUCUUUGUCCCUCGCCCUUGGUACCAACGUUGUUGCCAACAUAACUGACAGGUUGUCCUCUGACCUGCCUUGCUAUCAUGACCAUGCAAAAUGUAACGUCUUCUUGCUUUGAACGCACAUGGUGGGCCCAUAACUCACAGUUCCACAGGAUCGAAACCUGACUCUCUUGUACAUCCCUGUUUUCCAAAAAAUUUCCUCACGCUUGGCUUCGUAUGUAAAUCACGAACCACCUUCUUAGAGAUGAUCUUGUUGGAAAUAUGCCCUAGAGGCAAUAAUAAAAUGGUUAUUAUUAUAUUUCCUUUUUCAUGAUAAUUGUCUAUUGUUCAUGCUAUAAUUGUGUUAUCCGGAAAUCUUAAUACAUGUGUGAAUACAUAGACCACAACAUGUCCCUAGUGAGCCUCUAGUUGACUAGCUCUUUUAUCAAUAGAUGGUCAUGGCUUCCUGACCAUGGACAUCGGAUGUCAUUGAUAACGGGAUCACAUCAUUGGGAGAAUGAUGUGAUGGACAAGACCCAAUCCUAAGCAUAGCACAAGAUCGUGUAGUUCGUUUGCUAGAGCUUUUCUAAUGUCAAGUAUCAUUUCCUUAGACCAUGAGAUCGUGUAACUUCCGGAUACCGUCAGAGUGCUUUUGGGUGUACCAAACGUCACAACGUAACUGGGUAGCUAUAAAGGUAUACUACAGGUAUCUCCGAAAGUGUCUGUUGGGUUGACUCGAAUCGAGACUGGGAUUUGUCACUCUGUGUGAUGCAGAGGUAUCUCUGGGCCCACUCGGUAAUGCAUCAUCAUAAUGAGCUCAAAGUGACCAAGUGGUUGGUCACGGGAUCAUGCAUUGUAGUACGAGUAAAGUGACUUGCUGGUAACGAGAUUGAAUGAGGUAUUGGGAUACCGACGAUCGAAUCUCGGGCAAGUAAUGUACCGAUUGACAAAGGGAAUUGUAUACGGGAUUACUUGAAUCCUCGACAUGUGGGAGCCAACAUGGGUAUCCAGAUCCCACUGUUGGUUAUUGGCCGGAGAGUCGUCUUGGUCAUGUCUGCGUGUCUCCCGAACCCGUAGGGUCUACACACUUAAGGUUCGGUGACGCUAGGGUUGUAGAGAUAUUAGUAUACGGUAACCCGAAAGUUGUUCAGGGUCCUGGAUGAGAUCCCGGACGUCACGAGGAGUUCCGGAAUGGUCCGGAGGUGAAGAUUUAUAUAUAGGAAGUCCAGUUUCGGCCACCGGGAAAGUUUCGGGGGUCACCGGUAUUGUACCGGAACCACCAGAAGGGUCCCGGGGGUCCAUCGAGUGGGGCCACCUAUCCCGGAGAGCCACAUGGGCUGAAGUGGGAGAGGAACCAGCCCUUGGUGGGCUGGUGCGCCCCCCUUGGGCCUCCCCCUGCGCCUAGGGUUGGAAACUCUAGGGGUGGGGGCGCCCCACUUGGCUUGGGGGGCAAGUCCCCCCCCCCCUUGGCUGCCCCCCCUUGAGAUUCAAUCUCUAGGGGCCAGCGCCCCCCCCCCACGCCAGGGCCCCUAUAUAAAGAGGGGGGAGGGAGGGCUGCGCACCCUAGUCCCUGGCGCCUCCCUCUCCCCUCGUAACACCUCUCCCUCUCGCUGAGCUUGACGAAGCCCUGCCGAGAUCGCCGCUGCUUCCACCACCACGCUGUUGUGCUGCUGGAUCUCCAUCAACCUCUCCCUCCCCCUUGCUGGAUCAAGAAGGAGACGUCUUCCCCAACCGUAGGUGUGUUGAAUGCGGAGGUGCCGUCCGUUCGGCGCUAGGAUCAUCGGUGAUUUGGAUCGCGACGAGUACGACUCCAUCAACCCCAUUCUCUUGAACGCUUCCGCUCGCGAUCUACAAGGGUAUGUAGAUGCACUCCUCUCUCUCGUUGCUAGAUGACUCCAUAGAUUGAUCUUGGUGUUGCAUAGAAAAUUUUAUUUUCUGCUACGUUCCCCUACAGUGGCAUCAUGAGCUAGGUCUAUGCGUAGUUUCUAUGCACGAGUAGAACACAAAAUUGUUGUGGGCAUUGGUUUAGUCAAUUUUCUUGUCACUACUAGUCUUAUCUUGUUUCGGCGGCAUCAUGGGAUGAAGCGGCCCGGACCGACCUUACACGUACGCUUACACGAGACAGGUUCCACCGACUGACAUGCACUAGUUGCAUAAGGUGGCUAGCGGGUGUCUGUCUCUCCCACUUUAGUCGGAUCGGAUUCGAUGAAAAGGGUCCUUAUGAAGGGUAAAUAGAAAUUGGCAUAUCAAGUUGUGGUUUUGGCGUAGGUAAGAAACGUUCUUGCUAGUAACCUAUAGCAGCCACGUAAAAACAUGCAACAACAAUUAGAGGACGUCUAACUUGUUUUUGCAGCAUAUGUCUUGUUAUGUGAUAUGGCCAAAAGGAUGUGAUGCAUGAAAUAUAUGUGAUGUAUGAGAUUGAUCAUGUUCUUGUAAUAGGAAUCACGACUUGCAUGUCGAUGAGUAUGACAACCGGCAGGAGCCAUAGGAGUUGUCUUUAUUUUUUGUAUGACCUGCGUGUCAUUGAAUAACGCCAUGUAAUUACUUUACUUUAUUGUUAAACACGUUAGCUAUAGAAGUAGAAGUAAUCGUUGGUGUGACAACUUCAUGAAGACACGAUGAUGGAGAUCAUGGUGUCAUGCCGGUGACGAUGAUGAUCAUGGCGCCCCGAAGAUGGAGAUCAAAAGGAGCAAAAUGAUAUUGGCCAUAUCAUGUCACUAUUUGAUUGCAUGUGAUGUUUAUCAUGUUUUGCUUCUUAUUUUCUUAGUACGACGGUAGUAAAUAAGAUGAUCCCUUAUAAUAAUUUCAAGAAAGUGUUCCCCCUAACUGUGCGCCAUUGCGAAAGUUCGUUGUCUCGAAGAACCACGUGAUGAUCGGCUGUGAUAGAUUCUAACGUUCACAUACAACGGGUGUAAGCCAGAUUUACACAUGCAAAACACUUAGGUUGACUUGACAAGCCUAGCAUGUACAGACAUGGCCUCGGAACACAAGAGACCGAAAGGUCGAACAUGAGUCGUAUAGAAGAUACGAUCAACAUGAAGAUGUUCACCGAUGAUGACUAGUCCGUCUCACGUGAUGAUCGGACACGGCCUAGUUGACUCGGAUCAUGGAUCACUUAGAUGACUAGAGGGAUGUCUAGCUGAGUGGGAGUUCAUUAUAUAAUUUGAUUAGAUGAACUUAAUUAUCAUGAACUUAGUCUAAAAUCUUUGCAAUAUGUCUUGUAGAUCAAAUGGCCCAUGCUAAUGUUGCCCUCAACUUCAACGCGUUCCUAGAGAAAACCAAGAUGAAAGACGAUGGCAGCAACUAUACGGACUGGGUCCGGAACUUGAGGAUCAUCCUCAUGGCUGCCAAGAAAGCAUAUGUCCUAGAUGCACCGCUAGGUGAAGCACCCAUUUUCCCAGCAACUCAAGACGUUAUGAACGCCUGGCAGUCGUGUAGUGAUGAUUACUCCGUGGUUCAGUGUGGCAUGCUUUACAACUUAGAACCGGGGCUCCAAAAGCAUUUUGAGCAGCACGGAGCAUAUGAGAUGUUCCAAGAGCUGAAAAUGGUUUUCCAAGCUCACGCCCGGGUCGAGAGAUAUGAAGUCUCCGACAAGUUCUAUAGUUGUAAGAUGGAGGAGAAUGGUUCUGUCAGCGAGCACAUACUCAAAAUGUCUGGGUUGCACAACCGCUUAUCUCAGCUGGGAGUUAAUCUCCCGGAUGACACGGUGGUCGACAGAAUCCUCCAGUCGCUCACACCUAGCUACAAGAGCUUCGUGAUGAACUUCAAUAUGCAAGGGAUGGUGAAAACCAUUCCUGAGGUAUAUUCAAUGCUGAAAUUAGCGGAGGUGGAGAUCAAAAAGGAACAUCAAGUGUUGAUGGUCAAUAAAACCACUAGUUUCAAGAAAGGCAAGGGUAAGAAGAACUUCAAGAAGGACGGCAAGGGAGUUGCCACACCCGGUAAGCCAGUUGCCGGGAAGAAGCCAAAGCAUGGACCCAAACCUGAGACUGAGUGCUUUUAUUGCAAGGGAAGUGGACACUGGAAGCGGAACUGCCCCAAGUACUUAGCGGACAAGAAGGCCGGCAACACCAAAGGUAUAUGUGAUAUACAUGUAAUUGAUGUGUACCUUACCAGUACUCGUAGUAGCUCCUGGGUAUUUGAUACCGGUGCAGUUGCUCAUAUUUGUAACUCAAAACAGGAACUGCGGAAUAAGCGGAGACUGGCGAAGGAUGAGGUGACGAUGCGCGUCGGGAAUGGUUCCAAGGUCGAUGUGAUCGCCGUCGGCACGCUACCUCUACAUUUACCUACAGGGUUAGUUUUAAACCUCAAUAAUUGUUAUUUAGUGCCAGCUUUGAGCAUGAACAUUGUAUCUGGAUCUUGUUUAAUAUGAGAUGGCUACUCAUUUAAAUCCGAGAAUAAUGGUUGUUCUAUUUAUAUGAGAGAUAUGUUUUAUGGUCAUGCCCCGCUGCUCAAUGGUUUAUUCUUGAUGAAUCUCGAACGUGAUGUUACACAUAUUCAUAGUGUGAAUACCAAAAGAUGUAAAGUUGAUAACGAUAGUCCCAUAUACUUGUGGCACUGCCGCCUUGGUCACAUUGGUGUCAAAUGCAUGAAGAAGCUCCAUGCUGAUGGACUUUUGGAGUCUCUUGAUUACGAAUCAUUUGACACAUGCGAACCAUGCCUCAUGGGCAAAAUGACCAAGACUCCGUUUUUCCAGAACAAUGGAGCGGGCAACCAACUUAUUGGAAAUCAUACAUACUGAUGUGUGCGGUCCAAUGAGCGUUGAGGCUCGCGGAGGCUAUCGUUAUGUUCUCACUCUCACUGAUGACUUGAGUAGAUAUGGGUAUGUCUACUUGAUGAAACACAAGUCUGACACCUUUGAAAAGUUCAAGGAAUUUCAUAAUGAGGUAGAGAAUCAACAAGACCGAAAGAUAAAUUUCUUACGAUUAGAUCGUGGGGGAGAAUAUUUAAGUAACAAAUUUGGUACGCACUUAAGGAAAUGUGGAAUCGUUUCACAACUCACGCCGCCUGGAACACUUCAGCGUAACGGUGUGUCCGAACGUCGUAAUUGCACUCUAUUGGAUAUGGUGCGAUCUAUGAUGUCACUCACCGAUUUACCGCUAUCAUUUUGGGGAUACGCUCUAGAGACAGCUACAUUCACUUUAAAUAGGGCACCGUCUAAAUCCGUUGAGAUGACACCGUAUGAAUUAUGGUUUUGGAAGAAACCUAAGAUGUCGUUUCUAAAAGUUUGUGGAUGCGAUGCUUAUGUCAAGAAACUUCAACCUGAAAAGCUCGAACCCAAGUCGGAAAAAUGCGUCUUCAUAGGAUACCCUAAGGAAACCAUUGGGUAUACCUUCUACCUCAGAUCCGAAGGCAAGAUCUUUGUUGCUAAGAACGGGUCCUUUCUGGAGAAAGAGUUUCUCUCGAAAGAAGUAAGUGGGAGGAAAGUAGAACUCGAUGAAGUACUACCUCUUGAACCGGGAAGUAGCGCAGCUCAGGAAGAUGUUCAUGUGGUGCAUGCGCCGACUAGAGUGGAAGUUAAUGAUGAUGAUCAAGGUACUUCGGAUCAAGUUGCUACUAAACUUCGAAGGUCCACAAGGACAUGUUCCACACCAGAAUGGUAUGGCAACCCUGUCUUGGAAAUCAUGUUGUUAGACAACGGUGAACCUUCGAACUAUGAAGAAGCGAUGGUGUGCCCAGAUUCCAACAAAUGGCUUGAAGCCAUGCAAUCUGAGAUAGGAUCCAUGUAUGAAAACAAAGUAUGGACUUUGACAGACUUGCCCGAUGAUCGGCGAGCGAUAGAAAAUAAAUGGAUCUUUAAGAAGAAGACGGACGCGGAUGGAAAUGUUACCAUCUAUAAGGCUCGACUUGUCGCUAAGGGUUAUCAACAAGUUCAAGGGGUUGACUACAAUGAGACCUUCUCACCCGUAGCAAAGCUAAAGUCCGUCCGAAUCAUGUUAGCAAUUGCCGCAUACUAUGAUUAUGAGAUAUGGCAAAUGGACGUCAAAACGGCAUUCCUUAACGGCUUUCUUAAGGAAGAAUUGUAUAUGAUGCAGCCGGAAGGUUUUGUCGAUCCUAAGAAUGCUAACAAGGUAUGCAAGCUCCAGCGCUCCAUCUAUGGGCUGGUGCAAGCAUCUUGGAGUUGGAACAUUCGCUUUAACAAAAUGAUCAAAGCGUUUGGGUUUAUGCAGACUUAUGGAGAAGCUUGCGUUUACAAGGAAGUGAGUGGGAGCUCUGUAGCAUUUCUCAUAUUAUAUGUAGAUGACAUACUUUUGAUGGGAAAUGAUAUAGAACUUUUGGACAGCAUUAAGGCCUACUUGAAUAAGUUUUUUUUCAAUGAAGGACCUUGGAGAAGAUGCUUACAUAUUAGGCAUCAAGAUCUAUAGAGAUAGAUCAAGAUGCCUCAUAGGUCUUUCUCAAAGCACAUACCUUGAUAAGAUAUUGAAAAAGUUCAAUAUGGAUCAGUCCAAGAAGGGGUUCUUGCCUGUGUUUCAAGGUGUGAAAUUGAGCUCGACUCAAUGUCUGACCACGGCAGAAGAUAGAGAAAAGAUGAGUGUCGUCCCCUAUGCCUCGGCCAUAGGGUCUAUCAUGUAUACCAUGCUGUGUACUAGACCUGAUGUAAACCUUGCCGUAAGUUUGGUAGGAAGGUACCAAAGUAAUCCCGGCAUGGAACACUAGACAGCGGUCAAGAAUAUCCUGAAGUACCUGAAAAGGACUAAGGAUAUGUUUCUCGUAUAUGGAGGUGACGAAGAGCUCGUCGUAAAGGGUUACGUCGACGCUAGCUUCGACACAGAUCGGGAUGACUCUAAGUCACAAACUGGAUACGUGUAUAUUUUGAAUGGUGGGGCAGUAAGCUGGUGCAGUUGCAAGCAAAGCAUCGUGGCGGGAUCUACAUGUGAAGCGGAGUACAUGGCAGCCUCGGAGGCAGCACAUGAAGCAAUCUGGAUGAAGGAGUUCAUUACCGACCUAGGAGUUAUUCCCAAUGCGUCGGGGCCGAUGACUCUCUUCCGUGACAACACUGGAGCCAUUGCCCUUGCCAAGGAGCCCAGGUUUCACAAGAAGUUGAGGCACAUCAAGCGUCGCUUGAACUCCAUUCGUGAAAAUGUUCAAGAUGGAGACAUUGAUAUUUGUAAAGUGACACAUAUCUGAAUGUCGCAGAUCCUUGACUAAACCUCUUCCGCGAGCAAAACAUGAUCAACACCAGAACUCUAUGGGUGUUCGAUUCAUCACAAUGUAACUAGAUUAUUGACUCUAGUGCAAGUGGGAGACUAUUGGAAAUAUGCCCUAGAGGCAAUAAUAAAAUGGUUAUUAUUAUAUUUCCUUGUUCAUGAUAAUUGUCUAUUGUUCAUGCUAUAAUUGUGUUAUCCGGAAAUCGUAAUACAUGUGUGAAUACAUAGACCACAACAUGUCCCUAGUGAGCCUCUAGUUGACUAGCUUGUAUAUCAAUAGAUGGUCACGGUUUCCUGACCAUGGACAUUGGAUGUCAUUGAUAACGGGAUCACAUCAUUGGGAGAAUGAUGUGAUGGACAAGACCCAAUCCUAAGCAUAGCACAAGAUCGUGUAGUUCGUUUCCUAGAGCUUUUCUAAUGUCAAGUAUCAUUUCCUUAGACCAUGAGAUCGUGUAACUUCCGGAUACCGUAAGAGUGCUUUGGGUGUACCAAACGUCACAACGUAACUGGGUGGCUAUAAAGGUAUACUACAGGUAUCUCCGAAAGUGUCUGUUAGGUUGACUCGAAUCGAGACUGGGAUUUGUCACUCCGUGUGACGGAGAGGUAUCUCUGGGCUCACUCGGUAAUGCAUCAUCAUAAUGAGCUCAAAGUGGCCAAGUGGUUGGUCACGGGAUCAUGCAUUGCAGUACGAGUAAACUGACUUACCGGUAACAAGAUUGAACGAGGUAUUGGGAUACCGAUGAUCGAGUCUCGGGCAAGUAACGUACCGAUUGACAAAGGGAAUUGUAUAUGGGAUUACUUGAAUCCUCUACACCGUGGUUCAUUCGAUGAGAUCAUCGUGGAACAUGUGGGAGCCAACAUGGGUAUCCAGAUCCCGCUGUUGGUUAUUGACCGGAGAGUCGUCUCGAUCAUGUUUGCGUGUCUCCCGAACCCGUAGGGUCUACACACUUAAGGUUCGGUGAUACUAGGGUUGUAGAGAUAUUAGUAUGCGGUAACCCGAAAGUUGUUCGGGGUCCUGGAUAAGAUCCCGGACGUCAUGAGGAGUUCCGGAAUGGUCAGGAGGUGAAGAUUUAUAUAUAGGAAGUCCAGUUUCGGCCACCGGGAAAGUUUCGGGGGUCACCGGUAUUGUACCGGGACCACCGGAAGGGUCCCGGGGGUCCACCGGGUGGGGCCACCUAUCCCGGAGGGCCACAUGCACUGAAUUGGGAGGGGAACCAGCCCCUGGUGGGCUGGUGCGCCCUCCUUGGGCCUCCCCCUGCGCCUAGGGUUGGAAACCCUAGGGGUGGGGGCGCCCCACUUGGCUUGGGGGGCAAGUCCCCCCCUCUAGCCGCUGCCCCCCCCCCCCUUGAGAUUCAAUCUCUAGGGGGCCGGCGCCCCCCCAGGGCCCCUAUAUAAAGAGGGGGGAGGGAGGGCUGCGCACCCUAGUCCCUGGCGCCUCCCUCUCCCCUCGUAACACCUCUCCCUCUCGCUGAGCUUGGCGAAGCCCUGCCGAGAUCGCCGCUGCUUCCACCACCACGUCGUCGUGCUGCUGGAUCUCCAUCAACCUCUCCCUCCCCCUUGCUGGAUCAAGAAGGAGGAGACAUCUUCCCCAACUGUACAUGUGUUGAACGCGGAGGUGCCGUCCGUUCGGCGCUAGGAUCAUCGGUGAUUAGGAUCAUGACGAGUACGACUCCAUCAACCCCAUUCUCUUGAACGCUUCCGCUAGCGAUCUACAAGGGUAUGUAGAUGCACUCCUCUCUCUCGUUGCUAGAUGACUCCAUAGAUUGAUCUUGGUGUUGCGUAGAAAAUUUUAUUUUCUGCUAUGUUCCUCUACAGAUCUAAUCUAGUAUCAGACGCAACACUUAUUUUCGUUGCUCUGAAUCCCUCUCGCUCUCUGUUUCAGGCAACGAACGAUUGCCUACCCGGUUGAAGCUUCUUAUUGCUCCUCCUUACCUUUCUCUCGAUGAAUUUCUUCAAUUUCAACCCGAGAGAUGUCUCUGUGUCGCGUUCAUCGAAACCUCCCCCCAGGUACCUAUCUUGUGUUGAGCUCCGUCCUUCUCGAGUCUUUCCCCCUUACUCCACCCCUAAAAUCUCGGGACGAGAUUUCUUGUAGUGGAGGAGAAUUGUGACGCUCGAAUAAUUAAGCUAAAGUAAUCCCCCGCUAAUGGUGCCAUGUCAUCACAUUACUGUUGCUAAUCCUCACUUGAUCCAAAUCAUGAUUCAAAUUCAAACUCAAAAUUUUAAAGUCAAUAAUUCAAAUUUGCCAAACAUAAAAACUAAAAUGUUCAAAGUGUGGAAAAUAAUCCCUGGAUAUUUUUCAUGUUGGAACCAACCUCUUUUGGAUUUCGAAAGUGCUCCUGGAAUAUAUUUAGUGAUCCAGCAGCAUUUAAACUUGGCCUUUUCAAUUUCCAAAAAUAGUUAGACAACUACUUUCGGCCUUAAACUUUUUGUGACUCCAAGAAUUAAUGUGCUUGUUUUAGCUGACAAGACUCUUUUCUAUCAAAACUCUUUUAGUGCUACAAUUUAAAAGAAAACAAAAAGGGUUUAAGAAAAAGAAAAAGGCAAAGGAAGGGAAGAAAAGCCCUGACCUCCCCUCUCACUGGGCCUCGGCCCAGCUGGACCGCCAGGCUAGCCCACCAUCUCCGGUCCCUCCCCUCUCCUCCUGUUCGUGCGACCGAGUCGCUACAGGGGCUUGGUCGCCGUUGCACCCUCUCGCCGACAGCGCCACGAGGGGAUAAGGGUGCCACGCCCCGACCCCUCGAUCCCAUCCCCCCACUCGCUCACCACUUCCCACUCUCUCUCCGCCUCUCGCCCAGGCGCUCGUUCCCCUUCUCCAGAUCCGUCGACGAGCGCGGCCGUAUCCGCCCGGCUCACUCUGCCGUGGCCAUCGGCCACCUCUCGCCUUGCCAUUGCAUCCACGAAGACCGUCGUCGUCCGCUGCGUCCACUAUGGAGACGAAAACGGGCCGGAACCCCUCCUCCUUUGCCGGAUCCGUGUCGUCCGCUUCGGUAGCCGGCCAUCUCCGUCAACUCCGACCGCCCUGCAGCUACUAAGCCGUCAGCGGGCCCUCUUGCGCCUCCCCGGUGAGCUUCCCCUGCCUUCCCGUUUUCUUCGACACCUUGCCACGUGUGUAGCCGCCGUCCUUGCCAUGGCCGAACCCGCCACCGCUGACGAGCUCACCGCCGUAGUCAUCGUCACCGUAGCUCGCUCCCAAGUUGGUAACCGAGCUCCUGGGGCUCGUGCGGGUCCAACGUCGCUGCCCGCAUCAACUACCAUGCCCCACAUCACCGUAGCCACCAAUGCCCGGCACCACCUAAUGUCAUCGUGCUCGCCAUGACCCCUGCCUGCUCGCGCUCCCAGGCCACGCCCCCUUGCUGCCUCCGACGUUCGCCUCUGGCCGCCCUGCUGCCGCCGAAUCCCCGUCACCCGCUCGCCGCAGCGCCUUUGCCUGCCGCUGCCGUCUGGCCGCCUCAACCCACCAUCGGACGCGCCCUGGCCUUGGCUCGCGACCGCGGCCGCGCCCCGACUGCCCGCUCGCGCCAGGCUCCCCCACCGUGCUGCUCGCCCCCAUGCGCUUCCGCCGGAGCCCUCCCCCCCAGCUCACUGACCUCGCCGCGCCGCCCGGUGGGCUUCCCUGUUGCCGGUGGCCUCGCCCUGCGCUCGGGCGCAGCGCCCCUCGGGCAUGGGCUCCUGCACCCGUUGACACCCGCCCCACUGGGCUGGCUUGGUGCCACUGCCAGCGGGCCCCACGCCCCGCCUUUAAAAAGGUUUUAAAAAAUAUAUUAAUAAAAUUAAUUAACUAAUUAAUUAGUCAGUAAUUAAUUAUUUAACUUAAUUAACUCUGUUUAACUACCCUAAUUAACUAGGUUAGCUAAUUAGAUCUGUUUAUUUAAGUUGGGUCAAUGACAGGUGGCCCCCAGUCAAACAUUUUGACCGGUCAACAGUUGACUGUUGACUGCUGACUCAGCAGUCAAUAGGGCCCAGUGCCAGCCUCUGUACUUCUCUGAUGUGUACACUUUGUGUGUGCACGUAGCAAUUUAGUCCUUUUUUGAAUUAAUAUUAAAUCCAAUAAUUUCAGAAUAUUGUUAAAUCUUUGAAAAAUCAUAGAAAUUAAACUGUAGCUCGGAUGAAAAUAUUUUCUACAUGAAAGUUGCUCAGAACGAUGAGACGAAUCCGAAUACGACCUCCGUUCGUCUAUCACACGCCCCUAGCAUAGCAAACUUUGAACUUUUCCCCUCCAAUUCAUCUGUCUGACAGACAUCCGGAAACGGGAAAACUUUCCCGGAUGUUUUCCCCCUUCGCCAGUUCGCCUAGCACUGUGUUAGAACACCUCUAGCCCCACUUAUUGUCUUGUUAUGCAUAUGUUUGUGUGUAUUUACUGUUUCUUCCCCCUUCUCUUCAGUAGACCCUGAGAUCGAUGCUGAUGUCCCUGUGAUCGACUACGUCACCGACGACCCAUUCUUCCCUUUCAGCGGAGCUUCCAGGCAAGCCCCCCUUUGAUCAUCCCGAUAUCUCCCAUUCCAUUCUUUCAUGCUUGCAUUAGAUUUUGCUAAUGUAUUUGAUUGCUCCUACUAUGAUGCAUAGCCUGCUUUUGUACCUGAUGUUGUACCUUACCUGUUUAUCCUAAACUGCUUAGUAUAGGUUGGUUAGUGAUCCAUCAGUGACCCCCACCUUGUCCUUGUUGCCCCUGCUUCAUCUUUGACGACUUGAUCAACAUGAUCGACGACCAGAGCCCAACACCUCACAUCACAUCACGCCCCUUUUGUUGCUCGACUCUGCAGAGCUACUAUCGAGUGCCGAGAGUGAUCCCUCAUAACGCACUCCUGAUGAUAAUUCUGUAGUGUAGCUAUUCGGUCAUGGUCAUCGAGGGUGAUUUUCUCUUUCACCAUCCCGAUACGGCUCUGUCAUUCAACACCUCAAGUGUGAACCUUGAGGGUGGUCCCUCUUACGUUCACCUUGAUGAUUACAUUGAGUGGAAUCCUUCGUGGGUGAUUCCUCGGGUUUUCCCCUUGAUUUUGGACACACAGUUACAAUGAAUUUACUUGAGACCUUGGUGAAAGUCGGGCGGGCCCGGAGAGCACCCGCAAGAUAAUGACGUGGCACGACCGGGCAUUCUAGGCCCUUGUCGUAAGUCCACGAGAUGGGGCGACGGGUCACUUUCGAUCGUGAGUCUCUGCUCAUCUCCGCAAACUAAUAAUACACUAUGGUUUGGGUAUUUGUUCUGAGUUGGCCUUUGGCCUUUACGCAACAACCAACACGUGAGAAUAGUUAUGGGCCUCGACGUCACAGUAUUAGCCGAAGCCUUGUCAGACAUCUAGUUCAGCAGUGUGGCACGGCUGGGCCGGCACCAUCCAUGUGGAGGUGGAGCCUGGACCCGACCUGCGCGCACGACCCGGAGUGCAACGGGCGAUGGGCCCAGACCCCGGAGUGCUUAGGAGGUAGACCGGCAUGGACCUCUCUACUGAGCCUAGGUAGGGUUGCGACGUGUUGAUCUUCCGAGGCCGGGCAUUGACCUCAGAAAGGUGUGUCCAGACAGAGUGAUCGAGCGUGUUCGAAAACGUGGUGCACCCAUGCAGGGAAGAUUAUCUAUUAAUAGCCGUGUGCACGGUAAUGGACGUUCAGACUUAUAUCCUGAUCUUAUACAACUACAAAUGGAUACUUGAGAUAUGUGGCUCCGGGAUUGUUUUCUCGCAGGGAGUCGAGGAAGGAUCUCUGGGCAUUAAUGCUACAACAUGUUUGUUAAUUAUAAACUGCUAUUCUUUACUCUUCUACAUGCUGCAAGAUGCUUGCAGCUGCUUGAAGAUGCUAGUCUUUGUUAGGCUAGGCCUUCUCCUCUAUUCUGGCAUUCUGCAGUUCAGUCCACAGAUACAACCCUUCCAUUUGAUACCAAUGCAUACUUAGUAUAGAUCUGAUGCUUGCGAGUACUUUGGAUGAGUACUCACGGUUGCUUUGCUACCCCCUUUUCCCCCUUCUUUCUUCUUUCCGGUUGAUGCAACCAGAUGGUGGAUCCCUGGAGCCAGAUGCCACCGCCGAUGGAUGCUACUACGUGAAGAUCGCCGACGACCAGGAGUAGUUAGGAGGUCCCAGGCAGGAGGCCUUGCCUCUUCGAUAGUGUUGCUUUUGUGCUAGCCUUCUUAAGGCAUCCUUGUUUAACUUAUGUCUGUACUCAGAUGUUGCUUCUUCCGCUGACUCUUGUGUAUUGAGCUUGUAUUUGAGCCCUCGAGGCCCCUGACUUGUAAUAUAAAUCUUGUAUUAUUUUGAUUUGUGCCUAGAGUUGUGUUGUGAUAUCUUCCCGUGAGUCCCUGAUCUUGAUCGUACGCAUUUGCAUGUAUGAUUAGUGUACGAUUGAAUCAGGGGCGUCACAAGUUGGUAUCAGAGCCGACUGCCUGUAGGAUCCCCUUUCCAACUCCUUGGCCGAAGUUGAGUUUAGCGUUUGAAAAUUUGUUUUACUAACAUGGUUGUGUGGCUUACGGGCCCACGUCGUUAAUUGGGUGGUAUUAGGAUCUUUUACUCCUCGUCUAUACUCUGGGAAUCUGAUCUCUCUUCUAUUCGGCUUAACUAAUUUUGCUAACAACUCUAGGUUCUUGUAAAUACUUUCUCCCGGAGAGCCCCUCACUCCAGAUGAUUACUUGGUGCAACAGAAGUUUCUGACGAUACUCUCCGAAGUUUUCUCGAGACCCUUGUGCCCUUCAUCGUUGCAAUCCCUAACACCGGUAAAUCCUUAUGCGUAACUACCUACGGUUUCGUUCAUACCUUCAUCCCCAGUUGCUCUUGUUGUUACAAGGUGUCCUGAAAUAUUGUUCGAUGUUCCGAGGAUCCUUUAUGCUUACUGCCCUGCAGUCCUUGCCGCAUGAAUACCCCUACGAAUAAUUACUCGCUCUUAUCGAGUAUCCAUUCAUCCCCAAUUAUUCUUAUGCUACAUAAGAUACUUUUUAAUACAAUCCGAGCUUUCGAUGACCUCUAUCGACUAUUGCUCUAGAAGGUCUUACCUGCCUACACUCUGGUUAAUUCCAUAUGCCUAGCAGUACCCAUUGACGUCCUUUGUCAUUAUCAGCUUAAGUCUUUCGAUUUGAUAUGUCUGUGUCGCAAUCAUCAGUUGAUCCUUAUAGAUUAUCUUUCCGGCUCCGACGUCUUCCUGAACAUGAGCUGGUUCUCAGCCAAUCAGAUUGCCAUCGAUUGUGUCCUAAGUCUAUUCAACUUAACCAUCCUUGGUCAGAGCAUUUUCUUCUGAUCCCUUGAUUUUGGGAAUCAUAAUUCCUUUGCAUUUGAACCAUGAAUUAGUCAGUUGCUUCUAUAAUCUGAUAUCCUUGCAUUCUUUCUACCUCUGGUUGAGUACUAAUACUCACAUCAGAUCCCUUGUGAACCACUAGAUCCUUUGUGGGUUAAUCUCUGACAGCAUCCUUCAUAUACGGUAACCUUGUGAGCUUUUCCUCGAAUACAUAAUGCCUUUGGUAAAUUGUGUCUUCUGCUUCCUGAACCAUGCUCUACUCUCGGGAUUGAGUUAUUUACUCGUGAAGUUUGUGGUAUAUGUUCCUCAGAUGCCCCGAUGGGUUGAAUCUUUGUCUUACCUAAACCCGUGUGAACCCGAAGAUUAUGCGAGUUAUAUCUACUGGUGUUUCUUCAGAUAAAUUUUCAAUUCUACAAAUUCUUCGAACGCGAGAGGUGAAUGGAAAUUUGUGCAUAAGAGAAGUGGGAGUCGACCUUGAACCUUUGUGUUCAUGCCCACAGACCCGAUGUGGAACUUAUCAUGGAAGCUUCUUGUUAUAAUAAUAAUAUCCUUGUGAUAAGUCCAUCUUGUAUCUAUGUUUGGUCCUUUGCUAUCGUGGUUCCGACCAUAUUGUUCUUGUUUGAUCCAUUUAUUGGACAAGUUAAAGUACUUGUCUUCUUUAGAUCGUUUCACCUAUUCAACCUCUACAUUGAUAUACCUUUGAGUAUAUCCCUCUGGUUAUCUCGAGAAUAUCACAGAACUACAUAACUUCUUAUGAGUUCAUGAUCAACUAUUAUUUCUCGCUGAUUCAAAUUUUCCACUCGUUUGGAGUUGUUAGACACUCGAGAAUACAGAUAACUGAUUCGAGUCUAUGCUUUCCUUUCCAUUGUUUUGUUUAAUCUUUCUUGUAACCUAUCUUAUAUGAGCAGUGAUAAUUUCCUGCUUAUGUAAACACCUCGGUGUACAAGCUCUGUCUGUAAGACCUUGUUACUAUUGUUGAUGACAUUCCGAUAGCCACCGACGGACGAGAACUUUGCAUGUUGGUAUGCCUCGUCUUAACAAGCAGGGAAAUGGUUCUCUUCAUCCCUCGCCCUUGGUACCAACGUUGUUGCCAACAUAACUGACAGGUUGUCCUCUGACCUGCCUUGCUAUCAUGACCAUGAAAAAUGUAACGCCUUCUUGCUUUGAACGCACAUGGUGGGCCCAUAAAUCACAGUUCCACAGGAUCGAAACCUGACUCUCUUGUACAUCCCUGUUUUCCAAAAUUGUUCCUCACGCUUGGCUUCAUAUGUAAAUCACGAACCACCUUUUUAGAGAUGAUCUGAUCUAGUAUCAGACGCAACACUUAUUUUCGUUGCUCUGAAUCCCUCUCGCUCUCUGUUUCAGGCAAUGAACGAUUGCCUACCCGGUUGAAGCUUCUUGUUACUCCUCCUUACCUUUCUCUCGAUGACUUUCUUCAAUUUCAACUCGAGAGAUGUCUCUAUGUCGCAUUCAUCGAAACCUCCCCCUAGGUACCUAUCUUGUGUUGAGCUCCGUCCUUCUCGAGUCUUUCCCCCUUACUCCACCCCUUAAAUCUCGGGACGAGAUUUCUUAUAGUGGAGGAGAAUUGUGACGCCCAGAUAAUUAAGCUACAGUAAUCCCCCGCUAAUGGUGCCAUGUCAUCACAUUACUGUUGCUAAUCCUCACUUGAUCCAAAUCAUGAUUCAAAUUCAAACUCAAAAUUUUAAACUCAAUAAUUCAAAUUUACCAAACAUGAAAACUAAAAUGUUCAAAGUGUGGAAAAUAAUCCCUGGAUAUUUUUCAUGUUGGAACCAACCUCUUUUGGAUUCCGAAAGUGCCCCUGGAAAUUAUUUAGUGAUCCAGCAGCAUUUAAACUUGGCCUUUUCAAUUUCCAAAAAUAGUUAGACAACUACUUUCAGCCUUAAACUUUUUGUGACUCCUAGAAUUAAUGUGCUUGUUUUAGCUGACAAGACUCUUUUCUAUCAAAACUCUUUCAGUGCUACAAUUUAAAAGAAAACAAAAAGGGGUUGAGAAAAAGAAAAAGGCAAAGGGAGGGAAGAAAAGCCCUAACCUCCCCUCUCACUGGGCCUCGGCCCAGCUGGACCGCCAGGCCAGCCCACCAUCUUCGGUCCCUCCCCUCUCCUCCUGUUCGUGCGACCGAGUCGCUACAGGGGCUUGGUCGCCAUUGCACCCUCUCGCCGGCGGCGCCGGGAGGGGAUAAGGGUGCCACGCCCCGACCCCUCAAUCCCAUCCCCCCACUCGCUCACCACUUCCCACUCUCUCUCCGCCUCUCGCCCAGGCGCUCGUUCCCCUUCCCCAGAUCCAUCGACGAGCGUGGCCGUUGCCGCCCGGCUCACUCUACCGUGGCCAUCGGCCACCUCUCGCCUCGCCAUUGCAUCCACGAAGACCGUCGUCGUCCGCUGCGUCCACUACGGAGACGAAAACGGGCCGGAACCCCCCUCCUUCACCGGAUCCGUGUCGUCCGCUUUGGUCGCCGGCCAUCUCCGUCAACUCCGACCGCCCUGCAGCUACUAAGCCGUCAUCGGGCCCUCUUGCGCCUCCCCGGUGAGCUUUGCCUGCCUUCCCGUUUUCUUCGUCACCUUGCCGCGCGUGUAGCCGCCGUCCUUGCCAUGGCCGAACCCGCCACCGCUGACGAGCUCACUGCCAUAGUCAUCAUCACUGUAGGUCGCUUCCGAGUUGGUAACCGAGCUCCUGGGGCUCGUGCGGGUCCAACGCCGCUGCCUGCAUUGACUACCAUGCCCCACAUCACCGUAGCCACGAAUGCCCGCCACCACCUAAUGUCGUCGUGCUCGCCGUGACCCUGCCUGCUUGUGCUCCCAGGCCGCGCCCCUUGCUGCCUCCGACGUUCGCCUCUGGCCGCCCUGCUGGCCGCAGAAUCCCCGCCACCCGCUCGCUGCAGCGCCUCUGCCUGUCACUGCCGUCUGGCCGCCUCAAGCCACCGUCGGCCGCGCCCUGGCCUCGGCUCGCGACCGCGUGAAAGUGCAACUAUCCCUAGGUGGUUUUGGUAAUUAAUAACAACAUAUAGCUCAUUGAGCUAAUGCUAUUCCAAGACUAUUAUUUUAGGAAAGCUCAAUGAAUGGCAUGGCAUGGAUGAUGAAAGUGGAUCCCUCAAAAUUCUAAGGACAAAGGAUUGGCUCAAGCUCAAAAGCUCAAGACUCUUCAUUUUACAUUUUAGUUAUCCAAGAUCACAUUGAGUCUAUAGGAAAAGCCAAUACUAUCAAGGAGGGAUGAGGUGUUGCUUAAUGAGCCUCUUGCUUCAAUGUGCUUAGUGAUAUGCUCCAAAACCCUCAACUACUUUCCCACAUCCUCAAAUGACCUAAACCCAAAGCCAAAAUCGGUCACACCGAAACUUCCUACCCGGCACCAUCGAUUCCAAAAGUCAUAGCCACUGCCACAAACCCUAAGCAAAUCGGUCUUACCGAUAGGGAUCUCGGUCUCACCAAGAUGGGGUUGCAAUCUCUCUAUUUCCCUUCGUAACGUUUCGGUCUAACCGAAGUGAGCGAUCGGUCCCACCGAGAUUGCAAUGUAAACUCUCUGUUUCCUUUUUGUAACAUUUCGGUCUCACCUAAAAGAGCAAAUCGGUCCCACCGAGUUUACCUGACCAACUCUCUGGAAAGCUUAUUACCAAAUCGGUCUCACCGAGUUUGUGUAAUCGGUCUUACCGAGAUUACGUUAUGCCCUAACCCUAACCGAAUCGGUCUCACCGAGAUGCAUGUCGGUCCCACCGAAAAUCACUAACGGUCACUAGGUUUACUAAAUCGGUCCGACCGAGUUUAACAAUUCGGUCCCACUGAGUUUGGUAAAUUGUGUGUAACGGUUAGAUUUUGUGUGGAGGCUAUAUAUACCCCUCCACCUCCUCUUCGUUCGUGGAGAGAGCCAUCAGAACGAACCUACAUUUCCAGCAUACAUUUUCUGAGAGAGAACUACCUACUCAUGUGUUGAGGCCAAGAUAUUCCAUUCCUACCAUAUGAAUCUUGAACUCUAGCCUUCCCCAAGUUGCUUUCCACUCAAAUCUUCUUUCCACCAGAUCCAAACCCAUUGAGAGAGAGUAGAGUGUUGGGGAGACUAUCAUUUGAAGCACAAGAGCAAGGAGUUCAUCAUCAAUGCACCAUUUGUUACUUCUUGGAGAGUGGUGUAUCCGAGAUUGGCUAGGUGUCACUUGGGAGCCCCCGACAAGAUUGUGGAGUUGAACCAAGGAGUUUGUAAGGGCAAGGAGAUCGCCUACUUCGUGAAGAUCUACCACUAGUGAGGCAAGUCCUUCGUGGGCGACGGCCAUGGUGGGAUAGACAAGGUUGCUUCUUCGUGGACCCUUCUUGGGUGAAGCCCUCCAUGGACUCGCGCAGCCGUUACCCUUCGUGGGUUGAAGUCUCCAUCAACGUGGAUGUACGAUAGCACCACCUAUCGGAACCACGCCAAAAACAUAUGUGUCUCCAAUUGCGUUUGAAUCCUCCAAACCCUUCCCUUUACUUUCUUGCAAGUUGCAUGCUUUAAUUUCUGCUGCCUAUAUACUCUUUGCAUGCUUGCUUGAAUUGUGUGAUGAUUGCUUGACUUGUCCUAAAGUAGCUAAAAUCUGCCAAACUCUAAAAUUGGGAAAAGGUUAAGUUUUUAUUGGUCAAGUAGUCUAAUCACCCCCCCCCCUCUAGACAUACUUCAAGGUCCUACAAGUGGUAUCAGAGCUUUGGUCUCCAUUUUCUUUGAUUUCCAUAGCUUUUGGUGGUCAUAGCCUUGGUUUCACAACCUAGGAGAGUAUGGCGUCUAGCGAGGGAAAUUAUCACCGUAGAGGUCCUUACUUUGAUGGUACUAAUUUUGCUAGUUGGAAGCAUAAGAUGAAAAUGCAUAUUCUUGGACAUAACCCCGCCGUUUGGGCAAUUAUUUGUAUUGGCUUGCAAGGUGAAUUUUUUUAUGGGAGAGAACCGAACCGUGAAGCUAAUGUGGAAGAACUGAAGAUGCUGCAAUACAACACUCAAGCUUGUGAUAUCAUCUUCAACGGAUUGAGCCCCGAAGAAUUCAACAAAAUCAGCCGUCUUGAGAAUGCAAAGGAAAUUUGGGAUACUUUGAUUGAUAUGCAUGAAGGUACCGAGUCCGUCAAGGAAUCCAAGUUGGAUGUGCUCCAAAGUCAGCUUGACAAGUUCAAAAUGAAGGAUAGUGAAGGUGUCGCUGAAAUGUACUCUAUGCUUGCUCUUAUCACAAAUGAGAUUGACGGCUUAGGGAGUGAAGAGAUGACCGACAAAUUCAUCAUCAAGAAGAUCUUAAGAGCAUUGGAUGGAAAGUAUGAUACCGUGUGCACAUUGAUUCAAAUGAUGCCAAACUACAAAGAUCUCAAGCCAAUGGAAGUCACUGAAAGGAUUAUUGCUCAUGAGAUGUUACUCAAGGAUAAGGAGGAACUUCACAACAAGUCAAGUGGUGCUUACAAAGCCUCAAGUGAAUCCCCCACAUCAUCAAGUGAUAAACCAACCUUCAAUGAAGAAUUGAGCUUAAUGGUGAAGAACUUCAACAAAUUCUACAAGAGUAGAAGCAAAGAAAGAAGCUCCAAAUCAAGGUCUUACAAUGACAAGAGAUCUUCUAGUCGAGAGCGAAAGUGCUACAAUUGUGGGAGACCCGGACACUACUCCAAUGAGUGUACGGCACCCUACAAAAGAAGAGAAGAUUCUCCAAGAAGAAGGAGCAAAAGAGAAGAAUCACCACCAAGAGAGAGGAGGAGUAGAGAUGAUCGUUAUGAACGAAGACCCUCACGGAGAAGCAAGGAUUUGGAAAGGAAGGACAAGUCAUAAAGGAGCUACACAAAACAAAGACACCAAGCUCAUGUUGGUGAAUGGGUAUCCGGCUCCGACUCUGACAAUCACUCCGAGAGAAGCUAUCACUCCGACUACGAAUAUACUCAAGAUGAAGGUGUUGCCGGUCUAGCACUUGUGUCAACCAACUCCUACGACAUAUUUGAUUCACCAAAUGAAGGUGUUGGAAGAUGCUUCAUGGCCAAAGGCCCAAAGGUAACACAUCCCGAGUAUGUUGAUUUCAAUAGUGAUGAAGAUGACUUGCUUGUGGAUGAUGAUUUACUUGUUGACAACUCUAGUGAUGAAUACUAUGAUGAAACGUCAAUUAAUCAUGCUAAUCAUGCUAAAACAAGUGACAAUGAUAAGGAGAAAAUUGAGCUUCUAACUAAAGAAUUAAACUCUCUUAAGUUAGCUCAUGAAACUAUCUAUGAAGAUCAUCGAGAACUUUUAAGGGCUCAUGAGAAGUUACGCUUUGAAAAACUCAAUCUUGAGCAAGAGCAUGAGUUCUUAAAAGCAAUCAAUGAUGAUCUUCGCAAGAAAAGUUCUUCUUACAUUGCCAAGCAUUUACUCUUAUCUACUUACAUGCCUCAAGUCAAGUCUAGUAACAAGUACAAGAAAGAUACUUCCUCUAGUAGUAACAAUAAUAAUGUUAAAUCCAAUGUUGUUGCUUCUAGUAGUUCUCUUGAUUCCACUAAUGAUUCUCUUAGCCAAGUUACACUUGAGCAAGAAAAUAGCUUAUUGAAGGGAAUUAUAGAGAAAGGUGUUUACAAGAGCCUUGCCGGGAGUAAGCAAUUCGAGGAAAUUGUACGCAAGCAAGGAAGGCACCGGAAGAAUCAAGGUGUUGGUUUUGAACGAAAGUUCAAUGCCAAUGGAGUUGAGUGGGAAGAAGAUCAAUAAGCCCAAGACGAAGUUUGUUCCUCAACAAGAGAAGUAUGAUCCUACUUCCUUCAAAGGAACACAAGCUCAAGAUGAUCUUCCACCACAAGACCACAAGAACAAAGGCAAGGACAAGCUUCAAGAAGAGAUUGAUGCAUUUGAAGAAGCACCUAAAGCCUCAUUCAAGUGGGUCCCCAAGACUACGUCAAGUUCUACUUCAUCAAGUACAACUACAACUCCAAGGAUUCCCAUCAAGAUGAUGUGGAUCCCGAAGAAGAAGAACUAGAGAGUUCUUGAGGGUGACUCCACCAACAUUCUUCACUCAUAUCUUUUUUGGCAAGAACAAGUGCAAUCAACUUCCACAUCUUGCACUAGUUCAAGGAGUCACAAACCCUCAUGUUGGUAAGACAAGGGACAAGGUAACCUAAUAAUUUCAUGGACAUCAUCUUGUGUGUGCACCACUCUAUGUCUAUGGAUAUUCUUGUUUGUUCCUUGUGGGACUAACCCAUGUAGGUAAGUUGAAAGUGCAACUCACUCCAAAGGAUUGCUCCAAAUGGUCUACAUCAACAUUGAGCAUCUACAUCUUCAACACCUACAUGAAGUCAUCGUCGACAAAACCCAAGGUUAGUUCAUCCCUCUAAGGGGGGAUCUCACAUCUAGGGGGAGCUUAGCUCUAAGAAUUGAGUCUAAGCAACUCUAAUGGUGUGAACACAUUAAUGCAUUAUGUAAAAGUGGUAACCCCACUUGAGCUUAAACGAUGAGUAUGACCUAUGAUCAAAUGUUCUCAUUUGACUCCUAAGUCAAUAUACUCGUAUAUAGAUGACCUAGUCAUCGCCAAAUUGCUUCAUAGAUGCUAAAAUUGGUUGUGCAUGCUUUGCCACAUAUUUCAUUUGGUAUCUUAUUGUGUGAGCAUGUUGGUGCAUAUUUUACUCAUUCAAGGACAUCCGCUUGUAGUUUUGAUUGUUUGGUUUCUUUUCUCUUUGCCAAGUGGAUGGACAAGAAUGCCUAAGAACCUUCUUUAGCUAUCUAUGCUUUUCUCAUCUCAAACUCUAUUCAUGCUACAUCACAAAAUUUGAUCAAGUCAGAUUCGAACCACUCUGUUUGAGGAGCACUCGGAGUCCCCGAUUCGUCAUAGACUUAAACUUCCAAAACCUCUUUGUGAUUCUCGGUCUGACCGAUUCUUCCAUUUUGGUCCUACCGAGAUCACCAAGUUGAUCUGAGUUUUCAAUCUCGGUGCAACCAAUUUGAACUUUUCGGUCUAACCGAUUUGCUAUAACUGAACACAGUUAUGCAUCUCGGUGCCACCGAGUUGUUCCACUCGGUCACACCGACAGGGUCGGGCUAUAUAUAGCCACGGGCAAAAGUUUGGAAAUUUCUCCGAAACCCUUCACCCGCGCAAUAGCUCGCUCUGCCAUCGUGGUCUCCGGAUCGUCUCCUCGCUGCCAGCAGCCUCCUGUUGCUGGUCUUCGUCGCCGUCAACGGAAAUCGUCCCCGCCGUUGCCGCCGUAGCAAGUCCACCUCCAAGUUAGGGUAUGGACUUGAUCUUUGUGCUAUCCACGUCUGAUUCCUAGCACAUUGUUUUCAUAUUGAUUCUUGCCACGAUUGAGAUUCUUCUAUCCAACCAAAAUAGUCCGUAGUUUAGAUGCGAUUCAAAUUUUUAGGGUUAGGUUUCCGCCAAAACCAUAUUGGAUCCACCGAGUUGAAAAACUCGGUCUCACCGAUUUGGCGUAUGCCAUUGCACUAGUGACUCUCGGUCUGACCGAGAAUUACUAAUCGGUGCGACCGAUUUGAGGAUUCUGUGAAACCCUAGCAGUCUCGGUGCCACCGAACUAAAACUCAGUCCAACCGAGAUCAUCAGUUUAGGCUCCAAAACUACUUCGAUAUCACCGAGUUUGAAAAUCGGUUGAUCCGAAAUGCUUUCUGUGGAAAACUAAAACUAAACUUUUGAAUUAUUCUUUUGCAAAAAUCUCUGCAUUUUGUGAUGCUUAUCUAUUCUAUCUCAUCUAUAACUCUUCACAGGGUCAGAAGUCAGCUUUUGCAGUAUGUCUGAUCAGAGUGACAGCCAGAACAGGUCUGAAGAGCACAUGGACUUGAGUGAGGGCACUAGUCCCUCAACUUCGGAUGAUGGGAGCAGAAGUACUCCUAGCAACUUGCUUAAGGCUGCAACUAGGCAAAGGAAAAAGAGAACCUCAGACUCAGAGGAUGAGGAUUACAAAGCUGAGGAGGAUGAGGCCACUUCCAAAAAGGUGGUGCUCAAGAAAGAGUAUGGCUCUGCACAAAGCACAAAAACAGGCCUGAAGAAGAAAGUUCCUGCCAAGAGAACUCCAAUGCCAAAGGCCAGGCAGUCCACUCAAGUGCCAGCUCAAGCUCAACCCAAAGUGGCACCUGCAAGGAAAGAAGCACCAUCAAAACCUCAGAAAGUCCCCACUGGUGCAACCAUGAAAUUCACAAUUGAAUCAUAAGAUGAUGGUGAUCAGGACAAGAAAAAGAAGAGAGCUAGAACCACAACUGCCAAGGUCCUUGGAAAGCCCUCAAUGAGAAGGGAUUCUGAUGAAGAGGAAGAGGAUGCUGCACCAGCUCCUAAGGCAGCCAAGCUUAUGGGAGAUGCAAUCAGGUCAGGGGCUGCAACAUCCAAGCCCAAAGAUGCACCCAAAGCUGCCUCCAAGGCCAAGCAAGCUCCAAAGAGGAAUACUAGGAGUAUUCCAGCUACUGAAAAGAACAAGGCCCCAGUGCCAAAUGUUGCAGAAGAUGAAGAUGAAGAAGGACAGGUCCUCAGAAAGCUCAAGCCCAAGAUACCAGACCACAAUGAUGCCCAUCCUGUGGCUGAGGACAUGAGAAUCAGGAAGGAUUCGGGGCUGAGGCUGUGGAGGAUGGAGGACCCAUAUGCUUCAAGAAGAAGAACUGAUGUUGACUACAGGUUCCACACAAAGGAACAGCAGGACUUUUAUGAGACCAUUCUGUUGGACAAGAAGCCCAUUGUCUGUGAUAUGAGGUGGGUUGACUAGAAAUUCAUCAGGGAGAAUGAGCAGCACUACCCUGGAGUGGAGGAGAGCUUUAUUGCUUGUGGAGUAGCAGAUCUUGUUGGACAAAAGUUCACCAACUGGAAUGAUGAGCUUAUCAUGCAGUUCUACUCCACAGCACACUUUUAUCCAGAUGGUAGAAUUGUGUGGAUGUCUGAAGGUACAAGGUACCAUUCCACUGUUGGAGAAUGGGCAAGUUUGAUCAAUGCCCCCAAGGAAGAAGAAGAUGACCUGGACAUAUAUGCCAAGAAAAAGUUGGGACACAAUUCAAUGGCUCACAUGUACAAGGAAAUUCCUGACAAGGCUGUUGAGACUCACAAGUUUGGAUCCGUUCACUUUCUGUUGUCAGGGUUGGCAACCAUCAAUUGGAUUUUGGGGCACACCUUGUUGCCCAAGUCAGGUGACCAUAACAUGAUCAGAGGGCAUGCCAUCAACAUGCUGCAUGUGUUUGAUGUGCCCCAGAAAUUCAAAGUCAUGAGCCUCAUCAUUGAAACAAUCAAGAGGACUACAGCAGAUCAGAAGAGGAGCUGUGGAUAUGCACCUUAGAUUCAAGAAUUGAUCAACUCCAAGAUGGGCAUAGGAAAAUAUCAGUUGGAUAAGGAACGUUUUCCAAUUUAUCCAGACUUUGAGGACAAUGAGGUUGUCAUGAAUGAAGAUGAUCCACAAUCAGUCCAAGCUCAGUAGAAGAAGGAGAAGGCAAAGAAGGAGAAGGCUGCCAAGAUGCCAACUCAAGAGGAGGCAUCUGAGUAUUUCUUGAAGACCAAACAAGAGCAGCUUGGUUACCUGAUAGCAUCAACUCUGAGGAUUGAGAAAGGGUUGGCCACCCUAACUCAAAACCAGGAGAGCCUGGAGAGAAUCAUGGAACAAAACUUCUAUGAUCUAGAUGUCAAGGUAACUGAGAUUCAGUCAGUUGUGGAGCAGCUGCAGGAUGACAUGCAGGAGAGGAAGGGCAAGACAACUACCAAUGUGUUUGCCAGAGUGCCCAGAGCCCAGAGGUCAGUUGCAGUGCCAGUGACAGACACUAGAGCUACAACUUCAGCACCAGCUACUGCCCCAACAGUUCCAGUGCAACCAGCUCCAGCACCAACUCCUCCAGCACCCUCUACUUCAACUGAAGCCUUCGUCCUAGGAGCCAUCUCUACACCACCACCAGAAGAUCAAGCCUGAGAGACGAUCUAGCACUAUGCAUUUUCUAUGAACUUUUUGGUAACUUGUUGCCAAAGGGGGAGAAAAAUGUAUAGAUCAUAGGCUUCGAGAGAGAGUGUUGCUUUUGUUCUCUCUUGCUUUAUUUGGUGUUUUUUCAAACUUUGUUUGCUUUUGGUUGAGAUACUAUGCUUGUGAGACAUUGAUGAUCAUGUGUUUGAUCAUAAGAUACACUUAUGCAUGCUUGAUAUUAUCCUAUCUAUCCUAUGUGAUCAUUCACUAUGCUUGGUGAUGAGUGCUUGUAUUCAUUUUUUAUUAUUUUGAGUGCUCCACCAAGAUGUAUGUGACAUGGAAGAGUAACCCAUGAGCCUAAUUCAUUGUGCAUUUGCAGUCCAAAGCAAAUCUUAAACUAUGCACAAAUUUAGGGGGAGCUCUUGCUUAUCACAUACUUCUCAAAGCGACGAUGUCAUUCAAUCUUAUUAUCAUUUGUCGAAGCUUUGAUCUAUAUGUUGUCAUAAAUUACCAAAAAGGGGGAGAUUGAAAGUGCAACUAUCCCUAGGUGGUUUUGGUAAUUAAUAACAACAUAUAGCUCAUUGAGCUAAUGCUAUUCCAAGACUAUUAUUUCAGGAAAGCUCAAUGAAUGGCAUGGCAUGGAUGAUGAAAGUGGAUCCCUCAAAAUUCUAAGGACAAAGGAUUGGCUCAAGCUCAAAAGCUCAAGACUCUUCAUUUUACAUUUUAGUGAUCCAAGAUCACAUUGAGUCUAUAGGAAAAGCCAAUACUAUCAAGGAGGGAUGAGGUGUUGCUUAAUGAGCCUCUUGCUUCAAUGUGCUUAGUGAUAUGCUCCAAAACCCUCAACUACUUUCCCACAUCCACAAAUAACCUAAACCCAAAGCCAAAAUUGGUCACACCGAAACUUCCUAUCCGGCGCCACCGAUUCCAAAAGUCAUAGCCACUGCCACAAACCCUAAGCAAAUCGGUCUUAUUGAUAGGGAUCUCGGUCUCACCGAGAUGGGGUUGCAAUCUCUCUGUUUCCCUUCGUAACGUUUCGGUCUAACCAAAGUGAGAGAUCGGUCCCACCGAGAUUGCAAUGUAAACUCUCUGUUUCCUUUUUGUAACAUUUCGGUCUCACCGAAAAGAGCAAACCGGUCCCACCGAGUUUACCUGACCAACUCUCUGGAGAGCUUAUUACCAAAUCGGUCUCACCGAGUUUGUGUAAUCGGUCUUACCGAGAUUACGUUAUGCCCUAACCCUAACCGAAUCGGUCUCACCAAGAUGCAUGUCGGUCCCACUGAAGAUCACUAACGGUCACUAGGUUUACUAAAUCAGUCCGACCGAGUUUAACAAUUCGGUCCCACCGAGUUUGGUAAAUUGUGUGUAACGGUUAGAUUUUGUGUGGAGGCUAUAUAUACCCCUCCACCUCCUCUUCAUUCGUGGAGUGAGCCAUCAGAACGAACCUACACUUCCAGCAUACAUUUUCUGAGAGAGAACUACCUACUCAUGUGUUGAGGCAAAGAUAUUCCAUUCCGACCAUAUGAAUCUUGAUCUCUAGCCUUCCCCAAGUUGCUUUCCACUCAAAUCUUCUUUCCAACAGAUCCAAACCCAUUGAGAGAGAGUUGAGUGUUGGGGAGACUAUCAUUUGAAGCACAAGAGCAAGGAGUUCAUCAUCAACGCACCAUUUGUUACUUCUUGGAGAGUGGUGUCUCCUAGAUUGGCUAGGUGUCACUUGGGAGCCUCCGACAAGAUUGUGGAGUUGAACCAAGGAGUUUGUAAGGGCAAGGAGAUCGCCUACUUCGUGAAGAUCUACCGCUAGUGAGGAAAGUCCUUCGUGGGCGACGGCCAUGGUGGGAUAGACAAGGUUGCUUCUUCGUGGACCCUUCUUGGGUGAAGCCCUCCGUGGACUCGCGCAGCCGUUACCCUUCAUGGGUUGAAGUCUCCAUCAACGUGGAUGUACGAUAGCACCACCUAUCGGAACCACGCCAAAAACAUCCGUGUCUCCAAUUGCGUUUGAAUCCUCCAAACCCUUCCCUUUACUUUCUUGCAAGUUGCAUGCUUUAAUUUCCGCUGCCUAUAUACUCUUUGCAUGCUUGCUUGAAUUGUGUGAUGAUUGCUUGACUUGUCCUAAAGUAGCUAAAAUCUGCCAAACUCUAAAAUUGGGNNNNNNNNNNNNNNNNNNNNNNNNNNNNNNNNNNNNNNNNNNNNNNNNNNNNNNNNNNNNNNNNNNNNNNNNNNNNNNNNNNNNNNNNNNNNNNNNNNNNNNNNNNNNNNNNNNNNNNNNNNNNNNNNNNNNNNNNNNNNNNNNNNNNNNNNNNNNNNNNNNNNNNNNNNNNNNNNNNNNNNNNNNNNNNNNNNNNNNNNNNNNNNNNNNNNNNNNNNNNNNNNNNNNNNNNNNNNNNNNNNNNNNNNNNNNNNNNNNNNNNNNNNNNNNNNNNNNNNNNNNNNNNNNNNNNNNNNNNNNNNNNNNNNNNNNNNNNNNNNNNNNNNNNNNNNNNNNNNNNNNNNNNNNNNNNNNNNGGGCUGGCCUGGUGCCACUGCCAGCGGGCCCCACGCCCUACCUUUAAAAAAAGGUUUUAAAAAAAUAUAUUAAUAAAAUUAAUUAAUUAAUUAACUAAUUAAUUAGUCAGUAAUUAAUUAUUUAACUUAAUUAACUCUGUUUAACUACCCUAAUUAACUAGGUUAACUAAUUAGAUUUGUUUAUUUAAGUUAGGUCAAUGACAGGUGGCCCCCACUCAAACUUUUUGACCGGUCAACAGUUGACUGUUGACUGCUGACUCAGCAGUCAACAGGGCCCAGUGUCAGCCUCUGUACUGCACUGCUGUGUACACUUUGUGUGUGCACGUAGCAAUUUAGUCUUGUUUUUUGAAUUAAUAUUAAAUCCAAUAAUUUCUGAAUAUUGUUAAAUCUUUGAAAAAUCAUAGAAAUUAAACCGUAGCUCGGAUGAAAAUGUUUUCUACAUGAAAGUUGCUCAGAACGACGAGAUGAAUCCGAAUACGCCCUCCUUUCAUCUAUCACACACCCCAAGCAUAGCAAACGUUGAACUUUUCCCCUGCGGUUCAUCUGUCUGACAAACGUCCGGAACCAGGAAAACUUUCCCGGAUGUUUUCCCCCUUCGCCAGUAUCGCCUAGCACUGCGUUAGUGUUGGGGAACGUAGUAAUUUCAAAAAAAUUCCGACGCACACGCAAGAUCAUGGUGAUGGCAUAGCAACGAGAGGGGAGAGUAUUGUCCACGUACCCUUGUAGACCAUAAGCAGAAGCGUUAUGACAACGCGGUUGAUGUAGUCGUACGUCUUCACGAUCCGACCGAUCCAAGUACCGAACGUACGGCACCUCCGAGUUCAGCACACGUUCAGCUCGAUGACGUUCCCCGGACUCCGAUCCAGCAGGGUGUCGGGGAUGAGUUCCGUCAGCACGACGGCGUGGUGACGAUGAUGAUGUUCUACCGGCGCAGGGCUUCGCCUAAACUCCGCGACGAUAUGACCGAGGUGGAAUAUGGUGGAGGGGGGCACCGCACACGGCUAAGGAACGAUCCGUAGAUCAACUUGUGUGUCAUAGGGUGCCCUCCUGCCCCCGUAUAUAUAGGAGCCAGGGGGAGGGGCGGCCGGCCAAGGAGGGCGCGCCAAGGGGGAGUCCAACUCCCACCGGGAGUAGGACUCACUUCUUUCCUAGUUGGAGUAGGAGAAGGGGGAAGGAGGAGGAAGAGGGGAAGGAAAGGGGGGGCGCCGCCCCCUUCUCCUUGUCCUAUUCGGACUAGGAAGGGGAGGGGGCGUGGCCCACCUCUUGCCUCCUCUCCUCUUCUUCCUUAUGGCCCAUGAAGGCCCAAUAACCCCCUGGAGGGUUCCGGUAACCCCCCGGUACUCCGGUAAAAUGCCGAUUUCACCCGGAACACUUCCGAUGUCCAAACAUAGGCUUCCAAUAUAUCAAUCUUUAUGUCUCGACCAUUUCGAGACUCCUCUUCAUGUCCGUGAUCAUAUCCGGGACUCCGAACAAACUUCGGUACAUCAAAACUUAUAAACUCAUAAUGAAACUGUCAUCGUAACGUUAAGCGUGCGGACCCUACGGGUUUGAGAACUAUGUAGACAUGACCUAGAACUAUUCUCGGUCAAUAACCAAUAGCGGAACCUGGAUGCCCAUAUUGGUUCCUACAUAUUCUAUGAAGAUCUUUAUCGGUCAAACCGCAUAACAACAUACGUUGUUCCCUUUGUCAUCGGUAUGUUACUUGCCCGAGAUUCGAUCGUCGGUAUCCAAUACCUAGUUCAAUCUUGUUUACCGGCAAGUCUCUUUACUCGUUACAUAAUGCAUCAUUCCGUAACUAACUCAUUUAGCUACAUUGCUUGCAAGGCUUAUAGUGAUGUGCAUUACCGAGAGGGCCCAGAGAUACCUCUCCGACAAUCGGAGUGACAAAACCUAAUCUCGAAAUACGCCAACCCAACAUGUACCUUUGGAUACACCUGUAGUGCUCCCUUAUAAUCACCCAGUUACGUUGUGACGUUUGGUAGCACCCAAAGUGUUCCUCCGGUAUACGGGAGUUGCAUAAUCUCAUAGUUACAGGAACAUGUAUAAGUCAUGAAGAAAGCAAUAGCAACAUACUAAACGAUCAAGUGCCAGGCUAACGGAAUGGGUCAUGUCAAUCACAUCAUUCUCCUAAUGAUGUGAUCCCAUUAAUCAAAUGACAACUCUUUUGUCCAUGGUUAGGAAACAUAACCAUCUUUGAUAAACGAGCUAGUCAAGUAGAGGCAUACUAGUGACACUAUGUUUGUCUAUGUAUUCACACAUGUAUUAUGUUUCCGGUUAAUACAAUUCUAGCAUGAAUAAUAAACAUUUAUCAUGAAAUAAGGAAAUAAAUAAUAACUUUAUUAUUGCCUCUAGGGCAUAUUUCCUUCAGUCUCCCACUUGCACUAGAGUCAAUAAUCUAGUUCACAUCGCCAUGUGAUUUAACACCAAUAUUCAUAUCUGUAUAGGAUUAACACCCAUAGUUCACAUCGUCAUGUGACCAACACCCAAAGGGUUUACUAGAGUCAAUAAUCUAGUUCACAUCACUUAUGUGAUUAACACCCAAAGAGUACUAAGGUGUGAUCAUGUUUUGCUCCUGACAGAACCUUAGUCAACGGGUCUGUCACAUUCAGAUCCAUAUGUAUUUUGCAAAUAUAUUAUGUCUACAAUGCUCUGUAUGGAGCUACUCUAGCUAUUUCUCCCACUUUCAAUAUGUAUCCAGAUUGAGACUUAGAGUCAUCUGAAUCGGUGUAAAAGCUUGCACCGUUGUAACUCUUUACGACGGGCUCUUUUAUCACCUCCAUAAUCGAGAAAUAUUUCAUUAGUCCUCACUAAGGAUAUUCUUGACCAAUGUUCAGUGAUCUACUCCUAGAUCACUAUUGUACUCCCUUGCCAAAAUCAGAGGAAGGUAUACAAUAGGUCUGAUACAUUGCAUAACAUACUUUAUAGAACCUAUGACUGAGGCAUAGGGAAUGACUUUCAUUCUCUUUUCUAUUUUCUGCUGUGGUCGGGAUUUGAGUCUUACUCAAUUUCAUACCUUUGUAAAACAGGCAAGAACUCUUUCUAUGACUGUUCCAUUUUGAACUACUUCAAAAUCUUGUCAAGGUAUGUAUGUUGGGGAACGUAGCAGAAAUUCAAAAUUUUCCUACGUGUCACCAAGAUCUAUCUAUGGAGAAACCAGCAACGAGGGGAAGGAGAGUGCAUCUACAUACCCUUGUAGAUCGCUAAGCGGAAGCGUUCAAGAGAAUGGGGUUGAAGGAGUCGUACUCGUCGUGAUUCAAAUCACCUGAGAUCCUAGUGCCGAACGGACGGCACCUCCGCGUUCAACACACGUACAGCUCGGUGACGUCUCCCACGCCUUGAUCCAGCAAGGAGAGAGGGAGAGUUUGAGGAAGACUCCAUCCAACAGCAGCACAACGGCGUGGUGGUGAUGGAGGAGCGUGGCUAGAAGAGGAGGAAGAAGAGACGCAGGGCUGCACCAACCAGAGAUCGAAAUCGCGUGUUAUGGGCAGCCCUAGGCCUCAUAUAUAUAGGGAAGGGGAGGGGCUGCGCCCCCUCUAGGGUUCCCACCCCCUAGGGGGGCGGCAGCCCUGGAUGGGGAUCAAGGAUGGCGGCCAAGAGGGGGAGAGGAGAGGGAGGCGCACCAAUAUGGGCCCUAAGGCCCAUAUCCCCUUAGGGUUUGCCCCCUUUCCACCUCUUAGGCGCCAUGGGCCCUUGUGGGAGGCGCACCAGCCCACUAAGGGGCUGGUCCCUCACCACUCUUAGCCCACGCAUGCCUCCGGGGUUGGUGGCCCCACUUGGUGGACCCCCGGGACCCUCGCGGUGGUCCCGGUACGUUACCGAUAAACCCCGAAACUCUUCCGGUGACCAAAACAGGACUUCCCAUAUAUAAAUCUUUACCUCCGGACCAUUCCGGAACUCCUCGUGACGUCCGGGAUCUCAUCCGGGACUCCGAACAACAUUCGGUAACCACAUACAAGCUUCCUUUAUAACCCUAGCGUCACCGAACCUUAAGUGUGUAGACCCUAUGGGUUCGGGAGACAUGUAGACAUGACCGAGACGUUCUCCGGUCAAUAACCAACAGCGGGAUCUGGAUACCCAUGUUGGCUCCCACAUGUUCCACGAUGAUCUCAUCGGAUGAACCAUGAUGUCAAGGACUUAAUCAAUCCCAUAUGCAAUUCCCUUUGUCUAGCGGUAUUUUACUUGCCCGAGAUUCGAUCGUCGGUAUACCGAUACCUUGUUCAAUCUCGUUACCGGCAAGUCUCUUUACUCGUUCCGUAACACAUCAUCCCGUGAUCAACCCCUUGGUCACAUUGUGCACAUUAUGAUGAUGUCCUACCGAGUGGGCCCACAGAUACCUCUCCAUUUACACGGAGUGACAAAUCCCAGUCUCGAUCCGCAUAAAACAAUAGAUACUUUCGGAGAUACCUGUAGUGCACCUUUAUAGUCACCCAGUUACGUUGUGACGUUUGAUACACCCAAAGCACUCCUACGGUAUCCAGGAGUUACACGCUCUCAUGGUCAAAGGAAGAGAUACUUGACAUUGGCAAAGCUCUAGCAAACGAACUACACGAUCUUUGUGCUAUGCUUAGGAUUGGGUCUUGUCCAUCACAUCAUUCUCCUAAUGAUGUGAUCCCGUUAUCAACGACAUCCAAUGUCCAUAGCCAGGAAACCAUGACUAUCUGUUGAUCACAACGAGCUAGUCAACUAGAGGCUCACUAGGGACAUAUUGUGGUCUAUGUAUUCACACGUGUAUUACGAUUUCCGGAUAAUACAGUUAUAGCAUGAAUAAAAGACUAUUAUCAUGAACAAAGAAAUAUAAUAAUAGCUUAUUUAUUAUUACCUCUAGGGCAUAUUUCCAACAGUCUCCCACUUGCACUAGAGUCAAUAAUCUAGUUCACAUCACCAUGUGAUUAACACUGACAGGUCACAUCACCAUGUGACCAACAUCCAAAGAGUCUUGGGUUUGAUCAUGUUGCUUGUGAGAGAGGUUUUUAGUCAACGGGUCUGAACCUUUCAGAUCCGUGUGUGCUUUACAAAUCUCUAUGUCAUCUCCUAGAUGCAGCUACCACGCUCUAUUUGGAGCUAUUCCAAAUAACUGUUCUACUUGGAGCUAUUCUAAAUUGUUGCUCCAUUAUACGUAUCCGGUAUCUCUACUUAGAGCUAUCCGGAUAGGUGUUAAGCUUGCAUCGACGUAACCUUUACGACGAACUCUUUUACCACCUCCAUAAUCGAGAAAGUUCCUUAGUCCACCAGUUACUAAGGAUAACUUUGACCGCUGUCUGUGAUCCACUCUUGGAUCACUCUUGUACCCCUUGACUAACUCAUGGCAAGGCACACUUCAGGUGCGGUACACAGCAUAGCAUACUUUAGAGCCUAUGUCUUAAGCAUAGGAGAUGACCUUCGUCCUUUCUCUCUAUUCUGCCAUGGUCGAGCUUUAAGUCUUAACUUCGUACCUUACAACUCAGGCAAGAACUUCUUCUUUGACUGAUCCAUCUUGAAUACCUUCAAGAUCAUGUCAAGGUAUGUGCUCAUUUGAAAGUACCAUUAAGCGUUUUGAUCCAUCCUCAUAGAUCUUGAUGCUCAAUGUCCAAGUAGUUUAUUCCAGGUUUUCUAUUGAAAAACACCUUUCAAAUAACCCUAUAUGCUUUCUAGAAAUUCUACAUCAUUUCUGAUCAACAAUAUGUUAACAACAUAUACUCAUCAGAAAUUCUAUAGUGCUCCCACUCACUUCUUUGGAAAUACAAGUUUCUCAUAAACUUUGUAUAAAACCAAAAAUCUUUGAUCAUCUUAUCAAAGUGCACAUUCCAACUCCGAGAUGCUUACUUCAGUCCAUGGAAGGAUCGCUAGAGCUAGCAUACCUUUUAGCAUCCUUAGGAUUGACAAAACCUUUCUGAUUGUAUUACAUACAACCUUUCCUUACGAAAACUGGUAAGGAAACUCGUUUUGACAUCCAUCUGCCAGAUUUCAUAAAUGCAGCUAAUGCUAACAUGAAUCCGAUGGACUUAAGCAUCGCUACGGAUGAGAAAAUCUCAUCGUAGUCAACUCCUUGAACUUGUGGAAAAAAAACUCUUCGCCACAAGUCGAGCUUCAUAGACGGUGACAUUACCGUCCACGUCCGUCUUCUUCUUAAAGAUCCAUUUAUCUUAAUGGCUUGCCGAUCAUUGGGCAAGUCCACCAAAGUCCAUGCUUUGUUCUGAUACAUGGAUCCUAUCUCGGAUUUCAUGGUUUCUUAACCAUUUGUCGGAAUUUGGGCCCACCAUCGCUUCUCCAUAGCUCGUAGGUUCAUUGUUGUCUAGCAACAUGACCUUCAAGACAGGAUUACUGUACCACUCUGAAGUAGUACGUAUCCUUGUCACCCUACGAGGUACGGCAGUGACUUGAUCCGAAACUUCAUGAUCACUAUCAUAAGCUUCUACUUCAAUUGGUGUAGGUGCCACAUGAACAACUUCCUGUGCCCUGAUACACACUGGUUGAAGUGAUGGUUCAAUAACCAUAUCAAGUCUCCACCAUCCUCCCACUCAACUCUUUCGAGAGAAACCUUUCCUCGAGAAAGGACCCGAUUCAAGAAACAAUCCAUAUUGCUUUCGGAUCUAAAUUAGGAGGUAUACCCAACUGUUUUGGGUGUCCUAUGAAGAUGCGUUUUAUCCGCUUUGGGUUCGAGCUUAUCAAUCCUGAAACUUUUUCACAUAAGCGUCGCAGCCCCAAACCUUUAAGAAACGACAACUUAGGUUUCUCUAAACCAUAAUUCAUACGGUGUCAUCUCAACAGAAUUACGUGGUGCCCUAUUUAAAGUGAAUGUGGUUGUCUCUAAUGCCUAACCCAUGAACAAUAGUGGUAAUUCGAUAAGAGACAUCAUGGUACGCACCAUAUCCAAUAGGGUGCAACUAUGAUGUUCGGACACACCAUCACACUAUGGUGUUCCUGGCGGUAUUAAUUGCGAAACAAUUUCCACAAUGUCUUAAUUGUGUGCCAAAACUCGUAACUCAGAUAUUCGUCUCUAUGAUCAUAUCAUAGACAUUUUAUCCUCUUGUCACAAUGAUCUUCUACUUCACUCUGAAAUUACUUGAACCAUUCAAUAAUUUAGACUUGUGUUUCAUCAAGUAAAUAUUCUCAACAUCUACUCGAAUCAUCUGUGAAGUAAGAACAUAACGAUAUUCACUGCAUGCCUCAGCACUCAUUGGACUGCACACAUCAAAAUGUGUUACUUCCAACAAGUUGCUAUCUUGUUCCAUCUUACUGAAACCGAGGUUUUUCAGUCAUCUUGUCCAUGUGGUAUGAUUUGCAUAUCUCAAGUGAUUCAAAAUCAAGUGAGUCUAAAUGAUCCAUCUGCAUGGAGUUUCUUCAUGCAUAUACACCAAUAGACAUGGUUCGCAUGUCUCAAACUUUUCAAAAACGAGUGAGUCCAAAGAUCCAUCAACAUGGAGCUUCUUCAUGCGUUUUAUACCAUUAUGACUUACAUGGCAGUGCCACAAGUAAGUGGUACUAUCAUUACUAUCUUAUAUCUUUUGGCAUGAAAAUGUGUAUCACUACGAUCGAGAUUCAAUAAACCAUUCCUUUAGGUGCAAGACUAUUGAAGGUAUUAUUCAAAUAAAUAGAGUAACCAUUAUUCUCUUUAAAUGAAUAACCGUAUUGCGAUAGACAUAAUCCAAUUAUGUCUAUGUUCAACGCAAACACCAAAUGACAAUUAUUCAGGUUUAACACUAAUCUUGAUGGUAGAGGGAGCGUGCGAUGUUUGAUCACAUCAAACUUGGAAACACUUCCAACACUUAUCGUCAGCUCACCUUCAGCUAGUCUCCAUUUAUUCCGUAGCUUUUAUUUCGAGUUACUAACACUUAGCAACCGAACCGGUAUCCAAUACCCUGGUGCUACUAGGAGUACUAGUAAAGUACACAUUAACAUAAUGUAUAUCCUAUAUACUUCUAUAGACCUUGCCAGCCUUCUCAUCUACCAAGUAUCUAGGGUAAUCCUGCUCCAGUGGUUGUUCCCCUUAUUACAGAAGCACUUAGUCUCGGGUUUGGGUUCAACCUUGGGUUUCUUCACUAGAGCAGCAGCUGAUUUGCCGUUUCAUGAAGUAUCCCUUCUUGCCCUUGCCCUUCUUGAAACUAGUGGUUUCACCAACCAUCAACAAUUGAUGCUCCUUCUUGAUUUCUACUUUCGCGGUGUCAAACAUCACGAAUACCUCAAGGAUCGUCAUAUCUAUCCCUGAUAUGUUAUAGUUCAUCACAAAGCUCUAGCAGCUUGGUGGCAAUGACUUUUGGAGAAACAUCACUAUCUCAUCUGGAAGAUUAACUCCCACUCGAUUCAAGUGGUUGUUGCACUCAGACAAUCUGAGCACAAGCUCAACGAUUGAGCUUUUCUCCCUUAGUUUGUAGGCUAAGAAAAUCGUCGGAGGUCUCAUACCUCUUGACGUGGGCACGAGCCUGAAAUCCCAAUUUCAGCCCUUGAAACAUCUCAUAUGUUCCGCGAUAUUUCGAAAAACGUCUUUAGUGCCUCAACUCUAAACCGUUUAACUGAACUAUCACGUAGUUAUCAAAACGUGUAUGUCCGAUGUUCACAACAUCCACAAACGACGUUUGGGGUUUAGCACACUGAGCGGUGCAUUGAGGACAUAAGCUUUCUACUGUCCGCAUAAUCGCUACUAUCAACUUUCAACUAUAUUUUCUCUAGGAACAUAUCUAAACAGUGGAACUAAAGCGCGAGCUCACGACAUAAUUUGCAAAAGGUCUUUUUGACUAUGUUCAGGAUAAUUAAGUUCAUCUUAUGAACUCCCACUCAGAUAGACAUCCCUCUGGUCAUCUAAGUGAUUACAUGAUCCGAGUCAACUAGGCCGUGUCCGAUCAUCACGUGAGACGGACUAGUCAUCAUCGGUGAACAUCUUCAUGUUGAUCGUAUCUACUAUACGACUCAUGCUCGACCUUUCGGUCUCCGUGUUCCGAGGCCAUGUCUGUACAUGCUAGGCUCGUCAAGUUAACCAUAAGUGUUUUCGCUGUGUAAAACUGUCUUACACCCGUUGUAUGUGAACGUAAGAAUCCAUCACACCCGAUCAUCACGUGGUGCUUAGAAGCGACGAACUGUAGCAACGGUGCACAGUUAGGGGAGAACACUUCUUGAAAUUUUGUAAUGGAUCAUCUUAUUUACUACCGUCGUCCUAAGUAAACAAGAUGCAUAAACAUGAUAAACAUCACAUGCAAUCAAAUAGUGACAUGAUAUGGCCAAUAUCAUUUUGCUCCUUUUGAUCUCCAUCUUCGGGGUUCCAUGAUCAUCAUCGUCACCGGCAUGACACCAUGAUCUCCAUCAUCAUGAUCCCCAUUAUCGUGUCUUCAUGAAGUUGUCACGCCAACGACUACUUCUACUUCUAUGACUAACGCGUUUAGCAAUAAAGUAAAGUAAGUUACAUGGCGUUGUUCAAUGACACGCAGGUCAUACAAUAAAUAAAGACAACUCCUAUGGCUCCUGCCGGUUGUCAUUCUCAUCGACAUGCAAGUCGUGAAUCCUAUUACAAGAACAUGAUCAAUCUCAUACAUCACAUAUCAUUCAUCACAUUCUUCUUGGCCAUAUCACAUCACAUAGCAUACCCUGCAAAAACAAGUUAGACGUCCUCUAAUUGUUGUUUGCAUGUUUUACGUGGCUGCUAUGGGUUUCUAGCAAGAACGUUUCUUACCUACGCAAAACCACAACGUGAUAUGUCAAUUUCUAUUUACCCUUCAUAAGGACCCUUUUCAUCGAAUCCGUUCCGACUAAAGUGGGAGAGACUGGCACCCGCUAGCCACCUUAUGCACCAAGUGCAUGUCAAUCAGUGGAACCUGUCUCACGUAAGAGUACGUGUAAGGUCGGUCCGGGCCGCUUCAUCCCACAAUACCGUCGAAACAAGAUUGGACUAGUAACGGUAAGCAUAUUGAACAAAAUCAACGCCCACAACUACUUUGUGUUCUACUCGUGCAAAGAAUCUACACAAUAGACCUAGCUCAUGAUGCCACUGUUGGGGAACGUAGCAGAAAUUCAAAAUUUUCCUACGUGUCACCAAGAUCUAUCUAUGGAGAAACUGAAGGAAAUAUGCCCUAGAGGCAAUAAUAAAGUUAUUAUUUAUUUCCUUAUAAUCAUGAUAAAUGUUUAUUAUUCAUGCUAGAAUUGUAUUUACCGGAAACAUAAUACAUGUGUGAAUACAUGGACAAACAGAGUGUCACUAGUAUGCCUCUACUUGACUAGCUCGUUAAUCAAAGAUGGUUAUGUUUCCUAACCAUAAACAAUGAGUUGUUAUUUGAUUAACGAGGUCACAUCAUUAGUAGAAUGAUCUGAUUGACAUGACCCAUUCCAUUAGCUUAGCACCCGAUCGUUUAGUAUGUUGCUAUUGCUUUCUUCAUGACUUAUACAUGUUCCUAUGACUAUGAGAUUAUGCAACUCCCGUUUACCGGAGGAACACUUUGGGUACUACCAAACGUCACAACGUAACUGGGUGAUUAUAAAGGAGUACUACAGGUGUCUCCAAUGGUCGAUGUUGGGUUGGCGUAUUUCGAGAUUAGGAUUUGUCACUCCGAUUGUCGGGGAGGUAUCUCUGGGCCCUCUCGGUAAUACACAUCACAUAAGCCUUGCAAGCAUUACAACUAAUAUGUUAGUUGUGAGAUGAUGUAUUACGGAACGAGUAAAGAGACUUGCCGGUAACGACAUUGAACUAGGUAUUGGAUACCGACGAUCGAAUCUCGGGCAAGUAACAUACCGAUGACAAAGGGAACAACGUAUGUUGUUAUGCGGUCUGACCGAUAAAGAUCUUCGUAGAAUAUGUAGGAGCCAAUAUGGGCAUCCAGGUCCCGCUAUUGGUUAUUGACCAGAGACGUGUCUCGGUCAUGUCUACAUUGUUCUCGAACCCGUAGGGUCCGCACGCUUAAGGUUACGAUGACAGUUAUAUUAUGAGUUUAUGCAUUUUGAUGUACCGAAGGUUGUUCGGAGUCCCGGAUGUGAUCACGGACAUGACGAGGACUCUCGAAAUGGUCGAGACGUAAAGAUUGAUAUAUUGGAAGCCUAUAUUUGGAUAUCGGAAGUGUUCCGGGUGAAAUCGGGAUUUUACCGGAAUACCGGGAGGGUUACCGGAACCCCCCGGGAGCUAUUUGGGCCAUAGUGGGCCUUAGUGGAAAAGAGAAGGGGCUGCCCUAGAUGGGCUGCGCGCCCCCCCUUCCCCUAGUCCUAUUAGGACUAGGAGAGGUGGCCGGCCCCCUCCUCCUCUUUUCCCCUCCGAGGAAUCCUAGUUGGACUAGGAUUGGAGGGGGAAUCCUACUCCCAGUGGGAGUAGGACUCUCCUGCGCCUCCCCCCCUUUGGCCGGCCAGCCUCCCCUCCUCUCCUCCUUUAUAUACGGAGGCAGGGGCACCUCUAAACACACAAGUUGACACAAGUUGAUCCACGUGAUCUAUUCCUUAGCCGUGUGCGGUGCCCCCUGCCACCAUAUACCUCGAUAAUACUGUAGCGGAGUUUAGGCGAAGCCCUGCUGCUGUAGUUCAUCAAGAUCGUCACCACGCCGUCGUGCUGACAAAACUCUUCCCCGACACUUUGCUGGAUCAGAGUCCGGGGAUCGUCAUCGGGCUGAACGUGUGCUCGAACUCGGAGGUGCCGUAGUUUCGGUGCUUGAUCGGUUGGAUCGUGAAGACGUACGACUACUUCCUCUACGUCGUGUCAUCGCUUCCGCAGUCGGUCUGCGUUGGGUACGUAGACAACACUCUCCCCUCGUUGCUAUGCAUCACAUGAUCCUGUGUGCGCGUAGGAAAAUUUUUGAAAUUACUACGAAACCCAACAGUGGCAUCCGAGCCUAGGUUAUUGAUGUUGAUGUUAUAUGCACGAGUAGAACACAAGUGAGUUGUGGACGAUACAAGUCAUACUGCCUACCAGCAUGUCAUAUUUUGGUUCGGCGGUAUUGUUGGACGAGACGACCCGGACCAACCUUACGCGUACGCUUACGCGAGACCGGUUCCCUCGACGUGCUUUGCACAGAGAUGGCUUGCGGGCGACUGCCUCUCCAACUUUAGUUGAACCAAGUAUGGCUACGCCCGAUCCUUGCGAAGGUUAAAACGGAGUCUAUUUGACAAACUAUCGUUGUGGUUUUGAUGCGUAGGUGAGAUUGGUUCUUACUUAAGCCCGUAGCAGCCACGUAAAACAUGCAACAACAAAGUAGAGGACGUCUAACUUGUUUUUGCAGGGCAUGUUGUGAUGUGAUAUGGUCAAGGCAUGAUGCUGAAUUUUAUUGUAUGAGAUGAUCAUGUUUUGUAACCGAGUUAUCGGCAACUGGCUGGAGCCAUAUGGUUGUCGCUUUAUUGUAUGCAAUGCAAUCGCGAUGUAAUGCUUUACUUUAUUACUAAACGGUAGUGAUAGUCGUGGAAGCAUAAGAUUGGUGAGACGACAACGAUGCUACGAUGGAGAUCAAGGUGUCGCGCCGGUGACGAUGGUGAUCAUGACGGUGCUUCGGAGAUGGAGAUCACAGGCACAAGAUGAUGAUGGCCAUAUCAUAUCACUUAUAUUGAUUGCAUGUGAUGUUUAUCUUUUAUGCAUCUUAUCUUGCUUUGAUUGACGGUAGCAUUAUAAGAUGAUCUCUCACUAAAUUAUCAAGAAGUGUUCUCCCUGAGUAUGCACCGUUGCCAAAGUUCGUCGUGCCCAGACACCACGUGAUGAUCGGGUGUGAUAAGCUCUACGUCCAUCUACAACGGGUGCAAGCCAGUUUUUGCACACGCAGAAUACUCAGGUUAAACUUGACGAGCCUAGCAUAUGCAGAUAUGGCCUCGGAAUACGGAGACCGAAAGGUCGAGCGUGAAUCAUAUAGUAGAUAUGAUCAACAUAACGAUGUUCACCAUUGAAAACUACUCCAUCUCACGUGAUGAUCGGUUAUGGUUUAGUUGAUUUGGAUCACGUAAUCACUUAGAGGAUUAGAGGGAUGUCUAUCUAAGUGGGAGUUCUUAAGUUAUAUGAUUAAUUGAACUUAAAUUUAUCAUGAACUUAGUACCUGAUAGUAUCUUGCUUGUUUAUGUUAAUUGUAGAUAGAUGGCUCGUGCUGUUGUUCCGUUGAAUUUUAAUGCGUUCCUUGAGAAAGCAAAGUUGAAAGAUGAUGGUAGCAAUUACACGGACUGGGUCCGUAACUUGAGGAUUAUCCUCAUUGCUGCACAGAAGAAUUACGUCCUGGAAGCACCGCUGGGUGCCAGGCCUGCUGCUGGAGCAACGCCAGAUGUUAUGAACGUCUGGCAGAGCAAAACUGAUGACUACUCAAUAGUUCAGUGCGCCAUGCUUUACGGCUUAGAAUCGGGACUUCAACGACGUUUUGAACGUCAUGGAGCAUAUGAGAUGUUCCAGGAGUUGAAGUUAAUAUUUCAAGCAAAUGCCCGGAUUGAGAGAUAUGAAGUCUCCAAUAAGUUCUAUAGCUGCAAGAUGGAGGAGAACAGUUCUGUCAGUGAGCAUAUACUCAAAAUGUCUGGGUAUAAUAAUCACUUGAUUCAAUUGGGAGUUAAUCUUCCGGAUGAUUGCGUCAUCGACAGAAUUCUCCAAUCACUGCCACCAAGCUACAAGAGCUUCGUAAUGAACUAUAAUAUGCAAGGGAUGAACAAGACUAUUCCCGAGCUCUUCGCAAUGCUGAAAGCUGCGGAGGUAGAAAUCAAGAAGGAGCAUCAAGUGUUGAUGGUUAACAAGACCACUAGUUUCAAGAAAAAGGGCAAAGGGAAGAAAAAGGGGAACUUCAAAAAGAACGGCAAGCAAGUUGCUGCUCAAGAGAAGAAACCCAAGUCUGGACCUAAGCCUGAAACUGAGUGCUUCUACUGCAAGCAGACUGGUCACUGGAAGCGGAACUGCCCCAAGUACUUGGCGGAUAAGAAGGAUGGCAAGGUGAACAAAGGUAUAUGUGAUAUACAUGUUAUUGAUGUGUACCUUACUAGAGCUCGCAGUAGAACCUGGGUAUUUGAUACUGGUUCUGUUGCUAAUAUUUGCAACUCGAAACAGGGACUACAGAAUAAGCGGGCACUGGCAAAGGACAAGGUGACGAUGCGCGUGGGAAACGGUUCCAAAGUCGAUGUGAUCGCAGUCGGCACGCUACCUCUACAUCUACCUUCGGGAUUAAUAUUAGACCUAAGUAAUUGUUAUUUGGUGCCAGCGUUGAGCAUGAACAUUAUAUCUGGAUCUUGUUUAAUGCGAGACGGUUAUUCAUUUAAAUCAGAGAAUAAUGGUUGUUCCAUUUAUAUGAGUAAUAUCUUUUAUGGUCAUGCACCCUUGAAGAGUGGUCUAUUUUUAUUGAAUCUCGAUAGUAGUAAUACACAUAUUCAUAAUGUUGAAGCCAAAAGAUGCAGAGUUGAUAAUGAAAGUGCAACUUAUUUGUGGCACUGUCGUUUAGGUCAUAUCGGUAUAAAGCGCAUGAAGAAACUCCAUACCGAUGGACUUUUGGAACCACUUGAUUAUGAAUCACUUGGUACUUGCGAACCGUGCCUCAUGGGCAAGAUGACUAAAACACCGUUCUCCGGUACUAUGGAGAGAGCAACAGAUUUGUUGGAAAUCAUACAUACCGAUGUAUGUGGCCCGAUGAAUAUUGAGGCUCGUGGCGGAUAUCGUUAUUUUCUCACCUUCACAGAUGAUUUAAGCAGAUAUGGGUAUAUUUACUUAAUGAAACAUAAGUCUGAAACAUUUGAAAAGUUCAAAGAAUUUCAGAGUGAAGUUGAAAAUCAUCGUAACAAGAAAAUAAAGUUUCUACGAUCUGAUCGUGGAGGAGAAUAUUUGAGUUACGAGUUUGGUGUACAUUUGAAAAACUGUGGAAUAGUUUCGCAACUCACGCCACCCGGAACACCACAGCGUAAUGGUGUGUCCGAAUGUCGUAAUCGUACUUUACUAGAUAUGGUGCGAUCUAUGAUGUCUCUUACUGAUUUACCGCUAUCAUUUUGGGGAUAUGCUUUAGAGACGGCCGCAUUCACGUUAAAUAGGGCACCAUCAAAAUCCGUUGAGACAAUGCCUUAUGAAAUGUGGUUUGGCAAGAAACCAAAGUUGUCGUUUCUUAAAGUUUGGGGCUGCGAUGCUUAUGUGAAAAAGCUUCAACCUGAUAAGCUCAAACCCAAAUCGGAGAAAUGUGUCUUCAUAGGAUACCCAAAGGAAACUGUUGGGUACACCUUCUAUCACAGAUCCAAAGGCAAAACAUUCGUUGCUAAGAAUGGAUCAUUUCUAGAGAAGGAGUUUCUCUCGAAAGAAGUGAGUGGGAGGAAAGUAGAACUUGACGAGGUAACUGUACCUGCUCCCUUACUGGAAAGUAGUUCAUCACAGAAAACUGUUUCAGUGACACCUACACCAGUUAGUGAGGAAGCCAAUGAUAAUGAUCAUGAAACUUCAGAUCAAGAUACUACUGAACCGCGUAGAUCAACCAGAGUAAGAUCCGCACCAGAGUGGUACGGUAAUCCUGUUCUGGAGGUCAUGCUACUAGAUCAUGAUGAACCUACAAACUAUGAAGAAGCGAUGGUGAGCCCAGAUUCCGUAAAGUGGCUUGAAGCCAUGAAAUCUGAGAUGGGGUCCAUGUAUGAGAACAAAGUAUGGACUUUGGUUGACUUGCCCGAUGAUCGGCAAGCAAUUGAGAAUAAAUGGAUUUUUAAGAAGAAGACUGACGCUGAUGGUAAUGUUACUGUCUACAAAGCUCGACUUGUCGCAAAAGGUUUUCGGCAAGUUCAAGGAAUUGACUACGAUGAGACCUUCUCACCCGUAGCGAUGCUUAAGUCCGUCCGAAUCAUGUUAGCAAUUGCCGCAUUUUAUGAUUAUGAAAUUUGGCAAAUGGAUGUCAAAACUGCAUUCCUGAAUGGAUUUCUGGAAGAAGAGUUGUAUAUGAUGCAACCAGAAGGUUUUGUCGAUCCAAAGGGAGCUAACAAAGUGUGCAAGCUCCAGCGAUCCAUUUAUGGACUGGUGCAAGCCUCUCGGAGUUGGAAUAAACGUUUUGAUAGUGUGAUCAAAGCAUUUGGUUUUAUACAGACUUUCGGAGAAGCCUGUAUUUAGAAGAAAGUGAGUGGGAGCUCUGUAGCAUUUCUGAUAUUAUAUGUGGAUGACAUAUUACUGAUUGGAAAUGAUAUAGAAUUUCUGGAUAGCAUAAAGGGAUACUUGAAUAAAAGUUUUUCAAUGAAAGACCUCAGUGAAGCUGCUUACAUAUUAGGCAUUAAGAUCUAUAGAGAUAGAUCAAGACGCUUAAUUGGACUUUCACAAAGCACAUACCUUGACAAAAUUUUGAAGAAGUUCAAAAUGGAUCAAGCAAAGAAAGGGUUCUUGCCUGUGUUACAAGGUGUGAAAUUGAGUAAGACUCAAUGCCCGACCACUGCAGAAGAUAGAGAGAAUAUGAAAGAUGUUCCCUAUGCAUCAGCCAUAGGCUCUAUCAUGUAUGCAAUGUUGUGUACCAGACCUGAUGUGUGCCUUGCUAUAAGUUUAGCAGGGAGGUACCAAAGUAAUCCAGGAGUGGAUCACUGGACAGCGGUCAAGAACAUCCUGAAAUACCUGAAAAGGACUAAGGAUAUGUUUCUCGUAUAUGGAGGUGACAAAGAGCUCACCGUAAAAGGUUACGUUGAUGCAAGCUUUGACACUGAUCCGGACGAUUCUAAAUCGCAAACCGGAUACGUGUUUACAUUAAACGGUGGAGCUGUCAGUUGGUGCAGUUCUAAACAAAGCGUUGUAGCAGGAUCUACAUGUGAAGCGGAAUACAUAGCUGCUUCGGAAGCAGCAAAUGAAGGAGUCUGGAUGAAGGAGUUCAUAUCCGAUCUAGGUGUCAUACCUAGUGCAUCGGGUCCAAUGAAAAUCUUUUGUGACAAUACUGGUGCAAUUGCCUUGGCAAAGGAAUCCAGAUUUCACAAAAGGACCAAACACAUCAAGAGACGCUUCAACUCCAUCCGGGAUCUAGUCCAGGUGGGAGACAUAGAGAUUUGCAAGAUACAUACGGAUCUGAAUGUUGCAGACCCGUUGACUAAGCCUCUUCCACGAGCAAAACAUGAUCAGCACCAAAGCUCCAUGGGUGUUAGAUUCAUUACAGUGUAAUCUAGAUUAUUGACUCUAGUGCAAGUGGGAGACUGAAGGAAAUAUGCCCUAGAGGCAAUAAUAAAGUUAUUAUUUAUUUCCUUAUAAUCAUGAUAAAUGUUUAUUAUUCAUGCUAGAAUUGUAUAUACCGGAAACAUAAUACAUGUGUGAAUACAUGGACAAACAGAGUGUCACUAGUAUGCCUCUACUUGACUAGCUCGUUAAUCAAAGAUGGUUAUGUUUCCUAACCAUAAACAAUGAGUUGUUAUUUGAUUAACGAGGUCACAUCAUUAGUAGAAUGAUCUGAUUGACAUGACCCAUUCCAUUAGCUUAGCACCCGAUCGUUUAGUAUGUUGCUAUUGCUUUCUUCAUGACUUAUACAUGUUCCUAUGACUAUGAGAUUAUGCAACUCCCGUUUACCGGAGGAACACUUUGGGUACUACCAAACGUCACAACGUAACUGGGUGAUUAUAAAGGAGUACUACAGGUGUCUCCAAUGGUCGAUGUUGGGUUGGCGUAUUUCGAGAUUAGGAUUUGUCACUCCGAUUGUCGGAGAGGUAUCUCUGGGCCCUCUCGGUAAUACACAUCACAUAAGCCUUGCAAGCAUUACAACUAAUAUGUUAAUUGUGAGAUGAUGUAUUACGGAACGAGUAAAGAGACUUGCCGGUAACGAGAUUGAACUAGGUAUUGGAUACCGACGAUCGAAUCUCGGGCAAGUAACAUACCGAUGACAAAGGGAACAACGUAUGUUGUUAUGCGGUCUGACCGAUAAAGAUCUUCGUAGAAUAUGUAGGAGCCAAUAUGGGCAUCCAGGUCCCGCUAUUGGUUAUUGACCAGAGACGUGUCUCGGUCAUGUCUACAUUGUUCUCGAACCCGUAGGGUCCGCACGCUUAAGGUUACGAUGACAGUUAUAUUAUGAGUUUAUGCAUUUUGAUGUACCGAAGGUUGUUCGGAGUCCCGGAUGUGAUCACGGACAUGACGAGGACUCUCGAAAUGGUCGAGACGUAAAGAUUGAUAUAUUGGAAGCCUAUAUUUGGAUAUCGGAAGUGUUCCGGGUGAAAUCGGGAUUUUAUCGGAAUACCGGGAGGGUUACCGGAACCCCCCGGGAGCUAUUUGGGCCAUAGUGGGCCUUAGUGGAAAAGAGAAGGGGCUGCCCUAGAUGGGCUGCACGCCCCCCCCCCUUCCCCUAGUCCUAUUAGGACUAGGAGAGGUGGCCGGCCCCCUCCUCCUCUUUUCCCCUCCGAGGAAUCCUAGUUGGACUAGGAUUGGAGGGGGAAUCCUACUCCCAGUGGGAGUAGGACUCUCCUGCGCCUCCCCCCCUUUGGCCGGCCAGCCUCCCCUCCUCUCCUCCUUUAUAUAUGGAGGCAGGGGCACCUCUAAACACACAAGUUGACACAAGUUGAUCCACGUGAUCUAUUCCUUAGCCGUGUGCGGUGCCCCCUGCCACCAUAUACCUCGAUAAUACUGUAGCGGAGUUUAGGCGAAGCCCUGCUGCUGUAGUUCAUCAAGAUCGUCACCACGCCGUCGUGCUGACAAAACUCUUCCCCGACACUUUGCUGGAUCAGAGUCCGAGGAUCGUCAUCGGGCUGAACGUGUGCUCGAACUCGGAGGUGUCGUAGUUUCGGUGCUUGAUCGGUUGGAUCGUGAAGACGUACGACUACUUCCUCUACGUCGUGUCAUCGCUUCCGCAGUCGGUCUGCGUUGGGUACGUAGACAACACUCUCCCCUCGUUGCUAUGCAUCACAUGAUCCUGUGUGCGCGUAGGAAAUUUUUUGAAAUUACUAUGAAACCCAAUAGAAACCAGCAACGAGGGGAAGGAGAGUGCAUCUACAUACCCUUGUAGAUCGCUAAGCGGAAGCGUUCAAGAGAACGGGGUUGAAGGAGUCGUACUCGUCGUGAUUCAAAUCACCAGAGAUCCUAGUGCCGAACGGACGGCACCUCCGCGUUCAACACACGUACAGCCCGGUGACGUCUCCCACGCCUUGAUCCAGCAAGGAGAGAGGGAGAGGUUGAGGAAGACUCCAUCCAACAGCAGCACAACGGCGUGGUGGUGAUGGAGGAGCGUGGCUAGAAGAGGAGGAAGAAGAGACACAGGGCUGCACCAACCAGAGAUCGAAAUCGCGUGUUAUGGGCAGCCCUAGGCCUCAUAUAUAUAGGGAAGGGGAGGGGCUACGCCCCCUCUAGGGUUCCCACCCCCUAGGGGGGUGGCAGCCCUAGAUGGGGAUCAAGGAUGGCGGCCAAGAGGGGGAGAGGAGAGGGAGGCGCACCGAUAUGGGCCCUAAGGCCCAUAUCCCCUUAGGGUUUGCCCCCUUUCCACCUCUUAGGCGCCAUGGGCCCUUGUGGGAGGCGCACCAGCCCACUAAGGGGCUGGUCCCUCACCACUCUUAGCCCACGCAUGCCUGCGGGGUUGGUGGCCCCACUUGGUGGACCCCCGGGACCCUCCCGGUGGUCCCGGUACGUUACCGAUAAACCCCGAAACUCUUCCGGUGACCAAAAUAUGACUUCCCAUAUAUAAAUCUUUACCUCCAGACCAUUCCGGAACUCCUCGUGACGUCCGGGAUCUCCUCCGGGACUCCGAACAACAUUCGGUAACCACAUACAAGCUUCCUUUAUAACCCUAGCGUCACCGAACCUUAAGUGUGUAGACCCUACGAGUUCGGGAGACAUGUAGACAUGACCGAGACGUUCUCCGGUCAAUAACCAACAGCGGGAUCUGGAUACCCAUGUUGGCUCCCACAUGUUCCACGAUGAUCUCAUCGGAUGAACCACGAUGUCAAGGACUUAAUCAAUCCCGUAUGCAAUUCCCUUUGUCUAGCGGUAUUUUACUUGCCCGAGAUUCGAUCGUCGCUAUACCGAUACCUUGUUCAAUCUCGUUACCGGCAAGUCUCUUUACUCGUUCCGUAACACAUCAUCCCGUGAUCAACCCCUUGGUCACAUUGUGCACAUUAUGAUGAUGUCCUACCGAGUGGGCCCAGAGAUACCUCUCCGUUUACACGGAGUGACAAAUCCCAGUCUCGAUCCGCAUAAAACAAUAGAUACUUUCGGAGAUACCUGUAGUGCACCUUUAUAGUCACCCAGUUACAACACCCAAAGCACUCCUACGGUAUCCAGGAGUUACACGCUCUCAUGGUCAAAGGAAGAGAUACUUGACAUUGGCAAAGCUCUAGCAAACGAACUACGCGAUCUUUGUGUUAUGCUUAGGAUUGGGUCUUGUCCAUCACAUCAUUCUCCUAAUGAUGUGAUCCCGUUAUCAACGACAUCCAAUGUCCAUAGCCAGGAAACAAUGACUAUCUGUUGAUCACAAUGAGCUAGUCAACUAGAGGCUCACUAGGGACAUAUUGUGGUCUAUGUAUUCACACGUGUAUUACGAUUUCCGGAUAAUACAGUUAUAGCAUGAAUAAAAUACUAUUAUCAUGAACAAAUAAAUAUAAUAAUAGCUUAUUUAUUAUUGCCUCUAGGGCAUAUUUCCAACAAUGUACUCAUUGAAAAUCUUAUCAAGCGUCUUGAUCUAUCUCAAUAGAUCUUGAUGCUCAAUGUGUAAGUAGCUUUACUAAGGUCUUUCUUUUAAAGAACUCCUUUCAAACACUCCUUUAUGCUUUGCAGAAUAAUUCUACAUUAUUUCUGAUUAACAAUAUGUCAUUCACAUAUACUUAUCAGAAAUGUUGUAGUGCUCCCACUCACUUUCUUGUAAAUACAGGCUUCACCGUAAGUCUGUACAAAACUAUAUGCUUUGAUCAAUUUAUCAAAGCGUAUAUUCCAACUCUGAGAUGCUUGCACCAGUCCAUAGACGGAUCGCUGGAGCUUGCACAUUUGUUAGCACCUUUAGGAUUGACAAAACCUUCUGGUUGCAUCAUAUACAACUCUUCUUUAAGAAAACCAUUAAGGAAUGCAGUUUUGACAUCCAUUUGCCAGAUUUCAUAAAAUGUGGCAAUUGCUAACAUGAUUUGGACAGACUUAAGCAUCGCUACAGUUGAGAAAAUCUCAUUGUAGUCAACACCUUGAACUUGUCAAAAACCUUUUUGCGACAAGUCGAGCUUUGUAGAUAGUAACACUACUAUCAACGUCCGUCUUCCUCUUGAAGAUCCAUUUAUUUUCUAUGGUUUGCCGAUCAUCGGGCAAGUCCACCAAAGUCCACACUUUGUUCUCAUACAUGGAUCCUAUCUCAGAUUUCAUGGCCUCCAGCCAUUUUGCGGAAUCUGGGCUCAUCAUCUCUUCCUCAUAGUUCGUAGGUUUAUCAUGGUCUAGUAACAUGACUUUCAGAACAGGAUUACCGUACCACUCUGGUGCGGACCGUACUCUGGAAGACCUACGAGGUUCUGUAGUAACUCGAUCUGAAGUUUCAUGAUCAUCAUCAUUAGCUUCCUCACUAAUUGGUGUAGGAAUCACUGGAACUGAUUUCAGUGAUGAACUAUUUUCCAAUUCGGGGGAAGGUACAGUUACCUCAUCAAGUUCUACUUUCCUCCCACUCACUUCCUUUUAGAGAAACUCCUUCUCUAGAAAGGAUCCAUUUUUAGCAACGAAUAUCUUGCCUUCGGAUCUGUGAUAGAAGGUGUACCCAACAAUUUCCUUUGGGUAUUCUAUGAAGACGCACUUCUCUGAUUUGGGUUUGAGCUUAUCAGGAUGAAACUUUUUCGCAUAAGCAUCGCAGCCCCAAACUUUAAGAAACGACAACUUGGGUUUCUUACUAAACCACAGUUCAUAUGGUGUCGUCUCAACGGAUUUAGAUGGUGCCCUUUUAACGUGAAUGCAGCUGUCUCUAAUGCAUAACCCCAAAACAAUAUUGGUAAAUCAGUAAGAGACAUCAUAGAUCACACCAUAUCCAAUAAAGUGCGGUUACGACAUUCGGACACACCAUAACGUUGUGGUGUUCCAGGUGGCGUGAGCUGUGAAACUAUUCCGCAUUGUUUUAAUUGAAGACCAAACUCGUAACUCAAAUAUUCGUCUCCGCGAUCAAAUCGCAGAAACUUUAUUUUCUUGUUACGAUGAUUUUUCCACUUCACUCUAAAAUUCUUUGAACCUUUCAACUAUUUCAGACUUAUGUUUCAUCAAGUAGAUAUACCCAUAUCUGCUCAAAUCAUCUUGUGAAGGUCAGAAAAUAACGAUACUUGCCACGAGCAUCAACACUCAUUGGAUCACAUACAUCGGUAUGUAUUAUUUCCAAUAAGUCAGUAGCUUGUUCCAUUGUUCCGGAGAAUGGAGUUUUAGUCAUCUUGCCCAAAGGCACGGUUCGCAAGCAUCAAAUGAUUCAUAACCAAGUGAUUCCAAAAAUCCAUCUUUAUGGAGUUUCUUCAUGCGCUUUACACCGAUAUGACCCAAACGGCAGUGCCACAAAUAAGUUGCACUAUCAUUAUUAACUUUGCAUCUUUCAGCAUCAAUAUUAUGAAUAUGUGUAUCACUCCGAUCGAGAUCCAACAAACUAUUUUCAUUGGGUGUAUCACCAUUGAAGGUUUUAUUCAUGUAAACAGAACAACAAUUAUUCUCUGAUUUUAAAUGAAUAACCGUAUUGCAAUAAACAUGAUCAAAUCAUAUUCAUGCUCAACGCAAACGCCAAAUAACAUUUAUUUAGGUUUAACACUAAUCCCAAAAGUAUAGGGAGUGUGCGAUGAUGAUCAUAUCAAUCUUGGAACUACUUCCAACACUCAUUGUCACUUCCCCUUCAACUAGUCUCUGUUUAUUCUGUAACUCCUGUUUCGAGUUACUAAUCUUAGCAACCGAACAAGUAUCAAAUACUCAGGGGCUACUAUAAACACUAGUAAGGCACACAUCAAUAAUCUGUAUAUCAAAUAUACCCUUGUUCACUUUGCCAUCCUUCUUAUCUACCAAAUAUUCAGGGCAUUUCCGCUUCCAGUGACCAUUUCCUUUGCAGUGUAAACACUCAGUUUCAGGCUUUGGUCCAGCUUUGGUUUUCUUCAUGGGAGUGACAACUUGUUUGCCAUUCUACUUGAAGUUUCCCUUUCUUUCCCUUUGCCCUUUUCUUGAAACUAGUGGUCUUGUCAAUCAUCAACACUUGAUGCUCUUUCUUGAUUUCUACCUUCGUUGAUUUCAACAUCACGAAGAGCUCGGGGAUUGUUUUCGUCAUCCCUUGCAUAUUAUAGUUCAUCACGAAGUUCUAGUAACUUAGUGAUGGUGACUAGAGAAUUCUAUCAAUCACUAUCUUAUCUGGAAGAUUAACUCCCACUUGAUUCAAGCGAUCGAAGUACCUAGACAAUCUGAGCACAUGCUUACUAGUUGAGCGAUUCUCCUCCAUCUUUUAGCUAUAGAACUUGUUGGAGACUUCAUAUCUCUCAACUCGGGUAUUCGCUUGAAAUAUUAACUUCAAUUCCUGGAACAUCUCAUAUGGUCCAUGACGUUCAAAACAUCUUUGAAGUCUCAAUUCUAAGCCGUUAAGCAUGGUACACUAAACUAUCAAGUAGUCAUCAUAUUGAGCUAGCCAAACGUUCAUAACAUCUGCAUCUGCUCCUGCAAUAGGUUUGUCACCUAGCGGUGCAUCAAGGACAUAAUUCUUCUGUGCAGCAAUGAGGAUAAACCUCAGAUCACGGAUCCAAUCCGCAUCAUUGCUACUAACAUCUUUCAACACAGUUUUCUCUAGGAACAUAUCAAAAUAAACAUAUGAAAACAACAACGCGAGCUAUUGAUCUAUAACAUAAUUUGCAAAAUACUACCAAGACUAAGUUCAUGAUAAAUUAAAGUUCAGUUAAUCAUAUUACUUAAGAACUCCCACUUAGACAGACAUCUCUCUAGUCAUCUAAGUGAUCACGUGAUCCAAAUCAACUAAACCAUAACCGAUCAUCACGUGAGAUGGAGUAGUUUUCAAUGGUGAACAUCACUAUGUUGAUCAUAUCUACUAUCUGAUUCACGCUCGACCUUUCGGUCUCCGUGUUCCGAGGCCAUAUCUGCAUAUGCUAGGCUCGUCAAGAUUAACCUGAGUAUUCUGCGUGUGCAAAACUGGCCUGCGCCCGUUGUAGAUGGACGUAGAGCUUAUCACACCCGAUCAUCACGUGGUGUCUGGGCACGACGAACUUUGGCAACGGUGCAUACUCAGGGAGAACACUUCUUGAUAAUUAGUGAGAGAUCAUCUUAAAAUGCUACCGUCAAUCAAAGUAAGAUAAGAUGCAUAAAGGAUAAACAUCACAUGCAAUCAAUAUAAGUGAUAUGAUAUGGCCAUCAUCAUCUUAUGCUUGUGAUCUCCAUCUCCGAAGCACCGUCAUGAUCACCAUCGUCACCGGCGCGACACCUUGAUCUCCAUCGUAGCAUUGUUGUCGUUAUGCCAUCUAUUGCUUCUACGACUAUCGCUACCGCUUAGUGAUAAAGUAAAGCAAUUACAGGGCGUUUGCAUUUCAUACAAUAAAGCGACAACCAUAUGGCUCCUGCCAGUUGCCGAUAACUUCGGUUACAAAACAUGAUCAUCUCAUACAAUAAAAUAUAGCAUCACAUCUUGACCAUAUCACAUCACAACAUGCCCUGCAAAAACAAGUUAGACGUCCUCUACUUUGUUGUUGCAAAUUUUACGUGGCUGCUACGGGCUGAGCAAGAACCGUUCUUACCUACGCAUCAAAACCACAACGAUAGUUCGUCAAGUUAGUGAUGUUUUAACCUUCUCAAGGACCGGGCGUAGCCACACUCGAUUCAGCUAAAGUGAGAGAGACAGACACCCGCCAGUCACCUUUAAGCACGAGUGCUCGUAACGGUGAAACCAGUCUCGCAUAAGCGUACGCGUAAUGUCGGUCCGGGCCGCUUCAUCUCACAAUACCGCUGAGCCAAAGUAUGACAUGCUAGUAAGUAGUAUGACUUGUAUCGCCCACAACUCACUUGUGUUCUACUCGUGCAUAUGACAUCUACGCAUAAAACCUGGCUCAGAUGCCACUCUUGGGGAACGUAGUAAUUUCAAAAAAAUUCCUACGCACACGCAAGAUCAUGGUGAUGGCAUAGCAACGAGAGGGGAGAGUAUUGUCCAUGUACCCUCGUAGACCGUAAGCGGAAGCGUUAUGACAACGCGGUUGAUGUAGUCGUACGUCUUCACGAUCCGACCGAUCCAAGUACCGAACGUACGGCACCUCCGAGUUCAGCACACGUUCAGCUCGAUGACGUUCCCCGGACUCCGAUCCAGCAGGGUGUCGGGGAUGAGUUCCGUCAGCACGAUGGCGUGGUGACAAUGAUGAUGUUCUACCGGCGCAUGGCUUCGCCUAAACUCCGCGACGAUAUGACCGAGGUGGAAUAUGGUGGAGGGGGGCACCGCACACGGCUAAGGAAUGAUCCGUAGAUCAACUUGUGUGUCAUAGGGUGCCCCCCUGCCCCCGUAUAUAAAGGAGCCAGGGGGAGGGGGCGGCCGGCCAAGGAGGGCGCGCCAAGGGAGAGUCCUACUCCACCGGGAGUAGGACUCCCUUAUUUCCUAGUUGGAGUAGGAGAAGGGGGAAGGAGGAGGAAGAGGGGAAGGAAAGGGGGGCGCCGGCCCCCUCUCCUUGUCCUAUUCGGACUAGGGAGGGGAGGGGGCACGGCCCACCUCUUGCCUCCUCUCCUCUUCUCCCUUAUGGCCCAUGAAGGCCCAAUAACCCCCGGGAGGGUUCCGGUAACCCCCCGGUACUCCGGUAAAAUGCCGAUUUCACCCGGAACACUUCCGAUGUCCAAACAUAGGCUUCCAAUAUAUCAAUCUUUAUGUCUCAACCAUUUCGAGACUCCUCAUCAUGUCCAUGAUCAUAUCCGGGACUCCGAACAAACUUUGGUACAUCAAAACUUAUAAACUCAUAAUGAAACUGUCAUCGUAACGUUAAGCGUGCGGACCCUAUGGGUUCGAGAACUAUGUAGACAUGACCUAGAACUAUUCUCGGUCAAUAACCAAUAGCAGAACGUGGAUGCCCAUAUUGGUUCCUACAUAUUCUACGAAGAUCUUUAUCGGUCAAACCUCAUAACAACAUACGUUGUUCCCUUUGUCAUCGGUAUGUUACUUGCCCGAGAUCCGAUCGUCGGUAUGCAAUACCUAGUUCAAUCUCGUUUACCGGCAAGUCUCUUUACUCGUUACGUAAUGCAUCAUUCCGUAACUAACUCAUUUAGCUACAUUGCUUGCAAGGCUUAUAGUGAUGUGCAUUACCCAGAGGGCCCAGAGAUACCUCUCCGACAAUCGGAGUGACAAACCUAAUCUCGAAAUAUGCCAACCCAACAUGUACCUUUGGAGACACCUGUAGUGCUCCUUUAUAAUCACCCAGUUACAUUGUGACGUUUGGUAGCACCCAAAGUGUUCCUCCGGUAUACAAGAGUUGCAUAAUCUCAUAGUUAUAGGAACAUGUAUAAGUCAUGAAGAAAGCAAUAGCAACAUACUAAACGAUCAAGUGCUAGGCUAACGGAAUGGAUCAUGCCAAUCACAUCAUUCUCCUAAUGAUGUGAUCCCAUUAAUCAAAUGACAACUCUUUUGUCCAUGGUUAGGAAACAUAACCAUCUUUGAUAAAUGAGCUAGUCAAGUAGAGGCAUACUAGUGACACUAUGUUUGUCUAUGUAUUCACACAUGUAUUAUGUUUCCGGUUAAUACAAUUCUAGCAUGAAUAAUAAACAUUUAUCAUGAAAUAAGGAAAUAAAUAAUAACUUUAUUAUUGCCUCUAGGGCAUAUUUCCUUCAGUUAGACCACCUCUAGCCCCGCUUAUUGUCUUGUUAUGCAUAUGUUUGUGUGUAUUUACUGUUUCUUCCCCCCUUCUCACCGGUAGACCCCGAGAUCGAUGCUGAUGUCCCUAUGAUCGACUACGUCACCGACGACCCCUUCUUCCCUUUCAGCGGAGCUUCCAGGCAAGCCCCACCUUUGAUCAUCCCGAUAUCUCCCAUUCCAUUCUUUCAUGCUUGCAUUAGAUUUUGCUACUGUAUUUGAUUGCUCCUAUUCUGAUGCAUAGCCUGCUUUUGUACCUGUUGUUGUACCUUACCUGUUUAUCCUAAACUGCUUAGUAUAGGUUGGUUAGUGAUCUAUCAGUGACCCCCACCUUGUCCUUUUUGCCCCUGCUUCAUCUUCGACGACUCGAGCAACGUGAUCGACGACCAAAGCCCAACACCUCACAUCACAGCACGCCCCAUUUGUUGCUCAACUCUGCAGAGCUACUAUCGAGUGCCGAGGGUGAUCCCUCAUAACGCACUCCUGAUGAUAAUUCUGUAGUGUAACUAUUCGAUCAUGGUCAUCGACGGUGAUUUCCUCUUUCACCAUUCCCGAUACGGCUCUGUCGUUCAACACCUCAAGUGUGAACCUCGAGGGUGGUCCCUCUUACGUUCACCUUGAUGAUUACAUUGAGUGGAAUCCUCCGUGGGUGAUUCCUUGGGUUUUCCCCUUGAUGUUUGGACACACGGUUACAAUGACUUUACUUGAGACCUUGGUGAAAGUUGGGCGGGCCCGGAGAGCACCCACAAGAUAAUGACAUGGCACGACCGGGCAUUCUAGGCCCUUGUCGUAUGUCCACGAGACGAGGUGACGGGAUCACUUUCGAUCGUGAGUCUCUGCUCGUCUCCAUAAACUAAUAAUACACUAUGGUUUGGGUAUUUGUUCUGAGUUGGCCUUUGGCCUUUACGCACCAACCACCGCGUGAGAAUAGUUAUGGGCCUCGACAUCGCAGUAUCAGCCGAAGCUUUGUCAGUUGUCCAGUUCAGCAGUGUGGCGCGGCUGGGCCGGCACCAUCCAUGUAGAGGUGGAGCCUGGACCCGCCCUGCGUGAAACGACCCGGAGUGCAACGGGCGAUGGGUCCAGACCCCUGAGUGCUUAGGAGGUAGACCGGUGGGGACCUCUCUGCUGAGCCUAGGUAGGGCUUCGACGUGUUGAUCUUCCGAGGCCGGGCAUUGACCCCAGAAAGGUGUGUCCAGCUAGAGUUAUUGAGCGUGUUGGAAAACGUGGUGCACCCCUGCAGGGAAGAUUAUCUAUUAAUAGUCGUGUCCACGGUAACGGACGUUCAGACUUAUAUCCUGAUCUUAUACAACUACAAAUGGAUACUUGAGAUAUGUGGCUCCGGGAUUGCUUUCUCGUAGGGAGUCGAGGAAGGAUCUCUGGGCAUUAAUGCUACAACAUGUUUGUUAAUUAUAAACUAUUAUUCUUUACUCUUCUACAUGCUGCAAGAUGCUUGGAGCUGCUUGAAGAUGCUAGUCUUUGUUAUGCUAGGCCUUCCCCUCUAUUCUGGCAUUCUGCAGUUCAGUCCACAGAUACAACCCUUCCAUUUGAUACCAAUGCAUACUUAGUAUAGAUCUGAUGCUUGCGAGUACUUUGGAUGAGUACUCACGGUUGCUUUGCUACCCCUUUUCCCCCUUCUUUCUUCUUUUCGGUUGAUGCAACCAGAUGGUGGAUCCCUGGAGCCAGAUGCCACCGCCGAUGGAUGCUACUACGUGAAGAUCGCCGACGACCAGGAGUAGUUAGGAGGUCCCAGGCAGGAGGCCUUGCCUUUUCGAUCAUGUUGCUUUUGUGCUAGCCUUCUUAAGGCAUCCUUGUUUAACUUAUGUCUGUACUCGGAUAUUGCUGCUUCCGCUGACUCUUGUGUAUCGAGCUUGUAUUCGAGCCCUCGAGGCCCCUGGCUUGUAAUAUAAAGUUUGUACUAUUUUGGUUUGUGUCUAGAGUUGUGUUGUGAUAUCUUCCCGUGAGUCUCUGAUCUUGAUCGUACAUAUUUGUGUGUAUGAUUAGUGUACGAUUGAAUCGGGGGCGUCACACCGACAUCAUCUUGUUUCUUCCACCUAAUCCUUUAAUGACCUAUAAACAAAAGACCCCAACCCGCCAUAAACAAUUUAUUUAUGCCUCUUUUAAUUUUUGAUCUCUGUCUUGCAAACAAUUUUUUUGUGGCAGUUACUUUUAUCCUCCAACCAAGAUUAUGUAAACGCCCAAAAUAGAAACAUGUAGCAUGCUGAGCUAAAAAUAUAACAGACCCAAUACAGAACAAACAUUUUCACUGCCCAAUAAUCUUCAAUGCUCAAGUCCUGAUAAGUAAAAUGCUUUUCUUUAAGGGGCGAAGGUAAAACGAUUUGAUGUUCAGAAAGACAAUAAUAACUAAUGACAUUAACAUCAGCACAUGGCUUUUAAAAAAUUUGAUCUCUGUCUCGGUAAACUAAUUAUUUAUGGCGGUCACUUUUAUCCUUCAACCAAGGGUAUGAAAAUGCCCAAAAUAGAAACAUGUAGCACACUGGGCUAAAAUAUAACAGACCCAAUCCAGAACAAACCUUUUCAUUGCCCAAUAAUCUUCAAUGCUCAAGUUCUGAUAAGUAAAAUGCAUUUUCUAAGGGGCGAAGGUAAAAUGCAUUUAAUGUUCAGAAAGACAAAAAUAACUAAUGACAUUGAGCAAUAUAUCAUCUCUAGAAUCAUAAGCACAAAACAACCGCAUUGACUUUCGUCUUGUUUCUUCCAACUAAUCCCUAUAAAUGAUAACCAGAAGACCCCGACCCGACAUUAACUAUUUAUUUAUGUCUUUUUUAAUGUUUGAUCUCUAUCUUGUCAAACAAUUUAUUUGUGGCGUUCACUUUUAUCCUCCAACCAAGAUUAUGUAAAUGCCCAAAAUAGAAACAUGUAGCACGCUGAGCUAAAAUAUAACAGACCUGAUAUAGAACAAAUAGUUACACUGUCGUGAACCAACCUGUGUUUAAGAUUGUUAGAAGGAUUGUGGUAUCCCCAGUCCACCAGAGUUCAAGUCCUCGUGCUCGCAUUUAUUCUUGGAUUUAUUUCAGGAUCCGGCGAUGUACAAUCAUUUAUUCCUGGAUUUAUUUCAGGAUUUCCGGCGAUGCGCAUUCAGUGGGAGGAGACGUUCCCGUCGACAACGAGGUGCCUACGGUGGCUUCGUAAAUUUCAAGAUGAUAUGUCGUCUCAGUAUUUCGGAGGUGCUCAUAGGGGCGGGGUGUGCCUAUGUGCGUUCAUAGGGGUGAGUGUAUGCGCAUGUAUAUGAGCGCUUACGUCUGUAUUGUGUUAAAAUAAACAUUUACAUUGUCUAAUAAUCUUUAAUGCUCAAGUCCUGAUAAGUAAAAUGCAUUCUCUAAGGGUCGUAGGUAAAAUGCAUUUGAUGUUUAGAAAGACAAUGGUAACUAAUGACAUUAACAUUAGCACAUGGCUUUUAAAUUUUUUGAUCUAUGUCUUGAUAAACAAAUUAUUUGGGUCGGUCAUUUUUGUCCUCCAACCAGGAAUAUGAAAAUGCCCAAAAGAAAGCACGCUGAGCUAAAAUAUAACAGGCCCGAUAGAAAACAAACAUUUUCACUUCCCAAUAAUAUUCAAUGUUCAAGUCCUAAUAAGUAAAAUGCAUUUUCUAGGGGCGAAGGUAAAAUGCAUUUGAUGUACAGAAAGACAACAAUAACUAAUGACAUUAAGCAAGAUCUCAUCUCUAGAAUCAUAAGCACGAAACAACUAAUCCUUAAAUGACCCAUAACCAAGAUCUCAUCUCUAGAAUCAUAUGCACGAAAUAACUAAUCCUUAAGUGACCCAUAACCAGAAAACCCCGACCCGACAUAAACAAUUUAUUUAUGUCUUUUUUUAAAUUCUGAUCUCUGUCUCGGUAAACAAUUUAUUUAUGGCUGUCACUUUUAUCCUCCAACCAGGAGUAUGAAAAUGCCCAAAAUAGAAACACAUAGCACGUUGAGCUAAGAUAUAACAACCUGAUACAAAACAAACCUUUUCACUGCCCAAUAAUUUUCAAUGCUCAAGUCAUGAUAAGUAAAAUGCAUUUUCUGACAGGCAAAGGUAAAAUGCAUUUGAUGUUCAAAAAGACAACAAUAAUUAAUGACAUGAAGCAAUAUCUCAUCUCUAGAAUCAUAAGCAUGAAGCACUGCAUCAACAUUUGUCUUGUUUCUUCCAACUAAUCCGUAAAUGACACAUAACAAGAAGCCCCUGGCCCGACAUAAACUAUUUAUUUAUAUCUUUUUUAAUUUUGAUCUCUAUCUUGGUAAACAAUUUAUUUAUUGCGGUCACUUUUAUCCUCCAACCAAGAGUAUGAAAAUUCCUAAAAUAGAAACAUCAAGCAUGUUGAGCUAAAAUAUAACAGACCCGAUAGGGAACAAACAUUUUCAUUGCCCAAUAGUCUUCAAUGUCAAGUCGUGAUAAGUAAUGCAUUUUCUGGGGGUGAAGGUAAAACACAUUUGAUGUUCAAAAGGACAACAAUAACUAAUGAGAUUAAGCAAUAUCUCUUCUUAAGAAUCAUAAGCAAGAAAUAACCGCAUCGACAUCCAUCUUGUUUCUUCCAAGUAAUCCUUAAAUGAUCCAUAACCAGAAGACCCGGACCCAACAUAAACAAUUUAUUUAUGGCAUCACCUUUAUCCACCAACACGUGAAAGAUGCUCAAAAUACAACAUGUAGCAAUAUGAGCUAAAAUAUCACAUACUCGAUACAGAACACACCUUUUUACUUCCCAGUGUCUUUCCUUUAUCCACAAUAUCUUUCAUGCUCAGGUCCAAAUGAGUAAAUGCAUUUUGGGGGGAGGUAAAGGUAAAAUGCAUUUGGUGAUGAGAAUGGCAACAAUAACUAUUGGCAUUAAGCAAUAUCUCAUCUCUAGAAUCAUAAGCGGGAAACAACCCAUCUUGUUUCUUCCAACUAAUCUUGAAAUUACCCAUAGUCGGAAAGACCCCGACCCUUCAAAACAAUUUAUUUGCGGUGAUCACUUUUAUCCUCCAACAUGUGAACCAAUAGUAUGAAGAUGCCCAAAUUAGGACAUGUAGCGCGGUGAGCUAAACUAUCACAAACUCGGUAUGGGACACCUUUUUACUGCCCAAUCAUGUGUCUUUAUCCACAAUAUCUUCAGUACUGAAGUCUUGAUAAGUAAAAUUCAUUUUAUUAGGGAAGGGGACAAAGGUAAAAUGCAUUUUAUGUCAGGAAGGACAACAAUAAUUAAUGAUAUUAAGAAAUAUUUAAUCUCAAUAAUCAUAAGCACAAAAUUGAAAGAAAUAUGCCCCCAGAGGCAAUAAUAAAGUUGUUAUUCAUAUUUCCUUAUAUCAUGAUAAAUGUUUAUUAUUCAUGCUAGAAUUGUAUUAAUCGAAAACUUAGUACAUGUGUGAAUACAUAGACAAAAUAAAGUGUCCCUAGUAUGCGUCUACUUAACUAGCUCGUUAAUUAAUGAUGGUUAUGUUUCCUGACCAUGACAUGUGUUGUCAUUUGAUGAAUGGGAUCACAUCAUUAGAGAAUGAUGUGAUGGGCAAGACCCAUCGGUUAGCUUAGCAUAAUGACUGUUAAUUUUUAUUGCUAUUGCUUUCUUCAUGACUUAUACAUGUUCCUGUGACUAUGAGAUUAUGCAACUCCUGAAUACCGGAGAAACACCUUGUGUGCUAUCAAACGUCACAACGUAAUUGGGUAAUUAUAAAGAUGCUCUACAGGUGUCUUCGAAGGUGUUUGUUGGGUUGGCAUAGAUCGAGAUUAGGAUUUGUCACUUAGUGUAUCGGAGAGGUAUCUCUGGGCCCUCUUGGUAAUGCUCAUCACUAUAAGCCUUGAUUUUUUCUCUCCGAAUCUUCCAAUAAAAGUGUAAUAGGUUUGACACUUUCAUCAUCCCUGUACUACUUGUCUUAAAAAACAACAGGCUAUCAUUAGGAAAUAACAAAUGGUUAACUUAUGGCCCCUCCCAAAAUCGAAUGUAUUCCUUCCGUUCCUAAAUAUUUAUCUUUUUAGAGAUUUUAAAUAGACUACCACAUACGAAGCAAUGAUAUUUUAGUCACUUGUUGAAAUCUCUACUAAGACUAAUAUUUCGGAACGGAGGCAGUAGUAUAUAUCUCUACUAUUAAAGGAGAAUCUGCCGUCGUUGUGAUGGUUCGACCUCCCUGCUCCUCUCGUACGACCUCGAAGAAAAAAAUCACAGGAGGAAAAGCCCACGUUGCACGUCAACGAAAAACCGAAAAAACAUGCACGUUCUCCGCCUCCUCCCCCGACCUGCCAGUUUCCAUCCCCAGAUCUCUCUCUCGCUCUUCCUAACCAGAACCACGAGGGCGAUCAUCUCCCCCGACCUCCAACUCCACCGCUCCAGGCUCCGGCAGCUAGGUCGCCGCCAUCUCCCAUCCACUCAACAUCUCCAACAUAUCCGAAUCUUUGCGCGCGGCGCACAGAUGCCGCUCGGCCUUGACAUCCCCAUUGGCCUUGCCUCCUGAGUCCUGACCCAAGUCCUAGGGUCACGGUCCAAGAUUGGAAGGGCGACAUGCGGCUUGGUGGUGCUGCGGCGGACGGCAACGAUCCAAGAUUGGCAGGUUACUAACAGAAGCCACGGACACCAGGAACACUCGAUUGAUAUCUCCCUCCCUCUAUUCCUCUCUUGGGGUUUUUCUGAUUGGUAUUUUUGUGGACGGAAGACAAAUCUAAGGAAGAAGAUGAGGUGGGAAGCUAACCAGAAACUUGCCGGUAAGGAUCCCUUGUUUCUUGGUGCUAAUCCCACAUGAUCAUCUUGAAUAAGAAAAUACAAUUUUUUUUGUCAUGUUUCUUUCUGGACGAGCAGGACCUCGAGAAACCCUGUGUUCUGGAUCUGGGAGGCACCAACUUCAGCGUGCUGAGGGUGCAGCUGGGAGGAAAAGAUAGGCGUGUCGUUGACACUGAAUCCGAGCAAGUGUCGAUCCCAGAGGAAAUCAUGCAUGGCACAACUGAGGUAAUCAGUUCACUGAAUUUGUUCUCUUCUUUUGUUUUGUAUUCUUUCGCUGUUUUCUAUUGCUGGAAUAAUGAAUCGUCACUUUCUCAACCUCCUUAGUUUCUGAUUAACGCUCAUGUAAGAAGCUUAAACUUGAGGUCUAAACAAACACUGGAACUGGUGCUUUGCGUUUCACUUCGGAACAUGGAUGAGAGCACAUGCAUCAUCAUUUCACUAUGCAUAGUGGUUGUUGGAUUUUCAGCUUUUGUUUUCAACUACUAGGCACACGUACAGCAGUGAAGAUGGAUUUUCGACUAUUGUAUUUCGAACGCCAUUAACGCAGAAAUGCAGUCUCAAGGAUGGAAAUAAACGAGUGUGUGUGGUGUUCUUUUUCUUAAAGAAUACGUUUAUAUUCCCUGUUCUUUUCGCUUCAGGUUUACAACUAUUUGGCCUACUACACAAUGCAUGUGUUCACCAGCAAAAUUUCAGUUCUAUUAUCCAACAUUAAAGAUCAAUUAACCAAUGUUGUUGUCUUAAAUCUCAGUAUUAUUUUAGUUUUUCUAAAGGACAAAAUGGAUCUAGGAAUAUUAUGUUGAAUCAUUGAAUUUGUACAAUUUUUAUUUGAGGGGUCAUUACAGAGAGAAAUAUUGGUUGGUUAUUAUAACUUUCUUGCAUAUUAGUAAUUGAUAUUUACAGUGCGAACAAGAUAUUAAAGUUUAGUCAGCUAUUCCCUCGAAGAAAAGAUCUAGGUGGUUAUUUUUUUUACUACUUCUCUUUAGAUUCAUUUUAUAGGACUGUAAAAAUAGUAAUCAGGAAGCAACAUGUAUAAAUAGUGAGUGUUGAUACUGCUCCCUCUAGAUUUCAAAUAGUACUUUUAGGCUCAAAGUAUAGACAAAAUAGGUGAACAAAUCAUUUCCUCGAAAUAAACAUAGUUGACUUUGCACAGAGUGUAAUCGAAUUAGGAUGAAAGAAAAUUAUCCUCAAUUUUUCGUUCAUGUUUCGUAUCUACUGCUUAUUUGCUCUGCCUCAAUUACUCAAGGCUACGAGGAAAGUUUUUUUUUUACCAGGAUGGUGUUUUUUAGCAAAGAAGUGGAAAUGAUGCUUGUUUUGCUAAGAUAUAUUCUCAAGUGAUAAUCGUAUCUUGUUUGGCCCUUUGUGCUAUGAGAGGAAUUGAAAGAUUGAAUUAUAUAUUCGAUGUUACCAACAUAGCUCCGUUUUUUUCUUUUCAGUGUGCACUAUAUGGGUUUGCUCUAGGGCAAGGAGGCGGUGACGAGCUGAAGGCGGCCAAAGCAAUAUCUUCCCCGUCUAUGAGCUCCAAAUAUGUGUCUCAGCAUGAAGGAUUCGGACAUGGCCAUUGGAGUUUGAACAUGACACCGUUGAUGGAGAGAAGAAGAGAUCCCCAUAUACACUGUGAACAAUUGGGUUGACGGCGUCGCAUCUCGGAACACACUACAAGAAAUAUGUAGCUGUCUCCCUCCCUUAUACAUGUUGUUUUGACUCAGGCGAGAUAUAUUAUAAUUUACCUGACAUGAACUCUAUUUAUCAUGUAAAAUGUACAAUCUAAUUAUGGGUUUUAAGUGUUGUUUCUUUUCAUUGUCAGAGGUGGACUUGGUUGAUAGUCCAUGGGGAGAAUGGUAUGAGGGGGGUGCAACGAUAGGACACCGUUGGUUUGUCCCAACAAUGUGCAACAGGUAAAUUUGCUUAGGGGAAAGCUUAGAAAAUAGGGACAAAGGAUGAUUCAGUUAACUAAGUCUUUGUAUUAGUUUCCAGUCGUAUCUUUGUUGUGGUCGAAUAAUAAGGAACUACAAAUUUUUUUGCACCCAGUACAUCAUUCGUCAUUCACAAAUCAUAAAUACAAAUCAGUCUCUUGAAUCGAUAAAUAUUGUAUAUAUUCAUAUAAGUACAAGAUGAAAAAUGAAGGUAAGGAGGGGUGGGGAGAAGAUUAGAUAUUACUGUCUUCUUGCAAGGGGACUAUGGUUGUGAAGAAACGGAGAUUGACGAGGGGGUAGAAGCGGGAGAAAGUCUGUUUAUUGAUGAAAACCACAUGACAUGUUCAACCAAUUUUUUAUUUGGAACAUUAUUUGAUCACUAUGUUUUUUAUCCCGUGGCAACGCACGGGCAUUAAACUAGUUAGAAAAAAAAGAGAGCCCGCAACUGUUUGAAUGGUCAAACCAAAGCACCAUUUGUACAGUUACGGACAACAAAAUUUUGCCUUAAAUGUCUCCGCAGAAAAGGAAAUAAUAGUUGUUUAGAGCAUCUACAGUUGGUCUUCUCAUAUUCAUUUUAAACGCCUGGGCAGGCCGGCCGGCAACCGACUGGUCAAAAACAAACGACCCAACCCGACCUCUCAUCGCGCGUUCGCUACUCCCCCGUCUCAUGCGAUCGAUACUUCCCGGAAAAAAAAGUCCAUCAUAAACAAACCAACUGCUGUGAUCCGAAAAAACACGGCCUCAUGUGAUCGCUUCUUCCCCUGGAAAAAAAAUCUAUCGUAAACAAACCACAAAAACAACUGUGACCUACUAACGCACGUCGCACGCCCGGUCUCUCAAACCCCCUCGCUCCCGUCUCUAUCGCGUGAAAAGUCUCCCGGCCGUUCCGCCCACAAACACCACCGCUCCCACCCAGAGCUCUCGAUCCGGCGCUAUGAGCGACGCAUGGCCAAUGAUAUCUUCUGCAACUGCUCCCCUCCUCGUCCACCUCGUGGUCUCCUCGUCCACCUCAUGGUUGAGGUGGCCGUCGUCUUUCCGUGCCUCCAUGGCCGACGCUGCUCCGCCACCCGAUCUCCUCUACAUGAGUAGUACAUGACAACCCUCCCUUCUCAUCGUCGUCCGACGCUCAUCUCCUUCGCUGUCGUGUUGUCGUCGUGUCGGUCACCAGCGUGCCUCUCCUCUAUACUGCCCUGUACCACAUGCUCGACACCGCCCCCGCUAAUAUUGACUGACGACGACUCGGACGCCGAGCUCGACGGAUCACUGCUCGGCUGCUCCUGUUGGCCGACGGUCCCAGUCCCCGUCCCAUCGCGCCGCUGGUACUGACUUUCUUCAUCGCCACCAGUCCUUCACGGACCCCUUCUCUUCUGAAGCCAGGCGCUGCUCCACCUCCCUUUCUUUAUCAGAUGCAGGUCGACGGGUUCUGCUUCGUACUAAAAUUGCCAAUUUCUGUUACGCAUGCGCAGUUCUUAUUCCUGUAGUCCAGUUCAUCAAUCAUCUUGACCAGGACGGUAGGUGCAUCAAACUAUUCGAGUGAGAAUGUUCAGUUGGCUCUGAAUUUCCCUCUUAUUGGAUAGCCUGCAGUAAUGUGCACCGAGUACCCUGUUGUGUGUGUGUGUGUGUGUGUGUGUGUGUGUAUGUGUGUUUGAGAACACCCUACUGUGUUUUUGCAAGUCAUCUGAAACAGCUCGUGCUAUACUUUUGCAGGAAAUUGCUUUAACUGAAUUAUGCAAGCGAUCAAUCCAGCAUGUGGUGUUUUUGCCAGAGUGGUGGCAGAGGCUGACGACACCUGUGGACUCAUGCAGCUUGAAUGUUUUAAUGAAGACUUGAUUUGAUUACUCUAGCUGAAUAUUUUUCUUACUUGUGGCCGAGCAUGUCGUCACGUUGGCCGAGCAUGUGCGUCCAAAGCGCGGCCGUGGGCUCUUCGUCGGCUCCGGCGAGCUCUCACGUCGCUGUGCAAGGCCGGGUAUGCGACUCUCAAGGGCGGACAAUGAGGGCAUCAUCACCAAAUUAGUCCUGUUGGGUUCACAUGCUGUGUUCACCUAUCCACCCAUAUCCGCCUGUUUGUCGACCCAAACGAACAAAAUGCAAAGAAAAUUUGGGUAUAUGUGCUUUGGAGUUGCCCUUAUAUAAUACCUUAAAGUAAACUAGAUUUCCCAAUGGAUGACAUACAUUUCGGUCACUAAUGUAUAUCAAAUGAGUUUACACAUGCACAAUUAGGUUCAAUUUUAAUGGGCAAAUUGCUGUGUUUUUUGGAGUUCUUUCUUUGGUUUUGUAUUGAUGUCACUUAUUUGAGAGGGAUUGGAGAGGAUAGGUUUUUCAUCAUGUAUAUAUCUCCGUAGCAUGAAGAACUUUCAUAAAUGAAUUUGAUUCAGCAACCUGCUCCCCAUGCCGUAUCUUGUUUGUUCUUGGGGCCUGUGCGCACCCCUUUCCCUUGUACGCGCCACCGUAGUCCUCACUCACGCCCUCCUGUGUGCGUGCUUGUGAAACUACCCCUGUAACCGCUAACNNNNNNNNNNNNNNNNNNNNNNNNNNNNNNNNNNNNNNNNNNNNNNNNNNNNNNNNNNNNNNNNNNNNNNNNNNNNNNNNNNNNNNNNNNNNNNNNNNNNNNNNNNNNNNNNNNNNNNNNNNNNNNNNNNNNNNNNNNNNNNNNNNNNNNNNNNNNNNNNNNNNNNNNNNNNNNNNNNNNNNNNNNNNNNNNNNNNNNNNNNNNNNNNNNNNNNNNNNNNNNNNNNNNNNNNNNNNNNNNNNNNNNCUCCAUGAAUGCAAUGAUAUGCAAGCCUUUUGCGUAUUCACCAAAAAAAUCUGUAAUAAAUAAAUGUAUCCUGGAUUUGCAAGUGUACCUGUUCCUGUAAGCAUUUGAAUGAAUUAGGUCAACAUGAAAUACCGUACUUACUAUUUAGUAGAUCAGCCUGCUCUUAUCAUAUUUGUGUAUCCUUACUAUAUUUUUGUUUAUUGAAUAAAGGUUACAAUUAUGGUAGUGAAGAGCUUAGAAUCUUUUAUUUAUCCAAGUAUUUAUCCAGUGUUGCGCUUCUUUUUCUCUUCUACUCAGCUCACUUUUUCCCAUAGAGGCCUGCCACUCAUGGACAUACUUGUUGAUGCAUAUCAACGCAAUACUCACCCUGCUUCAACAAAAUGAUCAUACUAGGGUGUUGGAGCAUUUGUAAUCAUUGAGUUAUCAUCAUAUUUGAUGGAGAUAAUAUUAGUUAUGUACAUGUUCCAGGUUACAUUGAUUAUACAAAUGGCCACCCCAGGAUGAAUGAGGUAUAAAGGGGAGUUGGUGAUUAUAUGUCCCUUUGUUGGUAAGUCGUCAUCCCUACUCAUCAUUUCUCUUGAUAUAUAUGCACCAUUUCAUAGAUCUUUCUAAUGUUUUGAAGAACUACCCAAGCAAUAGUAAGGCGAAGUGACUAACAUUUGAAUUGACAACAAUGGUAGAGCAAAGAUGGAUUAAGACAAUGGAUGUGGAGAGGAAGGAACGGCGGGAGAAAUAUGCCGCUUUUCUGGAUGCAAGGGAAGUAGUGAAAGAGAUGGUGACAUAGGGAGUUAGGGACACACUUCUAAUUUUUAAAAUACACAUCAGGAGCCUUCCCUACUAUUCCAUGGUGAAAUAUAGAUAUGGUUAGCGUCCAGGAGAAAAGAAGUGGGAGAAAGAAUUGGUGGUUGUCGUUAUAUGGCUGAAUAUCCAUCAUGUUUGACAUACACUUCCGGAUUAAAACGAUGACCGGUGUAUCUAUUUUAUGUCCCGUGGCAACACACGGGCAUUCAACUAGUAUUUUUAGGAUUACAAUCGAAUGUCAUAUAGAUCAACCUGAAGCCAUGAGGCCCAGGCCCAGCCUAGUCACGAGGGUCUCCGCUCUGUCACCUCGCGCCGCAUCCUGAAACGUCGCUUUCUUCCCUAAAAAAAAUGUCGCUCUCUCCUUCCUCCAUCGCCUCCAGCUCCAGUGCUCCCUCCGCCAUCGCCUCCAGUGCUCCCGCCGCCAUCGCCGGCGCACGGCACUGACCGGAAAACACGCUCUCAGCUAGGCGCCAGCACCGCCGCCGCUUCCAGGUUCGGAGCGCGCUUGACCUGCAGCCAGCCUCCAUUGCCCCGGCCAGGUCGCAGGUUAGUAAAAAACCUAAGUCUGCCUACAGUUCGGCGGGCACCACUUCUGCUAUGUUGUUGCUAUUCUGCUUUAGUUAACACUAGAAUGAAGCAAAUUGAUAUUCUUGCCUGCAGACGCUCCUUCAAUCAGAACCCUGGGAUGUCUAGUUUGGUCAAAACUGACAUGUCAAAUUUGUGUGAACUCUUGUUGUUGUCGAUUACAAGCUAGCUAGUGUAAAAUUCUGCUUUCCUGUAUGGUUUCCUACUCUAAUUUCUUGUACCGCACUGUAUGAUGCGCACCGGUUCUACUCUCUCAAAUAAGAAAAAAAAAGGACAAAUCAGGGAGGAACCUCCUCGGUUCCAGUUUGUAUAGGAACGGGACCACCUUUUCCACCAACGUCCAAAGUUACGUAGGUUUAGAAACAAAAUAUACGUUCACCUUUUGUUACCUGAUGUCUACAGCGGAAAUGUUUCUCGAGCAACAGGUGUGAUGAAGUUUGCCUUAGUGAAGAAAAACAAAAAAAAUCCAGUAAAAUCUUGAGGGGAAGGGAAACAUGGUUAUUUGGUCAUGGUCAACCAUGUCGCCUCUUGUUAUAAUGGGAAAUAAAAACAUUACAAUGUCACCAGAGAAAUUAGUUCAUUCAGACGUUUACAAUGGAAAAUGUGUUAAAUCCAAAAAUGCUAGUUGCAAACUUGCAAUGAAGAUUUCACCCAAAUUUUCUAAACUGUCUCUUUGCUACAAUUUUAUGUAGGUGUAGCUCCAAGAACAUGUGUUCUGUGGCGUGUAUUGAUGGCCAAUAGCGAGUACGAGUAUGUGAAGAGGGAAUUCGAGUUCGACCAUCACCUCCCGGCCUCCAACUGGAUCAUUGUCUGCUUAGAUGGCUGUCAUUUCCACCGGUACUGUUCAUCUCUUCCUUCAAUAAGAAAAAAAAGUGGUUAAGCAACUGCAUAGAUCAUUUCACCAUGUCAAGUUCUUAAUCUUGUCCAUGUACCAAUGUCUUUUGCUUGAUUGUUGAAGUAUAAGCAUGUGGGAAACAUGCAAUGAAGGUUACUAUAUGCAUAUCUGGGAAUUACUGUUGCUUCAGAUUAUAAAUAGCUUAUCUUUGUUGUUCCAGUCUCCACUAAUUUCACUCCUCUUUUUGUUAGAUUCUCGAAGAUACACGCCUUUGAGAAACCAAAUGAUGAGAGCGCUUUAAGAUUGAUGAAUGCUUGUGCUAGUUCUAUCCUCGAGGAAUUUCCUGACAUAGUGUUUUCUUAUGGUGUUAGAGCAUCUCUAGCAGACCCCUUAAAAGAGCCAAAACUGUAAAAUAACUGCUUUUUACGGGAUUGAGCGGAAAAACCGACCCGGCCAGACCACUCAAAAUCGGCCGACCCGCAUAUUUUUUUGAGGGAAACCUUAAAAUAAGCCUCCAAUCCUGCAGUUGUUCAGGAUUCAGGGCAAAUUUUUCUGUUCACCUUAAAAAAAGACAGUUGGCGGGAGGGAAGUUUCAGGUCCAACCGCCAGAAUAGUUUUCAUUUUGAUCAAGAUCUAUCAUGUCAGUCUCGAUUCCGGCCAAAUUUCCAGCGGACAGGCCUGAUCUGGAGCGAUUCUAGUUGAUUUCGGUGGGCCGGCGCUAGCUCCGUGCGUGCUCCUUGGGAGGGACGGUGACAUGCCGCUGCUGCUGCGGCUGUUCAUAGACGGGAGGUACGUUGGCGUCGCUGACGAGGUGGUUGCGCUGCACGAGCAGUCGCGGCUCUGGUCGGUGCUCCGCCGAGCAGCCAGGCGCGUGCGAGGCGGCCUGCGAGGUGUGCGGCGACACCUGGUUCGUCGUGUGCGGAGGUGGACUGCACGGUGUGUGGCGACAAGGAUUCAGGGAGAUGCGGGUGAAAGGAAGAAGGAGAAGACCACGGGGAAUAUUUGGUAUUACGGUAUUUUUUUUGGGAUCCGUUCCAAUGUAGCCUGCACGGUACCACAAAACAGGUUUAAGGUUCCCCUUAUAAUGCUUUUACGGUACCGCGAUAUAAGGGAUCUACUAGAGAUGCUCUUAGUGAUGAGUACAGGUAUAACCCGUAUAACAUCUUCUCAUGAAAGUUAGAUUGUAAAAUGGAUGCAAAUUUUAUAUUAAAAAUUUGUAUGCAAAUACUUUUAUGAAUGGAGAUACUUUUGAAUUGCACGGGCUUUGUUCUCAGAUAAUAAUGUUAGGUUCUCAUAUUUCUGUUUGCUUUGCAGUUUUGUUUUCAGAGAGGGAACAGAAUUCUGUCAAAGACUUCUCUACCAAUAAUUGCAGCAAAAUUCUCUCUUUGUGUGUUUCUUACAUCACACCUGUGUAUGUGAUGAAGUUGAAAGAUUUCUUUCCAAAUAAAGAGUUGAGAGAGGCUCCAUAUUUUGAUGGGCGAGUUGUAUGCUAUCCAAAUAUGAAGACCAUUCGUGAUUAUUUGGCAUGGAGGCAACUGGACUGUAAGCUUCUUUAACUACAGUCGACAGUUUCCUAGUAUAAGUGAUAAGAUUCUUGUAUUUUGCAAUUGUGCAUGUUGAUCUCCUCUACAAUAACAUCUUGUCGUGUAUGUUAUUCCCCCAAAGUUGUAGAAACGUCAGCAAUAUUAAAUAAACACAAGUAUGGUGUAUGUAUCAUCAUUCAAUAGAUUUGUAUGUCCGGUUGCUCCGUUGCUUAGUUUGUUUUAGUUUAUUGGGUAAGUAUAAUGAACAUAUUUAAUUUGAGACGUGUGUUUCAGGUCAUAGAAAUAAUCAUUAAAAUACAUGCUUCUGGACAUUAGUGAUAUCUGAAAAAACUGAAAAAGAGGCACAACAAGCAUUGAAGGUAAUCUGAGUUUUAUAGAGUUUGAGUUGUCUUUUGUAUCAUUUGUAUAAAUUCUUUUUUGUGAACCAUCUAUUCUAGGGAACAUUUUCUAAGGAUAAAAUCGAGUUGCUUUCACAACAGUUCCAAAUCAUCCAUGAUGAUGAAUCGACUAUGUUCCGAAAAGGAUCCAGCGUUUAUCGAGAUAACGUAAUGGUGUCAACCAUACAAAAGGAAAUCAUCAUUAAAUGUUCCUACUCAUUCUCAGUGACAUAAUUUCCAUGUUUCUGUCACAAGAUAUCGCUUGCAUGAUUUAUGCAAAUGACCAUCAUAGUUUCUAAUCAUAACUUGGUGCAGAGAUCAAUCUAGCAUUUCUGAAUUCGCAUCUGAUAUCCAGAUAGUUAAAUGUGAAAAGUCCCUCUAUACUUUAGUUUUGAGGGAUAAUCGGAACUCCGUAUUUGGCAUUUCACGCCAUUUCCUUGUCUGAUAUUGGUCGAAUGCUAUAAUUCUUCUAAUCAGCUGUGCAGAUUACGUAAUGUAUUUCUAUUGUGGGUCUGAUUGUUGAAUAAUGUUAUUUUGUGGGACAUGUUUUGCUCAACUCUUACUUAAGAACAGUUAACCCUGUAUGGUGCUCUUUCGAAUACUGAUGGAAGUGUUGUUGUACAUAUCAUUGCAGGUAGAAACAACGCUGAAAAUUGACGAUUAUGGGAAUCUUAUAAAAAGAACCCGGUUGGCAAUUACAGUGUCAAUUUUUGAUAUCAUAGGACAUGAGUUUCGAGAAAAACAUCAAAACAUUCUUCGAGAAGGUUGGUUGAAUCAUUAUAGUUUUAGCAAUGCUUCCAGUCCAGCUCCAGUCAACUUUCAUACAUACAACCAGUACUGUACUGUAUACAACAUCGGUCUAACUGUGUGUUUGGGAGAAGAAAAAUAUAGAUACGAAUAUAUUAUAGAAGUACGAAUACAUCCAUAGGCUUCCAUGUUGUAAUUGAACUGUUGUUCAUAUCAGCGCCUGCCAAAUUGAUCAGUGAGGACCCCAAGUUUCCUAUUUAUGGAAUGUAUAUGCUCCAAUGCCAUUUACAGUUUCUUGUCGACAGUAGUACAAUAUGUAACAUCUAAAUUUAUCUCUUCAUCCACACCAGUAUGUAUGCAUUAAAUUUAGUUCUUGUUUAGUGUUUUACUGUGAUGAAUACUUAUCAAUGCCCUUGUCACUUCAUUUUCAUUUUCUAAUAGUAUCCUGAUGCAAGGGCUUAUUACUGUUGUAGCUAGUUCGAACAACAAACCAUAAGAAAAUGAGCUGACUCCCUGUACAAUUCACAGGUCACAACAGGAUCCAGUACAAGACAUGCUUUUGGAUGCUAGUGAAGUCCAGAAAGGGCGAAAACGAAGCUUACGAUAUGCUGAAGGUCUUCUUUCAUCAUCUACGUAAUCUAAAUAUUUGUUUGCAUUAUCCUAUUCAAUUCUUCUGUUAUCUACAGUCCCUAACUUUCUACCGUUCUCUGAAGGUCAAAGGACAAGAACGAGUUGCUCUUUCAGCCGUUUGAAAUGAACUAUAACAACGAACCGGCCAUGUACUGAAAGGGCUCAUGUGCUUACCGUGAAAAAGGUAUGUUUACCAUCAUCCAGGAACUAUUUUCAACAACAAUGCUGUUUGCGCUGCAGUUUCAUAUUAAGCAUUCCAAAAUAAAAUGUAGCGAUGCUGAAGAAACAAGAUUUACUUUGCCUAAUAAAAGAUUAAAGUUUUUUUUCCAACCCUGUAUGUAUUACGAUGAUGGGCUGUGCGGGGCGGCUUAUGGCUGUGCGGGGCGAGUAGGUGGCGGCUCAGGGCAUGGUAAUGCAGUGUCGGCGGUUGGCGGUGGCCCGCGGUGCAUCUUCUCCUUCCGCAGCGUCCGGGAAGACGAGGGGAUCCGGCAGUCUGCUGGGUACCCUGCUUAGCACCCCAGGCACAGCCCGCGUGCGUCGCUGCUGGAGGUAGUCACCCCCCGGCGUCGCUGCUGGAGCUAGUCACCCCCCGUCUUGCUUCCUGGCAUCUUUGCGUGGGCGCUGUGUCCGGUCCUUGGUCCCGUGCACCCACCUCGCCCGGAGUGGAGGGAGUCCUGCGGGUACCAGAUGUGCGUAGCAGCAGCCUUGUGUUCGCCACCGAUUGCGUGCACCAGCUCAUCCCCACCCACGCCUGCUUCGUGUCUCUCCCGCGUCGACAUGUUAUCCGUUCCAUAACCUCCAGAUGCCUCUGAAAAUAUGGCAUUCUAUCGGUUCCUCGUCGACGCGCUGCUCUCGUGGUCCUCGAAGCGCCAGCCCACGGCGUCCCGCUCCAGCGUGGAGGCAGAGUACCGUAGCGUGGCCAACACCGGGCCGAGUGUGUCUAGCUUCGACAACUCCUCGGCAAGCUCUGCUGCGCGGUCACCACUGCAACGCUGCCAUGCUGGUCUACUGCGACAACAUCUUUGCCGUGUACCUAUCCAGCAAUCUCGUUCACCACCACGGCACCAAGCAUGUCGAGCUGGACAUCCACUUGUAUAAAUCUAACCUUGAUCAAUGCAAUCGGUGUGUUCCCCCUGUAUAAGUCUAACCUUAAUGGCUUCUGCACAGAGCGGAUGACUGCAGGUGGACGAUGCUGCGAGUGGGCGGUGGCGCACGUCGACAUGAGGCCAGAGUUUUGGAGAACGCAUCGUCGUGGUCGUGGCUUUGUUAGCAGGUCGCAGGAACAGGUGAUGACUAAGUAGGAGUAGUUCUCAUCAUUGUCUCAAAGAAAACGUGACGGUUUAUUACGGCUGGAUAAUACAGCAAGGUCCGGCGUUCGAUCUCUGGACCGUGUAUUAUACUCCCUCCGUUCUGAAUUAAUUGUCUUGGAUUUGUCUAGAUACGGAUGUAUCUAGACUCAUUUUAGUGCUAGAUACAUCCGUAUCUAGACAAAUCCAAGACAAGUAAUUCGGAACAGAGGGAGUAUUAGCGAACAUCAUUUAUUUAUUUUUUCGAUCGUUGAAACCUCUGGUGGGCCGGAUACUGUGUCAGCGCGCGUGCGUGCCGAGUCAGCCCAUGCGGACGAGCGCACAGGUUGUAUGCUCUAAAAAUUGUCCCACCUCGCCUGCUGUGGGACGCUGUGCCCAGCUUAUAUAGUGCCUUCCUCCAAUCGCAUUACCUCCACGGGGACAACCAGCCGAGAAAGAGGCCUUAGAGCCCACCAAAAGGAAAGAUGCUUCAGAGCCCACAAGAGGCUUCAUAGCCUAGCCCAUGAGAAAAAAGAAAAGAGGCCUUUAUUAGAGCCCAUGAGAAAAAAAAGGGCUCUUUAUAGAGCCCACAAAAGAAAAAGAGCCAGAGCCGAAAAAUGGACCGAGGCCAGAGCCAACCAAUAAAAAUAGAAGCUUCAUAGCCUAGCCCAUGAGAAAAAGGUGAAGAGGCCUUUAUUAGAGCCCAUGAGAAAAAUAAAAGAAAAUAGGCUCUUUAUAGAGCCCACAAAAGAAAAAGAGCCUAGCCCAUGAGAAAAAGGAAAAGAGGCCUAAAAAAAGAGGCAAAGUACCUGUGGAGUUUGUGCUAGCACAUGGCUUUUUUUAAUUUUUAAUCUCUGUCACGGCCUUAUUUUAACUCCUAAUUUUUUAUUUAUUUAUUUAUGACGGUCACUUUUAUCCUCCAACCAAGAGUAUGAAAAUGCCCACAAUAUGAAUAUGUAUACUUUUUUUAACUCCUACUAAUUUUUUCCUGAUAUAUAUACCAUGAGAAAUAAUUUAUUUCUUUAUGGCGGUCAUUUUUAUCCUCCAACCAGUAGUGUGAUAAUGCCCAAAACAAUUUAUUAGAGCCCACGAGAAAAAAAGAAAAAAGGCUCUUUAUAGAGCCCACAAAAGAAAAAGAGCUAAAAUGGACCGAGGCCAGAGCCAACCAAUAAAAAAAGACGGAAAGUACAUGUGGAGUCUGUGCUAGACAUUAGCACAUGGCUUUUUUUAAGUUUUUAUCUCUGUCACGACCUUAUUUUAACUCCUAAUUUUUUAUCUGAUAUAUGUACGAGAAACAAUUUAUUUAUUUAUGACAGUCACUUUUGUCCUCCAACCAAGAGUAUGAAAAUGCCCACAAUAUGAAUAUGUAUACUUUUUUUAACUCCUACUAUUUUUUUCCUGAUAUAUAUACCAUGAGAAACAAUUUAUUUAUUUAUGGCGGUCAUUUUUAUCCUCCAAUCAGGAGUGUGAUAAUGCCCAAAACAAUUUAUUAGAGCCUAUGAGAAAAAAAAAGAGGCUCUUUAUAGAGCCCACAAAAGAAAAAGAGCCAGAGCCGAAAAAUGAACCGAGGCCAAAGCCAACCAAUAAAAAAAGAGGCAAAGUACUUGUGGAGUCUGUGCUAGACAUUAGCACAUGGGUUGUUUUUUAAUUGCUUUUUUUAACUCCUAUUUUUUUUCUGAUAUAUGUACGAGAAACAAUUUAUUUAUUUAUGACGGUCACUUUUAUCCUCCAACCAAGAGUAUGAAAAUGCCCAUAAUAUGAAUAUGUAUAUUUUUUUAGCUUCUACUAAUUUUUUUUCCUGAUAUAUAUACCAUGAGAAACAAUUUAUUUAUUUAUGGCGGUCAUUUUUAUCCUCCAAUCAGGAGUGUGAUAAUGCCCAAACCAAUUUAUUAGAGCCCAUGAGAAAAAAAGAAAAGAGGCUCUUUAUAGAGCCCACAAAAGAAAAAGAGCCAGAGCCGAAAAAUGGACCGAGGCCAGAGCCAACCAAUAAAAAAAGAGGCAAAGUACGUGUGGAGUCGGUGCUAGACAUUAGCACAUGGCUUUUUUUAGUUGCCUUUUUUAACUCCUAUUUUUUUCUGAUAUAUGUACGAGAAACAAUUUAUUUAUUUAUGACGGUCACUUUUAUCCUCCAAACACGAGUAUGAAAAUGCCCACAAUAUGAAUAUGUAUACUUUUUUUAACUCCUACUAAUUUUCUUUCCUGAUAUAUAUACCAUGAGAAACAAUUUAUUUAUUUAUGGCGGUCAUUUUUAUCCUCCAACCAGGAGUGUGAAAAUGCCCAAAAUAUGAACAUGUAUUUUUUAUCUUUGUCACAACCUUUUUUUAACUCCUACUGUUUUUUCUAGUAUAUAUACGAGAAACAAUUUAUUUAUUUAUUUAUGGCGGUCACUUUUAUCGUCCAACAAAGUGUAUGAAAAUGCCCAAAAUAGGAAGGGAAACGUUUUACGUCGGGGCACCGGCCGAGUUUUCGGCCGGUCGCUCGCGACACACGACUUGACUCGUGGGCCCACAUCGCUCCCGUUCUCCACCACACCUUAUCCUCAGCCGCACCACACCGCUAUAUUUCCCCCACCUUAUCCUGAGCCACACCAGCAUCUAUCUUCAUCAAAUCCCUCUCACCAUGCAAGCCCUCUCAAGCUCGAUUCCUCCCCCCCUCUCUCUCCUUUCAUUCCUCCUGCAGCCAUGAGAGCACUAGUUUGUUGCUACUCCGUCGUGCAUCACCCCCCACCCCCCACCCCCCACCCCACGCCCGCCCCACCGCGUGCUUGGCUGGAACCAGCCAGUCUAGUGCCUGGCAACGAAAAUUCUUGUUGAUAAAGCUUCAACCUUCGGCUGGAUUUUUGCUGGAACCACUGGUUGGGAAUGUUACAAGUAGGGGGCAUUUUUGCAGCAACUAUAUUCUUUUUUUGCUGGAACCGAUCCUAAUUUUUGCUACCAUCUUGUUUUGAUUUUGCUGGAAGCAGUUUAAAAUUACUACCACGGUCUUUCUAUUUUGCUGGAACCGGUAAUUUUUUCUGCUUCAACCUAAUACUGGAGAUUUUUGUUGGUAAAGCUUCAACCUCCGGCUGGAUUUUUGCUGGAACCGCUUUGAUUUUUGUUGGAUCCGGCAUGCAUAUGCUAGGAUUUGGGGCGGCGACGGACAACGGUUGCUAUGUGUUUUGUUGCAUAAGUUUUUUUCUGCUAUAACCAGCAAUCAAUUUUGUUACAACCAACUGCAGCGGAGCUGGAACCAGCGACAUUUAUUUUGUUUGUGACCUCUGGUGAGGGAACAUUUUUGCUAGAACCGUGAUAUAUUUUUGCUAGGACGGUUUUUGGUUUUUGCUACUACCAGCGGAACCCCUUUUUCGUUGUCGAAGCUCUUUUUGAUGAACACGGUGGUGGAAGCCGGUUUCGGUGGCGAGCUGAGAUAGCGACGGCGGGGGCUGCCGCAACCACGACGUCCACAUGUUGGAACCAGCCGAUGAAGAGCUACAAACGGCAGAAGCUGAAUUUUCGCGGGCAACCGUGCUGCAAUCCCGACGGCCGCACGACGAGAGGCGUCAGGCCGACAGAACGACGGCACAUGCGGUGGUGCUGCAACGGGAAGACAAGGCGAGGCAGUGGCGCACGCGGCGGUGCUGCAACCGGAAGACGAGGCGAGGCAGUUGGCGCGGGCGGAGGCGGCAUUCUCGUCCUCUCCCUAUUUUCCCGUGCGGGAGGUUGACGAAGGAGGGGAAGGGGGAUUGAUCUGACUUUUUUUUAGAGCAAGGGGAUUGAUCUGACGGGUAUGCAUGUACAGAUCGAAUGGCCCUAGGCAGACCGGCUGAAAGUUUUGGCCGGGACGCCGGCGCCUAUCACUCACCAAAUAGGAACAUGUAGCUUUCUUCUCUGUCACAGUGUUUUUUUUCUAACUCCUACUAUUUUUUUCCUGAUAUAUAUAUAUAUAUAUAUAGAGAGAGAGAGAGAAAAUGUAUCCUACUACCGGGUGUAGCUAUACCCAUUUCUCAUAUACUACCAUUUGGUAGUAUAUACUCUAAUUUAUUAUUUUUAGUAUGCUCAUAUACAACAUCUAAGAUACUCCAAAGUGAGUUAUAUGAAAAAAUUGUAAGUGAGCUCAUGGUUUUAUUGUAUUUGUGAAAUACAUAUAUAUUUGUACGCGAAAUAGAGUAUGCACAAAAUACGAUACAUACUACCAAAAAAGUAGUAUAUAUACUACCUAAACAUUCUUAUAUACUACAUACUACGCGUACAUACUCUUUAAUAUAAUAGAUACUACCUAGAACGUAUCAAACAAAAUUGGGAGUAACUACAUCCGGUAGUAGGAAAAAUUUGUCAUAUAUAUAUAUAUGUGUGUGUGUGUAUAUACUUUUAUCCUCCAACCAAGAGUAGGAAAAUGCACAAAAUAGGAACAUGUAGCACGGUGAGCUAAAAUAUAACAAACCGAUACAGAACAAACCUUUCCAAUGCCCAAUAAUCUUCAAUGCUCAAGUCCCGAUAAGUAAAAUGCAUUUUUUUACGCCAACUGCAUUCUUUAGGGGGUAAAGGUAAAAUUCAUUUGAUGUUCAGAAAGACAACAAUAACUAAUGACAUUAACAUUAGCACAUGGCUUUUAAAAGAUUUUAUCUCGUAAACAAAUAACUUACGAGGAUCACUUUUAUCCUCCAACCAAGAGUAUGCAAAUUCCCAAAAUAGAGCACGCUGAGCUAAAAUAUAACAGACCCGAUACAGAACAAACCAUUUCACUGCCCAAUAAUCUUCUGCUCAAGUUCUGAUAAGUAAAAUGAUUUUUUCGAGGGCGAAGGUAAAAUGCAUUUGAUGUUCAGAAAAGACAACAAUAACUAAUGAACGGUAUGGGAACAAAUAAUAUGAAGAUGCACAAAUUAGGACAUGUAGCACUGUAAGCUAAACUAUCACUGACCCGGUAUGGGACACCUUUUUGCUGCCCAAUAAUUUGUCCUUAUCGACAAUAUCUCCGGCGCUCAAGUUUUGAUAUGUAAAAUGCAUUUUAUUGGCAAGGGGGUAAAGGUAAAAUGCAUUUGAUGUUGAGAAACACAACAAUAAUUAAUGAUAUAUUUAAGAAAAAUCUGAUCUCAAUAAUCAUAAGCAUGAAACAAUCUCUUUAAGCUUUCUCACUGAGAGAUAAAUCUCUCGAUAAAAAAGAUAGGUAGACAUUGGGCUUUGGAACAUCGCCACGCUUUUCUCCGCGUUGUCCAUAUCGCACAUAGUGUGAUCGCCAUCUUGACAAAUUCACCGCGAUAGAGAUUCUAGCUUCAAGAAAGCCAGUUUUUAGCAUUAGUUUCACGGGUCUCCACCACAUGCUUGAUAAAUUCUUCAUCGCCCAAUUGUUGGGGAACGUAGUAAUUUAAAAAAAAUCCUACGCACACGCAAGAUCAUGAUGAUGCAUAGCAACGAGAGGGGAGAGUGGCGUCCACGUACCCUCGUAGACCGAAAGCGGAAGCGUUAGCACAACGCGGUUGAUGUAGUCGUACGUCUUCACGAUCCGACCGAUCCAAGUACCGAACAUACGGCACCUCCGAGUUCAGCACACGUUCAGCUCGAUGACGUCCCGUGAACUCCGAUCCAGCAGAGCUUCACGGGAGAGUUUCAUCAGCACGACGGCGUGAUGACGGUGAUGAUGUUGUUACCGACGCAGGGUUUCGCCUAAGCACCGCUAAGAUAUGAUCGAGGUGGAAUAUGGUAGAGGGGGGCACCGCACACGGCUGGGAGAGAUCAACAGAUCAACUUGUGUGUCCAUGGGGUGCCCCCCUUCCCCGUAUAUAAAGGAGUGGAGGAGGGGGAGGGCCGGCCCUCAACUAUGGGGCGCCCUGGGGAGUCCUACUCCCACCGAGUAGGAUUCCCCCCUCCCUUCCAUGUAGUAGGAGUAGGAGAGAAGGAAAGGAAAAAGAGAAGAGAAGGAAGGAGGGGGCGCAGCCCCUCCCCCUAGUCCAAUUCUGACUAGGCCUGUGGGGGGGGGGCGCAGCCUCCCCUCUCUCUUUCCCCUAAAGCCCAAUAAGGCCCAUAUACUCCCCGACGAAUUCCCGUAAUUCUCCGGUACUCCGAUAAAUACCCGAAUCACUCGGAACCUUUCCGAUGUCCGAAUAUAGUCGUCCAAUAUAUCAAUUUUUACGUCUCGACCAUUUCGAGAUUCCUCGUCAAGUCCCCGAUCUCAUCCGGGACUCCGAACUACCUUCGGUACAUCAAAACACAUAACUCAUAAUAUAAAUCGUCACCGAACGUUAAGCGUGCGGACCCUACGGGUUCUAGAACUAUGUAGACAUGACCGAGACACAUCUCCGGUCAAUAACCAAUAGCAGAACCUGGAUGCUCAUAUUGGCUCCCACAUAUUCUAUGAAGAUCUUUAUCAGUCGAACCGCAUAACAGCAUACGUUGUUCCCUUUGUCAUCGAUAUGUUACUUGCCCGAGAUUCGAUAGUCAAUAUCUCAAUACCUAGUUCAAUCUCAUUACCGGUAAGUCUCUUUACUCAUUAUGUAAUGCAUCAUCCCGCAACUAACUCAUUAGUCACAUUGCUUGCAAGGCUUAUAGGGAUGUGCAUUACCCAGAGGGCCCAGAGAUACCUCUUCGACAAUCGGAGUGACAAAUCCUAAUCUCAAAAUACGCCAACUCAACAAGUACCUUCGGAGACACCUGUAGAGCACCUUUAUAAUCACCCAAUUAUGUUGUGACGUUUGGUAGCACACAAAGUGUUCCUCCAGAAACGGGAGUUGCAUAAUCUCAUAGUCAUAGGAACAUAUAUAAGUCAUGAAGAAAGCAAUAGCAACAUACUAAACAAUCAAGUGCUAAGCUAACGGAAUGGGUCAAGUCAAUCACAUCAUUCUCUAAUGAUGUGAUCCCGUUAAUCAAAUGAUAACUCAUGUCUAUGGCUAGAAAACUUAACCAUCUUUGAUUCAACGAGCUAGUGAAGUAGAGGCAUACUAGUGACACUAUGUUUGUCUAUGUAUUCACACAUGUAUUAUGUUUCCGGUUAAUACAAUUCUAGCAUGAAUAAUAAACAUUUAUCAUGAAAUAAGGAAAUAAAUAAUACUUUAUUAUUGCCUCUAGGGCAUAUUUCCUUCAGUCUCCCACUUGCACUAGAGUCAAUAAUCUAGUUCACAUCGCCAUGUGAUUCAACACCAAUAGUUCACAUCACCAUGUGAUUAAUACCCAUAGUUCACAUCGCCAUGUGACCAACACUCAAAGGGUUUACUAGAGUCAAUAAUCUAGUUCACAUCGCUAUGUGAUUAACACCCAAAGAGUACUAAGGUAUGAUCAUGUUUUGCUCGUGAGAGAAGUUUAGUCAACGGGUCUGUCACAUUCAGAUCCGUAAGUAUUUUGCAAAUUUCUAUGUCUACAAUGCUCUGCACGGAGCUACUCUAGCUAAUUGCUCCCACUUUCAAUAUGUAUCCAGAUUGAGACUUAGAGUCAUCUGGAUCAGUGUCAAAAAAUUGCAUUGACAUAACUUUUUAUGGCGAGCUAUUUUAUCACUAUCAUAAUCGAGAAAUAUUUCCUUAGUCCUCACUAAGGAUAAUCUUGAUCGAUGUCCAGUUAUCUACUCCUAGAUCAAAAUUGUACUCCCUUGCCACACUCAGAGCAAGGUAUACAAUAGGUCUGGUACACAGCAUAGCAAACUUUAUAGAACCUAUGACUGAGGCAUAGGGAAUGACUUUUCAUUCUCUUUCGAUUUUCUGCCAAGGUCAGGUUUUGAGUCUUACUCAACUUCACACCUUGUAACACAGGCAAGAACUCCUUCUUUGACUGAUCCAUUUUGAACUACUUCAAAAUCUUAUCAAGAUAUGUACUUAUUGAAAAAUCUUAUCACGCGUCUUGAUCUAUCUCUAUAGAUCCUGAUGCUCAAUGUGUAAGCAGCUUCACCGAGGUCUUUCUUUGAGAAACUCUUAUUCAAGUAUCCUUUUAUGCUAUCCAGAAUUUCUAUAUCAUUUCCAAUCAACAAUAUGUCAUCUACAUAUAGUUUUAGAAAUGCUACAGAGCUCCCACUCACUUUCUUGUAAAUACAGGCUUCUCCAAAAGUCUGUAUAAAACCAUAUGCUUUGAUCAACUCAUCAAAGCAUAUAUUCCAACUCCGAGAUGCUUACACCAGUCCAUAGAUGGAUCGCUGGAGCUUGCACAUUUUGUUAGCAUCUUUAAGAUCGACAAAAUCUUCUAGUUGCAUCAUAUACAACUCUUUUUUAAGAAAUCCAUUAAGGAAUGUAGUUUUGUCAUCCAUUUGCCAGAUUUCAUAAAAUGUGACAACUUACUAACAUGAUUCGGACAGACUUAAGCAUCGAUACGAGUGAGAAGAUCUCAUCGUAGUCAACACCUUGAACUUUGUCAAAAAACCUUUUUCGACAAGUCUAACUUUGUAGAUAGUAACACUACUAUCAGUGUCCGUCUUCCUCUUUGAAAAUCCAUUUAUUUCUAUGGCUUGCCGAUCAUGGGGCAAGUCCACCAAAGUCCACACUUUGUUCUCAUACAUGGAUCCCAUCUCAGAUUUCAUGGCCUCAAGCCAUUUUGCGGAAUCUAGGCUCAUCAUCGCUUCCUUAUAGUUCGUAGGUUCGCCAUGGUCAAGUAACAUGACCUCCAGAAUAGGAUUACCGUACCACUCUGGUACGGAUCUUACUAUGGUUGACCUACAAGGUUCGAUAGUAACUUGAUCUGAAGUUUCAUGAUCAUCAUCAUUAGCUUCCUCACUAAUUGGUGUAGGAAUCACUGGAACUGAUUUAUGUGAUUAACUACUUUCCAAUUCGGGAGAAGGUACAAUUACCUUAUCAAGCUCUAUUUUCCUCCCACUCACUUCUUUCGAGAGAAACUCCUUCUCUAGAAAGGAUCCAUUUUUUAGCAACGAAUAUCUGGCCUUUCAGAUCUAUGAUAGAAGGUGUACCCAACAGUUUCCUUUACGCUGUGGUGUUCCAUGUGGCGUGAGCUAUGAAACUAUUCCACAUUGUUUUGAAUGAAGACCAAACUCGUAACUCAAAUAUUCUCCUCUACGAUCAGAUUGUAGAAACUUUAUUUUCUAGUUAUGAUGAUUCUCCACUUCACUUCUGAACUCCUUUGAUCUUUUCAAAUGUUUUCAGACUUGUGCUUCAUUAAGUAGAUAUACUCAUAUCUGCUCAAAUCAUUUGUGAAGAUCAGAAAAUAACGAUACUCGCCACGAGCAUCAACACUCAUUGGACCGCAUACAUCGGUAUGUAUUAUUUCCAACAAGUGAGUAGCUCGUUCCAUUGUUCCGGAGAACGGAGCUUUAGUCAUCUUGCCCAAAUGGCACGGUUCGCAAGCAUCAAAUGAUUCAUAACCAAGUGAUUCCGAAAAUCCAUCUUUAUGGAGUUUCUUCAUGCGCUUUACACUGAUAUGACCCAAACGGCAGUGCCACAAAUAAGUUGCUGAUACGGGGCAAACCCGGUGUAGGCCAAUCUUUCAUGUUUGGAGUGGGAUCCCUCGAAGAGCACGAAGAACACGGGGAAGAACGGGGAGAAAUCACAAGGGGAAACACUCAAGAACAAGUCCAAAUCACACAUCCACUAGACAAUCAAACACACAAGAUCACAAGAUACAUGAACAACAAAGGGAAAGAUACAAGGUAAGGUUCAUCUCCAAGAGGAGGUCUUGAUGAUAUCCUAGAUGGAUCUUCCCACAGGGGGGUCUUGAUGAUAUCCCGCAGGAUCUUCUCACAUGGAGGUCUUGAACUCCAUGGGAGUGGUAGUCUCUCUCUCUCAAGAGUAGAGGUAGGAGCAAAGCUCACCUAAGAAUGAGCUAUCAUAUUUUCUAACCCUAACUAGGGGAAGGGGAUGGAGUAUAUAUAGGAUAGUCCACAAAGGGGUAAGUGAGGAGGGGAUACCUGGGCCUUCGGCCCGACUCUGCACGCGGGCAGGCGCCGGAUGUCCGGGCUGGGGGCCGGAUGUCCGGGCGUUCGCGGGAGGCCGGAUGCUCGGGGCAUGGGCCGGAUGUCCGGGCUGGUGAGAUCGGCCUCGGUGCUCUCUGGAUAGGGGCGUCGGAUUUCCGGGCUUAUGGCCGGAUGUCCAGGCUGUCGGGAGGCGCCGGAUGUCCGGGCUUGCGGGACGGAUGUCCGGGGCCUGUAGGUACUUGGCGGCUGGGCGACUGCUGUGGGUGAUGCUCCAGGGGCCGGAUGUCGGGGGUCCUGGACGGAUGUCCGGGUCCUGGGGGUUGUCGCCAUCUUCUUUCGUCGUCGCUUCUAGGCUUCCCUCGCGGAUGGUGUAGUUGUUCCUUGGCGCUUGCACUCCUCCUCAACAUCCGUGAAGCUCCGACAAUACCUAUGCAUGCACACGGGAGAAGUGUCAAGUAGUAUACCAUCCUCGAAGGGGUCAAGUGAGCACGUGUAAAGGAGAAGAUUCACCUUUAUGUAUGAGAAGUAGAGGUCGCAUGUGUCACUUGCCAAACGGACUGUUGACAUGGUGAUGACCGUAGGAUGCUCCGCAUCAUCCCCUCCCCCUUGGAAAAGAUCCGACCUCGGAUCGAAAACCAAAUCACCAUGGGAAAGAGAUGGCGGUGCUGUGUCGAAGUGGUCGGUCACCAAGCACUCAUCAUCUUGAAACUCGAAAUGGGCACUCUCCAAUGUCGCACCGUCUAGUGAUUCCUUCAAAAGAAGCAAGAACAACAAACACUUGGAAAAACAAAUGUGGUUAGCGUUAGUGCAAAACCAAGCAUUCAAGAGGUGGUUCACCAAACAAGUGUCGUCAUCAAGCAUAGCAUCGGGUGUGACAAAGGAUUGCAACAUGGCAUGUAAGCAUAUCAAUUGAGCAUAAGCAAAGAUAUCAUGGGGACAAGUAUGCAAAUGUGAGGUAGACAUGCAAAUAUGUGUGACAAGAGCAUAAGCAUCCACCUCAAGGUCAUAGCAAGCAUGCAUAAAGCACUCGACAAAUGGUCGAUGGUAGGCAUAGGAAUCAUUCACAACACCAAAUAAGAUGAGAUGUCUAAACACAUGGGUCAAGUGCAAGACAAUCCAAGCAUAAUGUGCAUAGGGUGUAGUGAAUAUAGUGUGGCACUCAGCACAAUAGAAAGAGCAAUUGUUCAUCAUGUGUGAGGCAAUCAAGUCAAGCAUGUGACAAGCAAUGGGACAUGGCAUAUGUGAGGAAAUGAUAUUGGUGCAACCAACCAUAUGAUAGUAGCAAGUAGACCAAGAAUUGGAUGCAACACACAAGGUAUAUAUAUGAUGAAGCAUGGAAAUGUGGCAAUCAUAGGUGAAAGCAAUAUCUUGAACAUGCGUGCAAAUGGUGCAAGCAACACAUGAAGUAUGAUCCACAAUAUCCAAGCUCAAGAAGGAUGUCACCUUGAAAGCAUUUCCUUGUGUAUUCUUCACAAUGCUGAAGUGGAAGCAAAUACGAUGUAGAAGCGAGUCGUGGUAGAAUGUAUGAGGCUCGCUCUCAAGAGCUCGAAUGGUCAACUCACAUGAAGUGGAAGUCGACACAAAGUCCAAGUAUCCUACACAUGCACAAAACAAAACAAAGAACGUAUGCGCAUGAUAGAUAAACACAUCAUCCAUCAUGAUGGUUCUCAUCUUUUGCACAAAACCAUUAGAAGCACAAGUGCAUGAAUAAUAUGAUACAACAAUGGCUAAAUUCAUGGCACUAGGUAUAUGGUGCAAAGAAGUAAGACAAGCAUGCUUCACAAGAAAUAUGUCAAAAUCUCCAAACAUAUGUGAGAAUGCUAUGGGGGCAAUCUCAUGAGCAAGACUAUAAGCAUUGUUGCACUCAAUACAUGGCAAGUCUAGCAUGAGAGAGGCAACACAUGGAGAUAUAUGACAAGAAGCAGUAUGAUUCAUGUGCAAAGCAUAUAGAUGGUUGUCAUCAACCGCAUGAAAUGAGCAAGUAUGAAUCAUUGGUGAUGCAACAUAAGCAAGCAUUGUAAUCAAGUCGUGCAAACUAGUAGAGCGAAGAUGCAACACACUAGAGUAAAUCAUGGCAAUCAUGUCAUGUGAGCAAAUAAUAGGCAAAGAAAAUGCACAUGACAUAUCGCAAGCACGAGCACAAAGCAAGAUGAAAGUAUCAUCAUAGGAAUGGUGCACAAAAGAAACAUGGCAAUAACAAGCAGUAUCUCCACCAAGCUUGCAAAUACACAUACAAGUACUAGAAUCAAUCAUCAUGUGUAAUGCAAAAGCAUGGGUCACAAAUGCAUGGCAAAGGCAUAGUAAAUAGCAUAUCAUGCAAAGUGAACAUGGCAAGAUGGGAAAAUGAUAUAUAAUGGACAAUAAGCCAUAACCAUGUGAGGGCCAUGUAUAAGAAAUGCGCCAAGUCUUUGCGCGAAGAGAGCGGUGGGAAAGACAAUCCAUGGGAUCCCAAAUCAUCGUUGCUCUAUAGAGCUCGUUUUGUCAACUCGUGGGAUUGCGAGGUUGACAAGUAUUCAUGGGUACCUACACAAAAAGAACACAAACCAAAGAAAUUAUGCGCGUGGUAAAUUUACACAUCAUCCAUCAUGAUGUGUAUGUGCACAUGUGAGUUAGCACAAGAUAAGUAUCGCUCAAAGAAAUUUGAUGCAUGGUAUAUGAACAUGUCAUCCAUCAUGAAAGAAUAGUUAUUGUGUAUGACACGAUGGGGACACAAAUUGAGAAUGCAAGUAUAUGACACAUCAAUAUCAUGUUUAAUCAUGGGGAGCAUAUGGUGCACACAAGUAUUGGGAUCAUGCAAUGAAUGGGAUGGAUCAAAAUCUCCUAAAAUGCAUGAGGAAACUAUGGGGGUCUCCUCAUGAGCAAUAUCAGAAACAUCAUAUGGAGAAAAUGGACAACACCAAAACAAUGCAUAUCCGAAGCUAGGUGGUAAUGGCAUGGCAUAUGAGAUAAAUGAUGCAAAGGUAGCAUAUCAAUAUCAUCACAAGAAAGACAAAUGCCAAUAACCAUGGGCUUGUCAUCUAUGUCAUAUGUGCAAAUUGGGUUCAUUUUAAUGGCAUAUACAUAGUCACUAUGAAGAGAUUGCAAAUAAGACAUAUGGUUGAUCUCUUGCAUAGCAUAUGACAAGUCAAGCGGAUUAUCAAACAUGAUGUGACCUAAAGAAUUGUUACAAGAAAUCCUAUGUAACAUGGCAUCACUACUAAUAGACUCCACAUGAGAAUCAUCAUAUUCAUCAUAAAUGGGCAAAUCAUCACAUGGGGAAAUCAUACUAGCAUGAAGCAUGGCAAUAGGUGGAUCAACAUCAUGCAAGCAAUCAAUGUCAAGAAUGUCCACUAGUGGGACUAGAGCAUCACCGUCACCUUUGUUACCUUUGUCAUUCCACUCAAGUGGUGUAGGUGAGGUGGGAAAGACCAAAUGGUGGUCAUCUUCAUCUUGAUGGAACCAUGUGGGGGGUGCAUCAUAUUCCACCAUGGCCAUCGUCUCGUCCAAAGGGAGGACGAAGUCGUCGAGGAUCGGCGCAUCAUCAUAAAUGGGACCUAGCACCAAAUGAGAAGACACAAUAGAGGUAGAGGUCAAGUUGUUAGAAAUGCAAAUGGUCUCACGAGACCUAUCAACUAUCUCACUCUCUCUAUGUGGUGGUUCACUCACUCCCUCAAAGUAGGUGCACUCAAUCUCACAUAUGGUGGAGUCACUCAUCUCACUCAAGUGGUGGGGGUUGUGGCUCUCCUCACAUGGGAAUUGUGGCAACUCAUCAUAUAUGGGGCUAGUGGUGAAGUCACUCUCACUCUCCAUAUGGUGGCACAAGUCACUCAAGUCAUCAUACGUCACCGUGGUAGAGGUGAAAUACUCAACCAUCUCAUCGCCAUCGCCAUGGAUGAAGGCCGAAGAUGGCACAUCAUCACUCUCCUCCAUGACCGAAGGGAAAAUCCCAUUCUCGAUCAUCUCGUCAUCGUCGCCGUGGAUGAAGGCCGAAGAUGGCAAAUCAUCACUCUCCUCCAUGACCGAAGGGAAAAUCCCAUGCUCGAUCAUCUCGUCACCGUCGCCGUUGAUGAAGGCCGAAGAUGGCACAUCAUCACUCUCGCCUCCUAAGAUGGAAGCAUCAUCCUUGCUCGCCACCUUGUCGCUCGCCUCCAAAGCUUGGUCCUUGAGGGUCUCCGUAGUCGUACUCGUCGCCGCACCGUCUUGAAAAAGAGUCGAAGUAGACUCGGCACCAUCAAUGCCACAAAGAGGGAUGGCGGUGAAGUCAAACUUGGGAGCAUCGUCUUGGAGCUCGUCGGGCUUGGACAUCUUGAUGGUACUAGCCUCAUGCUUAUCGUAGAGCUUGGUCGCCGCGAAGUGUGCUUGGGGUGGAGAAGCCUUGGCCUUCAUGAGUUCUUGUUCCGCCUUGAGAGCACCAAUGUAGUAGUCGUCGAUGGACUUGUAGUUUUCGAGGAAGAUUGUCUUGGAGAUGUUGUUGUGCAAUCCCAUCAUGAAGUGGAACUUCAUUGACAUGGGGUCGUCCACGCCGGCUCGUCGCAAGGCAAUCUUCAUCUCCUUGAAGUACUUGUCGAUGGACUUGGAUCCUUGGGUGGUGUCCUCCAAUUGGUGUUGAAGUUGUUCCAUGUAGGUUGGAGGCACAAACUCUCACCGCAAAGCUCUCUUCGUCUUGGGCCAACUCAUGUCGUAGUACUUCGAAGGUGUGUGAAGCCACCAAGUUGAGGCGUAGUCGUGGAAGUUUCUUGUGGCGCACUUCACUUGAUCUUCGGGACGAACUUGAUGUAGCUUGAGGUAGUCGUCCAUCAAACGCUCCCACUCAAGAUACUCCUCGGGUUCAUGAGUCCCGUAGAAAGGAAUCGCGUGGUCGAUGUUGAGGUCGUAGUAGCUCGUGGAAGUCACGGACUUGAGCUUGGGGAGCUUCUCUUGAGCAUAGUCUUGAGGUUCUUGUUGGCGAAGAUGCCGUAUGUCCGUAGGCGAAGAUGCCUUGAAGUUGCUUGGCGAAGAUGCCAAGGGAGAUGGUGAAGUCGUUGAGCGGUUGUUGGUGUUGAGCUCUUGACCUUCACGUUCUUGUUGGUGAUGGUGUCGAUGCCGAUGUGAUCUUGCCGAAGAUGGUAGCUCGGAAGGAUGUGUUCUUGAGCAUCUUCUCGAAGAUGAGGAAGAUCGCUUGUAGGACUUGAUGAGGGCUUUGAUCUCCUCCAUUUGAGCUUGCAUCUUGGCGUCGGAGUUGUUGUUCGUGGCAUCGAACUCGUCGUUGUUGUUGUAGACCGAAGGUGAAAUGCCUUGCCUAUCCAUCACAAGACUCGAGUAGAGGUGAGUAGGAAAUGAGAUAAACAAUACCAAGUUACCUUUUCCCAAAAUUGAGGAUGUAUCCCGUUUCACUCAAUGUGAAAUGAAAGAAUAGUGGAAUUGGUACCGGACUUGUUCACUCACACCUAUCAAGUAAGGCUUAUGGUAGAGCUCGGUGAGGAUAGUGGCACAAAAAUUUGAUGCAAAAUGUUAGCAAGAGUCAAUAGUGUUGAAAGAGAUUCAUAAAUUUGCAAGCGAAACAAGUAGACCAAUAGCAAUAUGUGGCACACGGAAACACACACACGGAUAGAUAAAUGGGGUCGUGCAACCAAGGAAUGAGCACAAAAUGUGGAAUCCACGGAAAAUGCUCGUGUUGCACAACUCAAGAGAGACGCUAGCACGAUUGCUCAAUAGGCGGAUACGACACUUGUGCACAACCUAUAAGAUGCAAAAUGGAUAAACUUUCUAUCCCAAGUAUGCUAUGUAUGUAUGGUUGAAAGGACCACGAUGUCGCCUAGAGGGGGGGUGAAUAGGCGUUUUAAAAUCUUUUACGGAUUUGGCUAUAUCCUAAUGCGGAAAUAAACUAAGCGGAUACUUUUCAAUCACAAAUCCUAAAUAUACUAGGCUCACUAAGUGCACCAACAACUUAGCAUAAACAAGAUGGGAACAACGAGGAUAUGAGUAAGCACAAGUAAGUCACACAAACUUACUCAAUGUAUAUCACGAGAUAUGGAAAUGAAUAAUACACACAACCACAAGUAAGCAAUACAAGCUUACACAAAUUGUAUCACAAUAUAUGGGAUUGAAUGAUACAAGCAAACUCAAGUAAGUUACACAAACUUACUUGAGCAAUAUCGCAAUAUAUGGAAGUGUAUGACACAAGUUAGCAAUUCACACUAAUCACAAAGUAUAUCAAUAGUAGCAAGUAUGAAUUGUGGAAUAUGAAGUGUAGGCCUAAAUAAUCUCUACAAGGAAAUGGCCAACACAAUAUAAUGAACCACCACAAUAUAAUGACGACAACAAGAUAUAGUGAAUGCACGGUCAAAUGACCAAAGUAAACCACAAGUAAGGAGUUAGGGUUAGGGAUAACCAAAGUCACGGAGACGAGGAUGUAUCCCGAUCACUACUAGGAAAAUGGUUUUUAACGAUGGCAUAUGUGGUCGUUAAAAUCAGAUUGUGAUCGUUAAUGGUCAUUAACGACCACAAUAUGCUGGUCUUAAUAGGCUCCGUCGUUAAAAGUAUAACGACCACAUCUUGUGGUCGUUAUUUUUUAACGACCACAUAUUGUGGUUGUUAUACUUUUAACGAUGGGAUAGUGUGUCAUCGUCAAUCCCAAGGAAAUAACAACCACACUUAGUAUUAACAACCACUUUUAACAUAAGUAAUUGUGUUCUCAUGGUUACGAAAGUAUCAUUAAUAACCACUUUAUAGAAUAAUAGACAAUCUUUUCAUCAUUAUGACAUCCUUCAUAAUCACUUAUAUUUAGUAUAACUUCUGUUCAACAAUCACUUUAUGAAUCAUCCAACUUUGAAUAUUAACAUCCACAUUAAUAUAGAAACAAAGGAAUAUUAAUUGAAAGGAUCUUAACAUCUUUAUGAAAAGAAAUCAGAUAAAUUAACAAAAAUCCGACAUAUGAUUCUUGAACUAAAAGACUACUAAAAAAUUGUGGCAAAAUAACUCCUUAUAUGAUCAAUAUACUUGCUCAUAUCUAGAAAAUGAGACAACUAGAAAAGAUAAUAUUUAUUAAAUCUUCAAUCAAGGGACACCAUCGUUGCUUGAAUGGAUAUCAUUCUUCAUUGGCAAUCACAAUGCCUCCUAAUUCUUCUAAAUAUCACGGUUGACCAUCAGUCCUACAAAACGUUGAGUAAUUUAUCAAAGUCAGUCCAUGUAAAUAAAUUGGCACAAAGUAUGACAUAAAUAAAUGUACUGAACAAAGUUGCUUAAUUUUUAACAAAGCCGCUUAGAGAUGUAUUGAACUUUUCUUGGAGUACUAUUUUCAUUUGAUCAGAAGUUUGAAGUUUAGAAACCAAUUCAGCCUUACUUAAUGCUGGUCCCACGGACCCGUUCUUUUCACCCGUUUGAGAUGUUGUGCAAUCAAAAUACAUGUGUAUAGAAACCAAUUCUAUUUACAUGUGUGUAGCCUUUUAGAGAUCGGCUUGAUAUGUUUCCCUUGACUGCACUGUCCCUGCCCUGUCCAUGGAGAUCCAAAUUACUAUGCUAAAGAAAUAGGAGAAGUACUAUUCAUAGAAAAGGAUGAAAAAAAAUACUACGAUGCUGCUUUUGAAGAUCUUACCUCAACGUCUCACAUUAACUUCUAUCAACCACUGCAUAUGAGGGAAUCUUUCAGGUUCAUAAACGUACAUCUGUAGUCAUCAUAAUGCAAACAUCUAAUAAAAAAAUCAGGUUGAUAACUCAUAAAUAUCAACAGGGCAACAAGCUCUUGCAACCUCGUGAUAGCUUCCUAGAAAGUUUGUACGCUAUAUAUAAUAAUAAAAGGGUUAGGUGAUCAAUCAAGCAAUAAUGUAAUAGGCAAUGAAGACCAUGUUUAAAUAAUGUAUACCCUAGCUUCAGUUAAAAAAACAUCCUGGCUUGUAAUACAUUGUGAUUGAAAAAUAAUUAAGAGAAUAGGCAUGUUCACACGUCAUAUGACUUAGGCUAUAGAAAUUUUGGCACCUUCUACUAGUAUAGAUGCGAGCAGCUAGCUCUGCACGUACGCGUCUAGUCGGAGCUCAUUUUCAUGUGUAUCUCUCGCCGUAACUUCGUAGGUGUGCCUCGCCGAAAAUUACUUGGCGAGUAGCAUCAGAGUAUCUGGUCUGCACCAAUUUACAGUACGGUGAGGAUGAUCUCCACAGGGCCAACAUGACUAUCGGUGAUAACUGGAACAGUGCAACAUAAAACAAAGGUUCCUAUUAUUACUUUUGUAUUACCUCGAACAUCUAACUGGGCAGUCCUGGAACAGAUCAUCACGCCACGAUUUCCCCUUCCAAAAAGAGUCUGCUGGCUCUUCUUGGGACUGUAGCUGCGGCAGAUGAUGGAGCAGAUCAGCAAAGGCGGCUGGACCUUGAUAACCGUAAACAAAUCCAAAGAGUUCGUCCCGGGCUCUCGACGCCCAACUUCUGUGGCGUAGGAAAUAGAAGGUUGUAUGUGAGGUCGAUCAACAAAUUAUUUUGAUAUAUAUAAUGGGAGCAAACCUUUCAUGGAAUUUGAAGGACGAACUCGGAUGUACACAUAGAUUAUAUCCAAAUCACAACUAGCUUCGGCUGUUGCGCCUCCUCCUAACCGAGAUCAUGGCGACGCUCCAAGGACCAUGGCCGCCUUCAAUCCAUGGGAGGGGAUUCCACCACUCCGCCGCCAUGGUUCUCAUGGACGAAUGGGAGUCUCAGUUAGGUUAGUAAACCUAGACUUAGAUUGAUAUUUAUCCUUUCUCUCAUCUCUCACGAUGUAAAUAAAAGAGACAAGGAGUAACAACUUCGGAAAGUACGCUAAUUGUGCAACAACAACCGCUAACUUACGAUGGGAAGUCCCCAGAGUUUUCACGGGCCAAAGUUGGAUGUGGGGUUGGCCCGUGGUGGUAGUAACGACCAAGCAUUAUUUGGGGCUGGUCGUUAAUGAUCUAAUUUAUAGUAGUGGAUGUUCACUUCCUUGGAGGGAAGCUAGUCACCGUUAGAGAGGUGGAUGUUACCACGAAGGCACACCAACGCCACGAAGGCUUACCUUAUUCUUCUUGAGAUAUCACCACGAAGGCGAUUUCCAACCACUAGUGGUAGACCUUGAGGCGGCCUCCAAACCUUCACAAACUUUCCGAGGGACAAAUCACAAGUUGAUUCCUCACCGGAGCACUCCUACCGCCUAGGAGUCUCCAACCUCCAAGAGUAACAAGAUCAAGGGGGAAAUGCUCAAGACUUGCUCAAAUCACAAAUUUCUUUGGUCAAACAAGAGAGGAGGAGUGGUUGUAUGCUUGGAUGAAAUCUCUCUCAAGAACUCUCACAAAUCUCUUUGGGGUGUAGCACGAGAAGGCUCAAAUCCCUCUCUCUCAAAUUCCACCAAAAGCAACUAAUGCUAUGGAGGGAUGGGAGAGGAGAGGAACAAUGGAGGAGGUCAACCAAUGAACCCUAGAUCCAUGGGAUAGUUUUCCCCCAAAUGGAUUGGAGUUUUGAGGCUUGGGGGAUGAGGAUAGAGCUCAAAAGAAUGGGGAAAUCUCAGAUGCAAAAGCUCUAACUCGAUGGGGAAGAAGGGUGCCUUAUAUAGUGCCCCACCAAAUCUGCCCGUUACGCACAGAGAAACGUAGCCCGGAACUUCCGGGCAAGCCCGGAACUUCCGGGCCCCCUAUUAGACACAUAUGUGCAAACUUUCUGGUUAGCCCGGAACUUGGCCCGGAAUUUGCCCAGAACUUCUGGCCCCCGGAACUUCCGGGAGUCCCAGAACUUCCGGGCUCCCUUUGGACCAGAUCUGUGCAAACUCUCUGGUUAACCCGGAACUUUCCCCGGAACUUGCCCGGAACUUCCGGGCCCCGGAACUUCCGGGCUGCCCGGAACUUCUGUCCCCACAAAAAACAGCCAGCAUACUGAAAGUAAAACAUGCAUAACUUUUCAUACGAACUCCGAUUUUGAUGAUCUUGGGCUCGUUUUGAAGCUAUGGAAAAACCCCAGGUCCUCACAUAGAUAACCAUCCAAGAUCAACCAAAAUGGAGGAUGCCAAAUAUGCAAAGGUGUUAUCAUAUAUUUGGGAAACCUAUUUGGCUUUGGAUUUUGUUUGGUAUAUAGGAUAGGAGUGGAAUUGUGUAAAGAAGAUGUUGACUUGAGCAAAUCCAUCACAAACCCCUUUGAUCCCCUCUUAAUAGUGCGGGAUCCCUAUAACUCAAGAAUCAUAAAAGAGCUACACUACAUAGCUAUCGAGAAUCCAUUCUUGAGUGUAUAUGUUUCUUUUUGGUGGUCAUCACUCCACAACACUAACGUCAAAGGAACUAAUACCUUUGACACGAGCCGUUCACUUGAGCUUGAUGUUGAUGUUUCUUCUUAGCUCAAGAUGAAGGCAAGACAUUGGUGAAGUCUUCAAGUCUCUCCCCCAUACACAAUGUGGGGAAGCUUUGCUUUGUAUUCAUCUUCACUUGUUCAUCAUGUGAUCAUCCACAAGCUUCAAGCAUGUAAUCCUUUGGGAUGGUUAUCUUGAACUUGCCCUUGUCAACCAUGAUCACCAAUACUUGAUGUCAUCCUCUCAUAGACACUUGAAAUAUCUUUCUCGAUGCGAGCCCGUGAGAAUCACCUAACCUUUCGCUCGUGUGUUGACCAUUUAGAGUUUGAUCUUUGAGCUUCAUCUUGGUCAACCUAUAUCUCUACUCUAUGUUUAAUCUUGACGUCUUGAAGGGUAUAUUGAAUUCUUCACUUGAAUAGCUUGCUUGAAUACUUGAUCAAUCAUGACUCACACAUGAGUCCAUUAUGAUCAUAUCUCUGAGCCACUCCUUAAGAUACUCCGAUGAACUUCAUUUUGAUCAUCUCAAUGUAAUUGUUGCUUCAAAGGAGUUGUCUUCCAUUAUUCUUCAAUCAUAUUCCAAUGGGACUAACCUUCAAAUAUAUAUCUCAAUGCAAACAUUAGUCCAUAAGGAUUGUCAUUAAUUACCAAAACCACACAUGGGGACUACAUGUACUUUCAAUCUCCCCCAUUUUGGUAAUUGAUGACAAUCUCAACAAGAGGGUUUAUAUAAUGAAUUUUUUUACACAAGCACGCACUUUUUCUAGAAUAAAUUGUAUACUUGCGGUGACUUUGAUAGCAUUAAUUAUCACAAACAAACUUGAUGUUUAUCAAAACCGGUUGUACUAACAUCAAAACACUACACAAGCAUUUGAUGUUAAUAAGACCACAAUAUAUAGAGCAAGCUCCCCCACAAUAUAUGCAUGUGUCUAGUUGGAGUUUUUUUAUAUAUAUUCAUUCAUGCAACAAGCAUAUAUAACUAAGGUGGAUAUGCAUGAAUGACAGCAAGAACUUCAAAAGAUAUUUAUCUUAAACCCUCUAAACUUCUCCCCCAUUGGCAACAAAUGCCAAAAUGGAAGACAAAACAUCUAGAAGACCAAUAUAGUAUGAGUUCCUCCUUGAUGUGUGCAUAUCACAAAAUGUGAGUGAACGCAAAUGCACAUAUACAAUAAUUAAAAAUUUGAGGAGCUCGGAAUCUAUAGAAUGCAACCAGAUAUGAAGAUAUGAAAACAAGCAUUAGACAUGAGAGGAAAACAAUCAAAACACAUGAGUGCGCAAGAUUAUAUGUCAAACAUACAAGCACUCACGACACAACCUCUUACCGAAGCUACCAUAAGAAUAAGAGGAAACAAACAAAGUGGCCGGCAAGGAAUAAAUGAUAUCAAGGAAAGAUAUGAACUUUCUCAUGUAGAAAAAUUUCUGAGUGUCCAAUCAUAAUCAUGAUAUGUAUCCACAAAGAAACUUUGCAUACACAAAAUAUACGCAAUUGAUAAGAACAUGAUAUACACAAGUGAAUCCAUUAUUAUACAACUGAAACCUGGUCAUAAUAGUAAGGCACAUGGCACAAAGCACAUGGCACAAAUUGAUCUCAUUUGCAUAACACAAAGUGAAGCAAGCAAUCAAAAGAUCCGAUAAGCCAAAAGGAUAAAAGAAUAUUAUGAUUUGGGCAAAGGAGUGUUCUAAGGAAAAUAGAGAAGCUCCCCAUGAUUUGUGCACUAUUUAAAAUUUUUGUAUUUGGAUGCAAGUGCACAAAAUAGGAUCAUCACUCCCCCAAAAUCAAUAGAAACACAAAACAAUUUCAAGCAGGCAUAGCUAAGAAAAGAAGCCUAGCAUUUGCAACAAACAUAUGGUUGAGCAACAUGUAAAUGAGGCAACCUAAGAAUAGCACAACCAAAAAUGAUGUGUGUGAGUCACGUCAAAGCACUUGAGAAGACUAGUAUAAGGAUGAGAAUUAAGCAUCAACAUAGCCUUGAGUAAAUGAGAUACAAGGUGCAAGACAUGUCCUUCCCACACAAACGAAGUUAAGAAGGUCACACACACAUCAAGAAAAUGGGUUCACAAGCUCACUAAUAGCAAACUAAAAAUCAAAGCUUGUGACAACCCAUGAUGAAGAUAGGAAAUAAUAGGCUUGUCAAGACAAGCAUGAGGACAACAAUCUUCACCAAACAUGAGUGCACUAAGAUGCAAAGAGGUAAGACAUGCACUCAUACAACAAAUGCUUCCAUGGAGCCACCAAAAAGAUAUAAAAAGUGAAUUAAAUGGUGGACAUGAAAGAAUAGGGAUAUCAACUAGAGAUGUAACUUCUCUCACGUGUAUAAGAUUCUAGGUAGAUGAUAUCCACAAAGAAGGAUGUACACGUAAAAUAGUUACAAAAGGAAAAAAUAAGGUAUCCAAACGGGAGUCAUAAAAUAUACCAAUGAGAUCUUUGCUUGAAAGCAUAGCAUGUGGCUUAAUAUAAUCUUAUUGUAUAUUAAUGAACUCCAAACACACAACCAUCAAAGACAUCAUAACUAGCAACAAGAGAUCAUGUUGGGAUGCUUUGAGAAAGGAAACAAGUAUCACAGGAACAAGUCAAGAAAUUCAUGCCAUGAUGCAACCUACACAAGGUUGACCCCAUUUCUAUAUAUAUGCAUGAAGUAAAUACUUGUUACCGAGGUAGCAUUGGUAUGAAGUCGUAGAUCAAUAAAAUGUCCAAGCUUGGCUCUAAUUUCCUCAUAGUGCCACCACCUUCAUGAAUAAGACAAGCACCCAAUGCUUCUCAAAUGUACCUAACACAUUUUAAGUACAAUAUGGUCCCCAAACUUAUUGGGUCCGAAAUAGUUAGCAUAACUACAACACAUAGGGUAAAACCACUUAAAUAUGUGCAUAUUGAUAUGAAUUUGAAUUUCAUGCACAUCUUAGAUAUUAAGAAUUUGAUGGAUUUACCAUAUAUAUAUAUUGGAUCAAAUAAGGAAAACAAGGCAUGUGAAUUUACACAUAGUAAAUAUGCAUGUACAAGCCUACCAAAAUCCAAGGAGAUACAAAUUUGGCAAAUGACCACAUAACCGUUAAUACUUCCAAUAACAUUACUAGUCAUUUAUGUUGUACAAAAUGAAUCAAAGUGACAAAUCAACAUAUGAUAGCACACAAAGUUCAACAUAUGAACCAAGGAAAAAAAACAAUGAGCAUAUAAGAUAUGCAUUGCACACAUACUCAUAGGAAUAUCUCACUCAAGCAGAUAUAGGACACUAUAAACAAUGAGAUAACAAACUCUCAUAUAGAGCAAUAAGAUGAAUUCGAACAAAAUGGUAUUUCGGGUUAUCAUCCGUUGUAGAAACAAAAUAAGUACAUGAUCAUCUAUACCAACCCAAGCAUAACAUGAGAGUUUAAAAAUAAACAUAAUGCUUGGAUAGCAUAAUAUUAACAUUCCAACUAGAUAGAUCAUCAUGCAAAGCAAUAAUUGGAAUAGCUUUAAUCAAAUGAUUUUCCAAAUAUGAUUUUAAAGAUAACCAUGGGCAAAACCGCACAAGAAUGCCAUACGUAAACAAGACAUUGCGUGCCAUGGAGAUAUAAGAUAAUCUCAAAUAUAAAUUCUAAGUGGCAUCCCUCAAUUGUUCAUAUUAACAUAGAUUGUGAUAUGCACAAAGCAUAUCACUCCCCCAUAAUAUGAUGAUCCAUGUAUUAUCCACAAGAAGCAAAUAAAACCCAACUAAGGAUCAUUAAUGGAGAGAAUUUGAGUUUCAAAUGAGCUUUACAUACCACAUAGUAACUAGAUAAUAUUGCACUAACAAUACUAGGUGGUAUCCCACAUACAUACACAUUUAAGGUUUGUGAUAUCCUUAAAUAUCUCAAAAGAGCCAAGGAAGAUUCAACUAAUGAAGCAAUAAAGGCUUGAAACCACACACACAAAUAUAUGAAGUGCAUUGCAACCUACAAAUGCUAGAUAACACAAAUCAAGCAUACUAGGAAGCACAACUAUACAAGCACAUGCUAGGUACAAAACCUAAACAUGCAAGGGACAUAGUGACUUUCAAUGUAAACAAUGCAAGUACAAGUUACCGCAAAGAGGAGUAUUGGAUUGAUAGAUAUGAUGAUAAUCCACUUGACUUGGCAUUAACCAUAACAUAUGGUGAAAAUAGUUUUUCUUCCUAAAGUAGCCAAGUCUCCAAUGCCCUCCACACACCUAUUGAUCAAGUUUGAGUUUGAUGGUCCCCAACCAAGUUGGGUCCUAAGAAGUUAGUAACAAUAGGCUUGGCAACCCAAAUGGUCUUGUCCACUUUCAAACUUCUUUGGGAACCCACAAACUUGGCAAACACAUUGCCAACAAUAUCCUUCCUUAGCGAAUAAUGAUUAUUGACUAUAGGAGGCUUAGAUAUGUUACCGUUGGGACAAGAUGAAGCUAUGUGUCCCUUCUUACGGCAAAUAUAGCAACAUGUGCUCCCCUUUCUCUUCUUCUUUACCUUUUCAACUUGGAGGGCAUUAUCUUGGUUAGGCAUGGGAAGAGGCCUUUCAUUAUCUUGAUAUUGAACUUGAAGCCACUUCCCUUGAUGCUUCACAUUUGAAGCCUUCUUCUUCAAUGGACAAGAUCUCACAUGGUGUCCAACAUUCUUGCACUUGAAGCAAGUAAUGUUGUCUGAAUUCUUGACUUGAUCAUGUCCCUUCUUCUUAUUCUUGGACUUCUUGUUGGAGAUGAAAUCAAGUCCUAUUUUGUCUUGAGGGUCCUUUUGCACACUCAAGAUAUUAUCACAACAUUUUUCCAAGUCUUUCUUCAAACUAGUGACUUGAGCCUUGAGCUCUUUAUUUUCCUUUACAAGGUUAGUAUUAACAAAAGAACUAGAGGAAGUAGAAGCUUCAUUGUUAGAGCAACAAGGCAUGGUGAGCAAUUCAUUACAAGAUGUACCAAUAUCAUGUAGAGAGGAAUUGCAAGGACUAGCACAUGACAAUAAGGCAUUUCGAGUAGAAGAUGUGCUAAUAUCCACAUGAGACUCACAUGAUUUUACCUUGAUGACCAUAGCCUCAUGAGCUAACUUUAACUCAUCAUGAGAGAUUAGAAGAUCCUCAUGAGUGCCUGAGAGCUUUUUAUGACUUUCUCCCAAUUUCCCGUAAUUGCUAGUUAGCAAAUCAAGUUGAGUCCUUAGCUCAACAUUUUCUUUUAAUAUCGAUGCGUCACACAAGAUAGAGUUAGUAUCACAAGCAUCAUUAUUAAUAUGAGAGGAGCAUGUAGAGGCUAGAGACUCCGCAUGAGUAGCUUGAAGUUCCUCAUGAGACUUAGAGAGUUUGGUGAGCUCUCCUUUGACCUUCUUGUAGUCAAGGUCAAGGUGCUCAAAAUCCUCUUUAAGUUUACAAUGAGUAACUUCAAUCUCUUCUUUUAAAGACCUAAAGUCACUAAGACAUUGAUGAGCCAUAGCAAGUUCAUGUUCAAGUUGUUCACUUUUUGCUUGCUCGUAAAGGAAUAGGUUGUUACAUUUUUGAAAGCAAGCAAGAACAUCUUGGAGCCUUUUAUAAGUGUUAUUUUUAGCUCUACGAAGAGUUUUCCCAAUCUCAUAGAGAUUUUGAGUCAAGACUUCAUCAUCUUCCUCAUUACAACUAUCAUCAUUAUCACUAAGAGAAGAUGAUACCUCGUCAUUACCUCUUGCCAUGAGGCACAUGUGAACACAAGGGGUUGAUGAUGAUUCUUUUGGAGAGGAGGGUUCUUCAUCAACCAAGCGUGCCUUAUUUUUCUUGAUUUCCUCUUGUGGUAAGCCACAUGUUGGUGAAGUGAAAGAUGUUGAGGUAUGCAAGUAAUCGGAGGUGGAAGCAAUAGAGAGCUCUUCAUGAUUUAGAAAUGUGGAGAACUCCUCCAUUAACUCCCCAAAAAUAAUAUUGUCUUCAUCAAGAUUGGACCCACCAUAUAUAUCUUCAAUUUUGGUCCAAGCCUCAUGAGCCAACGAACAAGACGAGAUUGACUUGAACACCUCGAAGGUUAUAGCUUGGUGAAUGACACUUAAUGCUUCACAAUCAAGAUGCAUAUCAUCAAGUGAUGGAGAUUGUCCAUCCUUUAGAUUUGAAUUCCCUACAACCAUAAUCCGCAAAGCAUUUGGACCCAUGGCCCGAAAGUGACAAAGCAUGCGUAAUCUCCAUAUAAUGUAAUUUGUGCCAUUAAAACAAAAUGUGUCAUCGUGCACUAGUUCACUAGUCGACAUCGUUACUCUCUAGGCGGUUAAGCCUAAUAAGGAGAGACCUAGCUCUGAUACCAAUUGAAAGGACCAUGAUGUCGCCUAGAGGGGGGUGAAUAGGCGUUUUAAAAUCUUUUACGGAUUUGGCUAUAUCCUAAUGCGGAAAUAAACUAAGCGGAUACUUUUCAAUCACAAAUCCUAAAUAUACUAGGCUCACUAAGUGCACCAACAACUUAGCAUAAAUAAGAUGGGAACAACGAGGAUAUGAGUAAGCACAAGUAAGUCACACAAACUUACUCAAUGUAUAUCACGAGAUAUGGAAAUGAAUAAUACACACAACCACAAGUAAGCAAUACAAGCUUACACAAAUUGUAUCACAAUAUAUGGGAUUGAAUGAUACAAGCAAACUCAAGUAAGUUACACAAACUUACUUGAGCAAUAUCGCAAUAUAUGGAAGUGUAUGACACAAGUUAGCAAUUCACACUAAUCACAAAGUAUAUCAAUAGUAGCAAGUAUGAAUUGUGGAAUAUGAAGUGUAGGCCUAAAUAAUCUCUACAAGGAAAUGGCCAACACAAUAUAAUGAACCACCACAAUAUAAUGACGACAACAAGAUAUAGUGAAUGCACGGUCAAAUGACCAAAGUAAACCACAAGUAAGGAGUUAGGGUUAGGGAUAACCAAAGUCACGGAGACGAGGAUGUAUCCCGAUGUUCACUUCCUUGGAGGGAAGCUAGUCACCGUUAGAGAGGUGGAUGUUACCACGAAGGCACACCAACGCCACGAAGGCUCACCCUAUUCUCCUUGAGAUAUCACCAUGAAGGCGAUUCCCAACCACUAGUGGUAGACCUUGAGGCGGCCUCCAAACCUUCACAAACUUUCCGAGGGACAAAUCACAAGUUGAUUCCUCACCGGAGCACUCCUACCGCCUAGGAGUCUCCAACCUCCAAGAGUAACAAGAUCAAGGGGGAAAUGCUCAAGACUUGCUCAAAUCACAAAUUGCUUUGGUCAAAAGAGAGAGGAGGAGUGGUUGUAUGCUUGGAUGAAAUCUCUCUCAAGAACUCUCACAAAUCUCUUUGGGGUGUAGCACGAGAAGGCUCAAAUCCCUCUCUCUCAAAUCCCACCAAAAGCAACUAAUGCUAUGGAGGGAUGGGAGAGGAGAGGAACAAUGGAGGAGGUCAACCAAUGAACCCUAGAUCCAUGGGAUAGUUUUCCCCCAAAUGGAUUGGAGUUUUGAGGCUUGGGGGAUGAGGAUAGAGCUCAAAAGAAUGGGGAAAUCUCAGAUGCAAAAGCUCUAACUCGAUGGGGAAGAAGGGUGCCUUAUAUAGUGCCCCACCAAAUCUGCCUGUUACGCACAGAGAAACGCAGCCCGGAACUUCCGGGCAAGCCCGGAACUUCCGGGCCCCCUAUUAGACACAUAUGUGCAAACUUUCUGGUUAGCCCGGAACUUGGCCCGGAAUUUGCCCGGAACUUCUGGCCCCCGGAACUUUCGGGAGUCCCGGAACUUCCGGGCUCCCUUUGGACCAGAUCUGUGCAAACUCUCUGGUUAACCCGGAACUUUCCCCGGAACUUGCCCGGAACUUCCAGGCCCCGGAACUUUUGGGCUGCCCGGAACUUCUGUCCCCACAGAAAACAGCCAGCAUACCGAAAGUAAAACAUGCAUAACUUUUUCAUACGAACUCCGAUUUUGAUGAUCUUGGGCUCGUUUUGAAGCUAUGGAAAAACCCCAGGUCCUCACAUAGAUAACCAUCCAAGAUCAACCAAAAUGGAGGAUGCCAAAUAUGCAAAGGUGUUAUCAUAUAUUUGGGAAACCUAUUUGGCUUUGGAUUUUGUUUGGUAUAUAGGAUAGGAGUGGAAUUGUGUAAAGAAGAUGUUGACUUGAGCAAAUCCAUCACAAACCCCUUUGAUCCCCUCUUAAUAGUGCGGGAUCCCUAUAACUCAAGAAUCAUAAAAGAGCUACACUACAUAGCUAUCGAGAAUCCAUUCUUGAGUGUAUAUGUUUCUUUUUGGUGGUCAUCACUCCACAACACUAACGUCAAAGGAACUAAUACCUUUGACACGAGCCGUUCACUUGAGCUUGAUUUUGAUGUUUCUUCUUAGCUCAAGAUGAAGGCAAGACAUUGGUGAAGUCUUCAAGUCUCUCCCCCAUACACAAUGUGGGGAAGCUUUGCUUUGUAUUCAUCUUCACUUGUUCAUCAUGUGAUCAUCCACAAGCUUCAAGCAUGUAAUCCUUUGGGAUGGUUAUCUUGAACUUGCCCUUGUCAACCAUGAUCACCAAUACUUGAUGUCAUCCUCUCAUGGACACUUGAAAUCUCUUUCUCGAUGCGAGCCCAUGAGAAUCACCUAACCUUUAGCUCGUGUGUUGACCAUUUAGAGUUUGAUCUUUGAGCUUCAUCUUGGUCAAACUAUAUCUCUACUCCAUGUUUAAUCUUGACGGCUUGAAGGGUAUAUUGAAUUCUUCACUUGAAUAGCUUGCUUGAAUACUUGAUCAAUCAUGACUCACACAUGAGUCCAUUAUGAUCAUAUCUCUGAGCCACUCCUUAAGAUACUCCAAUGAACUUCAUUUUGAUCAUCUCAAUGUAAUUGUUGCUUCAAAGGAGUUGUCUUCCAUUAUUCUUCAAUCAUAUUCCAAUGGGACUAACCUUCAAAUAUAUAUCUCAAUGCAAACAUUAGUCCAUAAGGAUUGUCAUUAAUUACCAAAACCACACAUGGGGACUACAUGUACUUUCAAUGGUUCCCGGUGUUUCUCACAAGAUGAUCCAAGAUGAUCGAGUAUGAUAACAUAUGAUAUAUUGUGAUGCUAUGGCUAUUGCUUACAAGCUCUUUGCUCUCUUUUGCUUAAAAGCUUAUUCUCUUUUUUUUUGGAUAUGGCCACUUUUGCACAAUGCACAAACCAAGAUAGCAAUUGUAUAUAUGCGGGAACAAGCUUGUGACACAAGAGAUGAUAUGAUGAUACCAAUAUGAUAUAGUAUGUAUGCUAUGGGAAGUAUGAUCACUAAUGUGCACAAGUCAAGUUGCCGGCAAUACUCAAAUGGCUAGUCUCGAUAGGCAAGUAACGCAAAAUGGGUUAAGGGGUUAUCAAUGCAAUUGCAAAGGGAAUAUACAAUGGUGUUGUCGAGGUUACCGUCCUUGGUGAUGAUGAGAGGCGGUGUUCUUGAUGUCGAGCCGUUCCUAGUUAGCCGAAACACCCUAGGAAACGGAAAAACCGCAAACUCAAAAGCUCCAAAGGCAAAUGUCAAAUGGUGGUAGCGGAAAAUGGUGGUGGUUUUGCACUAGGCAAUGCGGAAGUGGAAUGAUGGGCUAUACACGUGUCGGAGUUGAAGUUGCCGUCCCUAAGUAGCCGAAACACCUUAGGAGACACAAGCCACAACUCAAACAAAAUUGGGUUAGGUUUGGGUGAUCGGUGAUGGUAAUGCGGAUGAUAUGGUGGAGGGCCUAGGCAAACUUGCCAAAUUUUGAAAAAUUUGAUGGAGUCAAAUGGUGAUGGUGGUAUUUUUGUGGGAUGGGGGAUGUCAAUAGCUUCAAAACAAGCUAAAGAAUGUCAAAAUCGGACUCCGGAUGAAUUAGUUAUGGCCAAAACGGUGAAACGAAAAAAACUGAAAUCCCAGGGGCCGGACAUCCGGGGCUCGGGCCGGAUUUCCGGAACCUGAUAUCCAGAAACUUGUGCGAAAAUGCACUCCAGGAGCCGGAUUUUCGGGCUAAUGGCCGGAUUUCCGGGAUGGCCGGAUGUCCGGGGCUCGGGCCGGAUGUCCGGGCUCCAAAUCCGAGGAUGAACUCGAGGAACUCGAUUUUGGGGCGGAAAAUUGAGAUUUCGGGGGCAAAAUUGGAGAGAUUUUGUGGAUGGAAGAUGGGGAAACUUGGGGAAAAGCUAGAUCCACUUGAAACCAAGCAAAUCCACGGAUCAAAAUCAACAAAACAUCAUCAAACCAACAAAUCACAAAAAAAAAUUGGGGCUAUUUUUGGUGGGGAUUUUCGGAUUUUAGGAUGAAAUCAAGCAAAAGAAGGCUAGAAAACGGUGGGAUGGACUCCAAAUACGUGAUAAGCGUGGCUCAUGAUACCAUAUGAUACGGGGCAAAUCCGGUGUAGGCCGAUCUUUCACGUUUGGAGUGGGAUCCCUCGAAGAGCACGAAGAACACGGGGAAGAACGGGGAGAAAUCACAAGGGGAAACACUCAAGAACAAGUCCAAAUCACACAUCCACUAGACAAUCAAACACAUAAGAUCACAAGGUACAUGAACAACAAAGGGAAAGAUACAAGGUAAGGUUCAUCUCCAAGAGGAGGUCUUGAUGAUAUCCUAGAUGGAUCUUCCCACAAGGGGGUCUUGAUGAUAUCCCGCAGGAUCUUCUCACAUGGAGGUCUUGAACUCCAUGGGAGUGGUAGUCUCUCUCUCUCAAGAGUAGAGGUAGGAGCAAAGCUCACCUAAGAAUGAGCUAUCAUAUUUGCUAACCCUAACUAGGGGAAGGGGAUGGAGUAUAUAUAGGCUAGUCCACGAAGGGGUAAGUGAGGAGGGGAUACAUGGGCCUUCGGCCUGACUCUGCGCGCAGGCAGGCGCCGGAUGUCCGGGCUGGGGGCCGGAUGUCCGGGCGUUCGCGGGAGGCCGGAUGUCCGGGGCAUGGGCCGGAUGUCCGGGCUGGUGAGAUCGGCCUCGGUGCUCUCUGGAUAGGGGCGUCGGAUUUCCGGGCUUAUGGCCGGAUGUCCGGGCUGUCGGGAGGCGCCGGAUGUCCGGGCUUGCGGGCCGGAUGUCCGGGGCCUGUAGGUACUUGGCGGCUGGGCGACUGCUGUGGGUGAUGCUCCAGGGGCCGGAUGUCCGGGGUCCUGGCCAGAUGUCUGGGUCCUGGGGGUUGUCUCCAUCUUCUUUCGUCGUCGCUUCCAAGCUUCCCUCGCGGAUGGUGUAGUUGUUCCUUGGCGCUUGCACUCCUCCUCAACAUCCGCGAAGCUCCGACAAUACCUAUGCAUGCACACCGGAGAAGUGUCAAGUAGUAUACCAUCCUCGAAGGGGUCAAGUGAGCACGUGUAAAGGAGAAGAUUCACCUUUAUGUAUGAGAAGUAGAGGUCGCACGUGUCACUUGCCAAACGGACUCUUGACAUGGUGAUGACCGUAGGAUGCUCCGCAUCAGUUGCACUAUCAUAAUUAACUUUGCAUCUUUUGGCAUCAAUAUUAUGUAUAUGUGUAUCACUACGGUCGAGAUCCAACAAACUGUUUUCAUUGGGUGUAUGUCCAUUGAAGGUUUUAUUCAUGUAAAUAGAACAACAAUUAUUCUCUGAUUUUUAAAUGAAUAACCGUAUUGCAAUAAACAUGAUCAAAUCAUAUUCAUGCUCAAUGCAAAGGCCAAAUAACAUUUAUUUAGGUUUAACACUAAUCCCGAAAGUAUAGGGAGAGUGUGCGAUGAUGAUCAUAUCAAUCUUGGAACUACUUCCAACACUCAUCGUCACUUCACCCUCAACUAGUCUAUGUUUAUUUUGUAACUCCUGUUUCGAGUUACUAAUCUUAGCAAUUGAACAAGUAUCAAAUACCCAGGGGCUACUAUAAACACUAGUAAGGUACACAUCAAUAACCUGUAUAUCCAAUAUACCCUUGUUCACUUUGCCAUCCUUCUUAUCCACCAAAUAUUCAGGGUAUUUCCGCUUCCAGUGACCAUUUCCUUUGCAGUAGAAGCACUCAGUUUCAAGCUUUGGUCCAACUUUGGGCUUCCUGCGGGAGUGACAACUUGCUUGUCAUUCUACUUGAAGUUCCCUUUCUUUCCCUUUGCCCUUUUCUUGAAACUAGUGGUCUUGUCAAUCAUCAACACUUGAUGCUCUUUCUUGAUUUCUACCUUCAUCGAUUUCAACAUCAUGAAGAGCUCGGGAAUCGUUUUCGUCAUCCCUUGCAUACUAUAGUUCAUCACAAAGUUCUAGCAACUUGGUGAUGGUGACUAGAGAACUCUGUCAAUCACUAUCUUAUCUGGAAGAUUAACUCCCACUUGAUUCAAGCGAUUGUAGUACCUAGACAAUCUGAGCACAUGCUCACUGCUUGAGCUAUUCUCCUCCAUCUUUUAGCUAUAGAACUUGUUAAAGACUUUAUAUCUCUCAACUCGGGUAUUUGCUUGAAAUAUUAACUUCAACUCUUGGAACAUCUCAUAUGGUCCAUGACAUUCAAAAUGUCUUUGAAGUCCCGAUUCUAAGCCGUUAAGCAUGGUACACUAAACCAUUACGUAGUAUCAUAUUGAGCUAGCCAAACGUUCAUAACGUCUGCAUCUGCUCCUGCAAUAGGUCUGUCAGCUAGCGGUGCAUCAAGGACAUAAUUAUUCUGUGCAGCAAUGAGGAUACACCUUAGAUCAUGGACCUAGUCCGCAUCAUUGCUACUAUUAUCUUCCAACUUAGUUUUCUCUAGGAACAUAUCAAAAAUAAUCAUAAACGGGGAGCAAAAUUGCGAGCUAUUGAUCUACAACAUUAUUUGCAAAAUACUAUCAGGACUAAAUUCAUGAUAAAUUAAAGUUCAAUUAAUCAUAUUACUUAAGAACUCCCACUUAGAUAGACAUCCCUCUAAUCAUCUAAGUGAUCACAUGAUCCAAAUCAACUAAAUCAUGUCUGAUCAUCACGUGAGAUGGAGUAGUUUUCAAUGGUGAACAUCACUAUGUUGAUCAUAUCUACUAUAUGAUUCACGCUCGACCUUUCGGUCUCCAGUGUUCCGAGGCCAUAUCUGCAUAAGCUAGGCUCGUCAAGUUUAACCCGAGUAUUCUGCAUGUGCAAAACUGUCUUACACCCGUUGUAUUUGAACUUAGAGCUUAUCACACCCGAUCAUCACGUGGUGUCUCAGCACGAAGAACUGUCGCAACGGUGCAUACUCAGGGAGAACACUUAUACCUUGAAAUUUUUAGUAAGGGAUCAUCUUAUAAAGCUACCGCCGAACUAAGCAAAAUAAGAUGUAUAAAAGAUAAACAUCAUAUGCAACCAAAAUAUGUGACAUGAUAUGGCCAUGAUCAUCUUGCGCCUUUGAUCUCCAUCUCCAAAGUACUGUCAUGAUCUCUAUCGUCACCGACAUGACACCAUGAUCUCCAUCUUCUUGAUCUCUAUCAAUGUGUCGUCACAUGGUUGUCUCGCCAACUAUUGCUCUUGCAACUAUUGCUAUCACAUAGUGAUAAAGUAAAGCAAUUAUUUGGCGCUUGCAUGUUAUGCAAUAAAGAGACAACCAUAAGGCUACUGCCAGUUGCCGAUAACUUUAACAAAACAUGAUUAUCUCAUACAACAACUUAUAUCUCAUCACGUCUUGACCAUAUCACAUCACAACAAGACCUGCAAAAACAAGUUAGACGUCCUCUACUUUGUUGUUGCAAGUUUUAUGUGACUGCUAUGGACUGAGAAAGAACCGUUCUUACCUAUGCGUCAAAACCACAAGGAUAUGUCGUCAAGUUAGUGCUGUUUUAACCUUCGCAAGGACCGGGCGUAGCCACACUCGGUUCAACUAAAGUUGGAGAAACUGACACCCGCCAGCCACCUAUGUGCAAAGCACGUCGGUAGAACCAGUCUCGCGUAAGCGUACGCGUAAUGUCGGUCCGGGCCGCUUCAUCCAACAAUAUUGCCGAACCAAAGUAUGACAUGCUGGUAAGCAUUAUGACUUGUAUCGCCCACAACUCACUUGUGUUCUACUCGUGCAUAUAACAUCUACGCAUAAACCUGGCUCGGAUGCGACUGUUGAGGAACGUAGUAAUUUCAAAAAAAAUCCUACGCACACGCAAGAUCAUGGUGAUGCAUAGCAACGAGAGGGGAGAGUAUCGUCCACGUACCCUCGUAGACCUAAAGUGGAAGCGUUAGCACAACGCGGUUGAUGUAGUCGUACGUCUUCACGAUCCGACCGAUCCAAGUACCGAACAUACGGCACCUCCGAGUUCAGCACACGUUCAGCUCGAUGACGUCCCGCGAACUCCGAUCCAGCAGAGCUUCACGGGAGAGUUUCGUCAGCACGACGGCGUGAUGACGGUGAUGAUAUUGCUACCGACGCAGGGUUUCGCCUAAGCACCGCUACGAUAUGACCGAGGUGGAAUAUGAUAGAGGGGGGCACCGCACACGGCUGGGAGAGAUCAACAGAUCAACUUGUGUGUCCAUGGGGUGCCCCCCUCCCCCGUAUAUAAAGGAGUGGAGGAGGGGGAGGGCCGGCCCUCAACUAUGGCGCGCCCUGGGGAGUCCUACUCCCACCGGGAGUAGGAUUCCCCCCCCCCUUCCAUGUACUAGGAGUAGGAGAGAAGGAAAGGGAAAAGAGAAGAGAAGGAAGGAGGGGGCGCAGCCCCUCCCCCUAGUCCAAUUCGGACCAGGCCUUGGGGGGGGGGGGGCGCAGCCUCCCCUCUCUCUUUCCCCUAAAGCCCAAUAAGGCCCAUAUACUCCUCGGCGAAUUCCCGUAACUCUCCGGUACUCCGAUAAAUACCCGAAUCACUAGGAACCUUUCCGAUGUCCGAAUAUAGUCGUCCAAUAUAUUGAUCUUUACGUCUCGACCAUUUCGAGACUCCUCGUCAUGUCCCCGAUCUCAUCCGGGACUCCGAACUACCUUUGGUACAUCAAAACACAUAACUCAUAAUAUAAAUCGUCACCGAACGUUAAGCGUGCGUACCCUACGGGUUCGAGAACUAUGUAGACAUAACCGAGACACAUCUCCGGUCAAUAACCAAUAGUGGAACCUGGAUGCUCAUAUUGGCUCUCACAUAUUCUACGAAGAUCUUUAUUGGUCAAACCGCAUAACAGCAUACGUUGUUCCCUUUCUCAUCGGUAUGUUACUUGCUGAAGAUUCGAUAGUCGGUAUCUCAAUACCUAGUUCAAUCUUGUUACCGAAGUCUCUUUCCUCGUUAUGUAAUGCAUCAUCCCGCAACUAACUCAUUAGUCACAUUGCUUGCAAGGCUUAUAGUGAUGUGCAUUACCGAGAGGGCCCAGAGAUACCUCUCCGACAAUCGGAGUGACAAAUCCUAAUCUCGAAAUAUGCCAACUCAACAAGUACCUUCGGAGACACCUGUAGAGCACCUUUAUAAUCACCCAGUUACAUUGUGACGUUUGGUAGCACACAAAGUGUUCCUCCGGUAAACGGGAGUUGCAUAAUCUCAUAGUCAUAGGAACAUAUAUAAGUCAUGAAGAAAGCAAUAGCAACAUACUAAACGAUCAAGCGCUAAGCUAACAGAAUGGGUCAAGUCAAUCACAUCAUUCUCUAAUGAUGUGAUCCCGUUAAUCAAAUGAAAACUCAUGUCUAUGGCUAGGAAACUUAACCAUCUUUGAUUCAACGAGCUAGUCAAGUAGAGGCAUACUAGUGACACUAUGUUUGUCUAUGUAUUCACACAUGUAUUAUGUUUCCGGUUAAUACAAUUCUAGUAUGAAUAAUAAACAUUUAUCAUGAAAUAAGGAAAUAAAUAGUACUUUAUUAUUGCCUCUAGGGCAUAUUUCCUUCACCAACGCCCACACACAUCUUGACAUUGUGCACUCAAUAAGGGAGAGUGUCUCCACGAGUCAUUGCUUCCACAUAUUUGGCAGCUAUCCGUAUGGCUCAUCUUUCUAAGACGACGAACAUCCUUGAAUGGCAACACAUGUUUUGCUAACCCCCAUAAGAAAGUUCUAAUCUUUCCUGAUACUUGGAUGUUCCAUAAUUAUGUCCAACACUUUUCCUCGACCCAAGCAUUUGAAUCUCAUCAAGCAAGCCCUCCUUUGGUUCAUAGGAUGGGAAUAUUGUAGGAAUAGGAACUUCAUAGGAAGUGAGAUGACAUGCAUCUCAAUUCCUAUAAAGAAAAAGAUGUCAUUUGAUGCAUCGGAUAGGAAUUUUUCCGUUGAGUCUAGGCUAAUGUUUAUUCCCCUUUGAAAUGUGAAGGAUUGAACCCUAUCCUACAUAGGAAUAGGAAUCCAUUCCUACAGACCAAAGGGCUCCAUAGGAAUUUUUCCUUUGAAAAUCCUAUCCUAUGAAAUUCCUACAAGAUUCCUGCAAACCAAAGGAGGCCCAAAUCUUCUCUCCUAUUUCUUGUGUUAACUAGCAUAUGGUAGGCCAAUCUAACUGAUAAGUACCCCUUUCUUUCAAACUGCCAUGCCCAAAAGUGUGUCAUUGGUGUCGUGCUUAAAGGAACGCCUCUGAUUGCUACCGCAUCAGAAGGAAGACAAUACUAUUGUAGUUUAUCCUCUCGCCACGACGCCGGCGUGUUGUCUAUGGGAUCACAAACAUAUAUUGGGGGAUCACUCGCCAAGCAUGCAACAUGCCUCAUAGUAGUAUCUCUUGGGCCAACCCAGUUCUGAGUCCAAAUCCGUGUCGAUGACCGGUUCCCAAUUCUCUUUAUGAGUCCCUGGGAGAGCACGCCCCUGCCUUGCAAUAUCGACCUCCAGACUUGGGAGGGAUGGGACCCGAGACCAGCAGCCAAAAUGUCUUACAAUGGGUAGUAUUUAGCCUUUAAGACCCUUCCACAAAAUGAUUGAGGCGUAGUCAACAACCGCCAUGAUAGUCGUGCAAGAAUGGCUAGGUUAAAAAGCUUGAGGUCCCUAAACCCAAAUCCCCACAUUUUUUGGUUGAGUCAUCGUUUUCUAAGAAACCCAAUGUGGUUUUCGCUGGCCCUCCUUACUGCACCAAAAGAACCGACGGAUUAGCUUAUUGAGAUGCUCACAAGGUCCUCGGGGUAGCUUGAAACAAGACAUAGAAUAAACCGGAAUCGCCUACCCCACCUAUUUAAUUAAAAUUUCUUUGCCGAUAAGAGUCCAAUAGGGUUGACACUUCCAUCGCCCAUAUACCAUCGGUCUUGAAUAACAACAGGCUACGUCAACAAAUAACAAGUGGUUAACUUGUGUCCGCUUCCACAAUCGAAUGCAACAUCUCCUGCCAGGAUGCUCCUUCUCCCGGAAGGUGUGGCACGAGAUCCUAGGCUGGAUCAGAUCAACUGCCGAUCUAUCGAAUGUGGACCCUAACUUCUACUCCUGGUGGGCCCACUCAUACGACCGUGCACCCGGGCCGGCGCGAAAAGGAUUGGCUUCCACCAUCAUCCUCGCCGCCUGGUGGCUUUGGAAGCACCAGAACGCGUGCAUCUUCGAUGGCGAGCGACCUUCGCUCUCCCACCUCACAACAUAAUUAGAGACGAAGCGCGCCUUUGGGCUAGGGCCGGCGUCACUGGGAUCCAUAAGAUCAUUCGUGAGGGGUAGUUUACUUACCCGCAGGGGCCGAGCAACCCCCUAUCUGUCUUCUUCUAACUCACGUUCAUGCCUUCUUGUGUACAUGGCUUAGUUAGUUGAUGUAAUUCCGUGCUGUAUCUCUCUUUAUCAAUAAAAAGAUACGCGAACUUUGUCUAUUCAUGAAAAAAAAAGUAGAUUAUUUUAUUUUUGAGGAUUACAAUCGAAUGUCGUAGAUCAGCCUGAAACGUACCACGAGGCCCAGGCCCAGCCUAGUCACGAGGCUCUCCCUCUGUCACCUCGCGCCGCAUCCUGAAACGUCGCUCUCUUCCCUCACCAAAAAAUAAAAAAGAAAGAAAAGAGAAAAAAAGGAAACGUCGCUCUCCCCUUCCUCCCAUCGCCUCCAGGUCUCCAGUGCUCCAUCCGCCAUCGCCUCCAGUGCUCCCGCCGCCAUCGCCGGCGCACGGCACUGACCGGAAAACACGCUCUCAGCUAGGCGCCAGCACCGCCGCCGCUUCCAGGUUCGGAGCGCGCUUGACCGGCAGCAGGCCUCCAUUGCCCCGGCCAGGUCGCAGGUUAGUAAAAAACCUAAGUCCGUCUACAGUUCGGCGGGCACCACUUCUGCUAUGUUGUUGAUAUUCUGCUUUAGUUAACACUAGAAUGAAGCAAAUUGAUAUUCUUGCCUGCAGACGCUCCUUCAAUCAGAACCCUGGGAUGUCUAGUUUGGUCAAAACUGACAUGUCAAAUUUGUGUGAACUCUUGUUGUUGUCGAUUACAAGCUAGCUAGUGUAAAAUUCUGCUUUCCUGUAUGGUUUCCUACUCUAAUUUCUUGUACCGCACUGUAUGAUGCGCACCGGUUCUACUCUCUCAAAUAAGAAAAAAAAAGGACAAAUCAGGGAGGAACCUCCUCGGUUCCAGUUUGUAUAGGAACGGGACCACCUUUUCCACCAACGUCCAAAGUUACGUAGGUUUAGAAACAAAAUAUACGUUCACCUUUUGUUACCUGAUGUCUACAGUGGAAAUGUUUCUCGAGCAACAGGUGUGAUGAAGUUUGCCUUAGUGAAGAAAAACAAAAAAAAUCCAGUAAAAUCUUGAGGGGAAGGGAAACAUGGUUAUUUGGUCAUGGUCAACCAUGUCGCCUCUUGUUAUAAUGGGAAAUAAAAACAUUACAAUGUCACCAGAGAAAUUAGUUCAUUCAGACGUUUACAAUGGAAAAUGUGUUAAAUCCAAAAAUGCUAGUUGCAAACUUGCAAUGAAGAUUUCACCCAAAUUUUCUAAACUGUCUCUUUGCUACAAUUUUAUGUAGGUGUAGCUCCAAGAACAUGUGUUCUGUGGCGUGUAUUGAUGGCCAAUAGCGAGUACGAGUAUGUGAAGAGGGAAUUCGAGUUCGACCAUCACCUCCCGGCCUCCAACUGGAUCAUUGUCUGCUUAGAUGGCUGUCAUUUCCACCGGUACUGUUCAUCUCUUCCUUCAAUAAGAAAAAAAAGUGGUUAAGCAACUGCAUAGAUCAUUUCACCAUGUCAAGUUCUUAAUCUUGUCCAUGUACCAAUGUCUUUUGCUUGAUUGUUGAAGUAUAAGCAUGUGGGAAACAUGCAAUGAAGGUUACUAUAUGCAUAUCUGGGAAUUACUGUUGCUUCAGAUUAUAAAUAGCUUAUCUUUGUUGUUCCAGUCUCCACUAAUUUCACUCCUCUUUUUGUUAGAUUCUCGAAGAUACACGCCUUUGAGAAACCAAAUGAUGAGAGCGCUUUAAGAUUGAUGAAUGCUUGUGCUAGUUCUAUCCUCGAGGAAUUUCCUGACAUAGUGUUUUCUUAUGGUGUUAGAGCAUCUCUAGCAGACCCCUUAAAAGAGCCAAAACUGUAAAAUAACUGCUUUUUACGGGAUUGAGCGGAAAAACCGACCCGGCCAGACCACUCAAAAUCGGCCGACCCGCAUAUUUUUUUGAGGGAAACCUUAAAAUAAGCCUCCAAUCCUGCAGUUGUUCAGGAUUCAGGGCAAAUUUUUCUGUUCACCUUAAAAAAAGACAGUUGGCGGGAGGGAAGUUUCAGGUCCAACCGCCAGAAUAGUUUUCAUUUUGAUCAAGAUCUAUCAUGUCAGUCUCGAUUCCGGCCAAAUUUCCAGCGGACAGGCCUGAUCUGGAGCGAUUCUAGUUGAUUUCGGUGGGCCGGCGCUAGCUCCGUGCGUGCUCCUUGGGAGGGACGGUGACAUGCCGCUGCUGCUGCGGCUGUUCAUAGACGGGAGGUACGUUGGCGUCGCCGACGAGGUGGUUGCGCUGCACGAGCAGUCGCGGCUCUGGUCGGUGCUCCGCCGAGCAGCCAGGCGCGUGCGAGGCGGCCUGCGAGGUGUGCGGCGACACCUGGUUCGUCGUGUGCGGAGGUGGACUGCACGGUGUGCGGCGGCAAGGAUUCAGGGAGAUGCGGGUGAAAGGAAGAAGGAGAAGACCACGGGGAAUAUUUGGUAUUACGGUAUUUUUUUUUGGGAUCCGUUCCAAUGUAGCCUGCACGGUACCACAAAACAGGUUUAAGGUUCCCCUUAUAAUGCUUUUACGGUACCGCGAUAUAAGGGAUCUACUAGAGAUGCUCUUAGUGAUGAGUACAGGUAUAACCCGUAUAACAUCUUCUCAUGAAAGUUAGAUUGUAAAAUGGAUGCAAAUUUUAUAUUAAAAAUUUGUAUGCAAAUACUUUUAUGAAUGGAGAUACUUUUGAAUUGCACGGGCUUUGUUCUCAGAUAAUAAUGUUAGGUUCUCAUAUUUCUGUUUGCUUUGCAGUUUUGUUUUCAGAGAGGGAACAGAAUUCUGUCAAAGACUUCUCUACCAAUAAUUGCAGCAAAAUUCUCUCUUUGUGUGUUUCUUACAUCACACCUGUGUAUGUGAUGAAGUUGAAAGAUUUCUUUCCAAAUAAAGAGUUGAGAGAGGCUCCAUAUUUUGAUGGGCGAGUUGUAUGCUAUCCAAAUAUGAAGACCAUUCGUGAUUAUUUGGCAUGGAGGCAACUGGACUGUAAGCUUCUUUAACUACAGUCGACAGUUUCCUAGUAUAAGUGAUAAGAUUCUUGUAUUUUGCAAUUGUGCAUGUUGAUCUCCUCUACAAUAACAUCUUGUCGUGUAUGUUAUUCCCCCAAAGUUGUAGAAACGUCAGCAAUAUUAAAUAAACACAAGUAUGGUGUAUGUAUCAUCAUUCAAUAGAUUUGUAUGUCCGGUUGCUCCGUUGCUUAGUUUGUUUUAGUUUAUUGGGUAAGUAAUGAACAUAUUUAAUUUGAGACGUGUGUUUCAGGUCAUAGAAAUAAUCAUUAAAAUACAUGCUUCUGGACAUUAGUGAUAUCUGAAAAAACUGAAAAAGAGGCACAACAAGCAUUGAAGGUAAUCUAAGUUUUAUAGAGUUUGAGUUGUCUUUUGUAUCAUUUGUAUAAAUUCUUUUUUGUGAACCAUCUAUUCUAGGGAACAUUUUCUAAGGAUAAAAACGAGUUGCUUUGACAACAGUUCCAAAUCAUCCAUGAUGAUGAAUCGACUAUGUUCCGAAAAGGAUCCAGUGUUUAUCGAGAUAACGUAAUGGUGUCAACCAUACAAAAGGAAAUCAUCAUUAAAUGUUCCUACUCAUUCUCAGUGACAUAAUUUCCAUGUUUCUGUCACAAGAUAUCGCUUGCAUGAUUUAUGCAAAUGACCAUCAUAGUUUCUAAUCAUAACUUGGUGCAGAGAUCAAUCUAGCAUUUCUGAAUUCGCAUCUGAUAUCCAGAUAGUUAAAUGUGAAAAGUCCCUCUAUACUUUAGUUUUGAGGGAUAAUCGGAACUCCGUAUUUGGCAUUUCACGCCAUUUCCUUGUCUGAUAUUGGUCGAAUGCUAUAAUUCUUCUAAUCAGCUGUGCAGAUUACGUAAUGUAUUUCUAUUGUGGGUCUGAUUGUUGAAUAAUGUUAUUUUGUGGGACAUGUUUUGCUCAACUCUUACUUAAGAACAGUUAACCCUGUAUGGUGCUCUUUCGAAUACUGAUGGAAGUGUUGUUGUACAUACCAUUGCAGGUAGAAACAACACUGAAAAUUGACGAUUAUGGGAAUCUUAUAAAAAGAACCCGGUUGGCAAUUACAGUGUCAAUUUUUGAUAUCAUAGGACAUGAGUUUCGAGGAAAACAUCAAAACAUUCUUCGAGAAGGUUAGUUGAAUCAUUAUAGUUUUUGCAAUGCUUCCAGUCCAGCUCCAGUCAACUUUUGAUACAUACAACCAGUACUGUACUGUAUACAACAUCGGUCUAACUGUGUGUUUGGGAGAAGAAAAAUAUAGAUACGAAUAUAUUAUAGAAGUACGAAUACAUCCAUAGGCUUCCAUGUUGUAAUUGAACUGUUGUUCAUAUCAGCGCCUGCCAAAUUGAUCAGUGAGGACCCCUAGUUUCCUAUUUAUGGAAUGUAUAUGCUCCAAUGCCAUUUACAGUUUCUUGUCGACAGUAGUACAAUAUGUAACAUCUGAAUUUAUCUGUUCAUCUACACCAGUAUGUAUGGUAGGACUAGGGUUCCUACCGGCUCUACUCCGUAGGUUAUACGGGCAGAACAGCGAGGGUUGGGGCCGAGGGCGGCGGCUCCGGCGUGUUGGCGCCGUCGCGAGGGAGAAGAAGGGCGGCGGCGGCUAGGGCAAGGUGCGGCUAGGGUUUCCGGCUCCUCUGGAGCCGGGCAAUAUGAUAGAACUAUCUUUAUUGCUUGAUCUCAAACGAUGUCUUACAACUAGUAUUUAUAACUUUAGCCUAAGAUAACUUGCUAAAAUAACUUGCCUAAGAUAACUUGUGGGUCAAGCCCCUAAGGCCUUGUACAAUGGGAGAUGCUUAGAGGAGGUGCUUAGAUAAAUAAACCAGACUUUUCUUAAGCACCGGUGCUUAUUUAUACAGGGUAGACGCUUAACUAAGCGUCUCUCCUGUAGAAGUAGGCACCGGUGCUUCAGAAAAUCUCGGUUUAUUUUUCUAAGCACCCCUCUAAGCAUCUCCCAUUGUACAAGGCCUAAUACUAAUGCCCGGUGGGCCUCUUUCGGGUAUAGACCAAACCGGUCAUAACAUCUCUCCCCGCCUGCGCAAACAGCUCGUCCUCGAGCUGAAAGUCUGGAUGGUGUUGGCGGAAUUCCUCACGCUGCUCCCAAGUAGCCUCCUCCUCCGGAAGGCCCGCCCACUGAACGAGGAUGAACCAGGCGCCACGACGGAGCUGCGCCUGCAACACCUUUGCCGGCUCUGGAAGAAUGCGACCAUCGGCGAUGGGAGGAAGCGCCGGAGGAGCCGCCGGUGGCUCGCCACGGAAAGGCUUGAGUAGCCCCACAUGGAAGACGUCGUGGAUGCGAGCGCGGGCUAGAAGCUGAAGACGAUAGGCCACCUUCCCAAUGCGCUCCAAGAUAGGGAAGGGCCCGGCGUAGUGAGGGCCGAGCUUGCGCUUCGCGCGUGGGUCGAGUGACUGCGUAGAGUGGUGGAGAAGACGCAGCCACACCCAAUCACCCACCGCGAACUCCGCCUCGCGAUGAUGAUCGUCGUAGUAGUGCUUGGCCAGCUGCUGGGCCUGAAGGAGACGCUGACGAACCUCAGCAAGCAUCUCGUCACGAGUGCGGAUGAGGUCACCCGCAACCUCCGUCCGAGCUGUCUCCGGAUCCACCGGAAGUAUAGGCGGGGGUGGUCGACCAUAGACCACCUCAAACGGCGUAGCGCGCAGGGGGCGGAGUGAUAAGAGGUGUUGUAGCAGUACUCCGCCCAAGAGAGCCAGUCCACCCAAGCGCGAGGCCGAUCACCUGUCACACAAUGCAAAUACAUGGCAAUGACCUUGUUAACCACCUCGGACUGACCGUCUGUCUGAGGAUGGAAUGCCCUACUCAGGCGGAGCUGGACACCCGCCAUCCUGAAGAGGUCGCGCCAGACGUGGCCCGUGAACAAUGGGUCCCGAUCACUGACGAUCGAAGCAGGGAACCCGUGUAGACGGACGAUGCCGUCGAAGAAGGCCCGGGCCACUGACGCUGCCGUGUAUGGAUGGCCGAGCGCGAUGAAGUGGGCGUACUUGGAGAAGUGGUCAACCACCGUGAGGAUGACCGACUUGCCGGCCACCUUGGGAAGACCCUCAAUGAAGUCCAUGGAUAUAUCCGCCCAGACCUGAGACGGCACCUCCAAGGGUUGGAGUAACCUGGCCGGCCUCAGGGUCUCUGUCUUGUUUCGUUGGCAUGUCUGAUAAGACCGAACCCAGCCGCGGACCAGGGCGCGAUCGCCAGGGAUGUAGAAGUCGGCGCGAAGACGAUGGAGGGUUUUCUGCAUACCCUCAUGACCCGCCGAGUGGGCGAGCUAUAACACCUGGUGACGGAGAUCAUCCUGCGCCGGAACAAAGACCCGGCGCCCAUGUAGGAGCAGUCCGUCAGAGAAGCGCCAAGGCUCCUCCAGGUCACCGGCCGUGAGCUGCUGCUGAAGACGGACGGCGUCGUCGGCCGCCGCAGUGGCGCGGCGAAUGUCGGCGAAGAGGCCGAACGUCGGCCCGGAGCGGAUGCACAGGGCCGCCCCGGCGGACUCGUCGGCGGAGGAAGCGAGGUCGGAGUCACGACGGGACAGCGCGUCGGCCACGGUGUUAAGGCGGCCCGGCCGAUACUCGACGGAGAAGUUGAAGCCGAAGAGCUUGCUGAUCCACUGGUGCUGCGGCACGGUCGACAGUCGUUGGUCCAGCAAGAACUUCAGGCUGUAGUGGUCGGUGCGAAUGUGGAAGGACCGUCCCCACAAGUACGUCCGCCAAUGACGAACGGCCUAUACAAGGCCAAUGAGCUCCCGCUCGUAUGCCGCCAGCUUAAGAUGACGCGGAGCGAAAGGCCGGCUGAAGAAGGCGAGGGGCCCAUCGCCCUGAUGAAGCACGACGCCGAACCCUGCGCCCGAGGCGUCACAGUCCACCACGAACGGGCGGUCGAAGUCGGGCAUCUGGAGGACGGGGCCUGUCGUGAGGGCCCCCUUGAGGGCCUCGAACGCCGUCGUCGCCUCGUCGUCCCAGGCGAAAGCGUCGCGGCGAAGCAACCGCGUGAGGGGCGCCGCGAUGAGCCCGAACUCCCGGAUAAAUUUUCGGUAGUAGCCGGCGAGGCUGAGGAACCCGCGGAGAGCCCGCGGCGAAUGAGGCGUCGGCCAUGCGGAGACGGCAGCCACCUUGUCGGCGUCCAUAGCCACCCCGUCGGCCGAGAUGAAGUGGCCCAAGUAGGCCACCGAAUGCGUCCCGAACGAGCACUUCGAGCGCUUAAGGUGGAGGUGGUGCGCUCGAAGCUCGUUGAAGACGAUGGCGACGUGCUGGAGGUGCUCGGCCCAAGACGCACUGUAGAUCAGAAUAUCAUCAAAGAAAACGAGCACAAACCGGCGUAAGUAGGGCCCGAGGACGUCGUUUAUCAGAGCCUGGAAGGUCGCCGGGGCGUUGGUGAGGCCAAAGGGCUUCACCAAGAACUCGAAGUGGCCGUGACGAGUCCGAAACGCCGUCUUGGCGAUGUCAUCCGGGUGCAUGCGCACCUGGUGGUACCCCGACCGGAGGUCGAGUUUGGUGAAGAAGCGCGCCCCGUGGAGCUCAUCGAGGAGCUCGUCGACCACCGGAAUAGGGAACUUGUCCUUAAGUGUGACCGCAUUAAGGGCAUGGUAGUCGAUGCCAUGGUUUUCGAGUCGCGACUCAUGCGAGUCGCUCUGGGGCAGCGACUCGGAAGAAAUCGAGCCUGCGUUGUGACUAGUCGCGACUCAGAGUCGCGAGUCGACACUAAGCUGAGUCGACCAUAUUUUUGUGACUCAUAGACUAGUCGUCGACUAGUCGUGACUAGUCGAGCGACUCAAAAUCCAUGGUCGAUGCAGAAACGCCAUGUGCCGUCUGACUUCCGGACGAGAAGCACCGGCGCGGUAAAUGGCGAAGUGGAGAGACGGAUGAUGCCUGCGGCAAGCAUGAGCGCACACUGUCGCUGCAACUCAUCCUUCUGCAACUGUGGGUAGCGGUAAGGCCGUACCGCCACCGGCGUGGAGCCUGGCAGAAGAUGUAUACGGUGAUCGUACGUGCGGGCGGGCGGCAGCCCCUGUGGCUCGGUGAAGAUGUCAGCGUGCUGCUGGAGGAGGCUCUCCAAUAGUGGGUGCUCGGCCGUGGCGGUGGUCGCGGCCAGCUGGAGUGGAGUGGUUGGGGCGACACCCCCAAUGCCGUCCCACCGAAUGCGGCGGCCCAACCGCCAGAAGGUCAUCGUCAGCGCGUCGAAAUCCCAGAGAAUAGGACCAAGAGUGCGCAAGAAGUCGACGCCGAGGAUGAAGUCGAAGCAGCCCAAGUCGAUGCCGGCGCAGGUGAUGGUGAAGUGCUCGUCGCCGAUAGUGAUGGGCACGUCGCGGGCGAGCCCGUGGCAGCGGAGACGGUCGCCAUUAGCGACUGUGACUUGCAACUGCUCACCGCCGGUUAGCUGUAAUGCAAGGCGCCGCAUGGUGGUCUCUGGCAGGAAGUUAUGCGUGGACCCUGUAUCCACUAGGGCCACCAGGCGCUCGCCUUGGAUCAUGACCGGUAAGAGCAUCGUCCGUUCAUCACGGAUGCCGGCCAGCGCGUGUAGGGACACCACGAGGACGGUGGCCGGGGCGGGCGCGGGUGCCGCUGCGGGCUCCGCAAGGGCUGGAGCGCCGAGGCCAUCCUCCAGUGUCUCCUCAGUCUCGUCUGUCGUCUCCAAGUAGAAGAGGCGGGGACAGACAUGGCCCGGUGCAUAGGGCGCAUCACAGUUCAAGCACAAGCCCAGGCGCCGGCGUUCCAGCUGUUCCGCCUGAGUGAGGCGCCUGAAUGGCCGCGUCGGUGCCGGGGUGGGUGCCGGGGCGGCUGUGGACGACGCCGGUGCUGCCGGAGACGGCCGGGGAGGCUGUCGGCCCCCACGUGGCGCGGAUGGACGCGUUAAGGCCUGGGCGCGCUGCUCGAACGCCCGGGCAUAGUACAUGGCCGUCUGAAGGUCUUGGGGCCCCUUCAUCUCGACGUCCACGCGGAUGUGGCCGGGAAGGCCGCCGAUGAAAAGCUCCGCCCGCUGUAAGGCCGUCACACCGGGCGCGUGGCACGCCAGGGCCUGGAAGCGGUCGGCAAAGUCCUGCACCGUGGAGGUGAACGGCAGGCGGCCCAACUCGGCCAAGCGGCUCCCGCGGACCGGUGGCCCGAAACGAAGAAGGCACAGCUCUUGGAAACGAUCCCACGGGGGCAUGCCGCCCUCGUCCUGCUCGAGGGCGUAGUACCAUGUCUGGGCGGCCCCGCGGAGAUGGUAGGAAGCCAGCCAAGUGCGCUCCGACGCGGGUGUGCGCUGUCCGCGGAAGAACUGGUCACACUGGUUGAGCCAGUUAAGCGGGUCGUCGGAGCCGUCGUACGUGGCGAAGUCGAUCUUGGCGAACCGGGGCGGCUGCUGGUGUGGCGCGCCCUGGCCCACUGCCUCGGCAGUGCGUAGGGCGGAUGAUGGUGCGCGGUCCAUGGUGGAAGGCCCGACGUAGUUCCCGGUGGCGCCCGACGCCUCGGGCUGCAACGGGAAACCGGACGGCGGACGGGCCUCCGGGUAGGCCGAUGGCGGCCUGUGAAGCCAGUCGGGGAGUGGCGAUGGUGAUGACGGAAAGCGAAUCUCCUGGAUCGGAAGCCCGCUCGGCGACGACCGGCCCAGGUUAGGGCUGGGAUGGGGCGGUGGAGGACCCUGCUCCGUGGCCGCUAGAAGGGAUGGCGCGGCGGGAGACGGCGCGGUCCAGGUGGGCCACUGCGGCCCUGUGGUGGCGGCGAGUGGCGCGGUUGCCGUCGCGAGCUGCGGCGGCCACUGUGGCCAAGGCGGCGGUGCGGCCGCCGGGGCGGGGAGCGNNNNNNNNNNNNNNNNNNNNNNNNNNNNNNNNNNNNNNNNNNNNNNNNNNNNNNNNNNNNNNNNNNNNNNNNNNNNNNNNNNNNNNNNNNNNNNNNNNNNNNNNNNNNNNNNNNNNNNNNNNNNNNNNNNNNNNNNNNNNNNNNNNNNNNNNNNNNNNNNNNNNNNNNNNNNNNNNNNNNNNNNNNNNNNNNNNNNNNNNNNNNNNNNNNNNNNNNNNNNNNNNNNNNNNNNNNNNNNNNNNNNNNNNNNNNNNNNNNNNNNNNNNNNNNNNNNNNNNNNNNNNNNNNNNNNNNNNNNNNNNNNNNNNNNNNNNNNNNNNNNNNNNNNNNNNNNNNNNNNNNNNNNNNNNNNNNNNNNNNNNNNNNNNNNNNNNNNNNNNNNNNNNNNNNNNNNNNNNNNNNNNNNNNNNNNNNNNNNNNNNNNNNNNNNNNNNNNNNNNNNNNNNNNNNNNNNNNNNNNNNNNNNNNNNNNNNNNNNNNNNNNNNNNNNNNNNNNNNNNNNNNNNNNNNNNNNNNNNNNNNNNNNNNNNNCGUGGCCCGGCGCGGUGCCGGGUGCCGGGAGGGUCGGCGCCGAGAGCGACGCCGUGGCGCCUGCCGAGAGCGAGGCCGUGACGCCUGGCGCGGAAGCGGCGGCGGUGGAGGAGUUGGCGUCAGCGGCGGUGGUGGCGGCGGUGGCGGAAUUGGAGGUGGCGAAGACAUGGUCGAAACCCGGGUACCUGAUACCAAAUUGGUAGGACUAGGGUUCCUACCGGCUCUACUCCGUAGGUUAUACGGGCAGAACAGCGAGGGUUGGGGGCGAGGGCGGCGGCUCCGGCGUGUUGGCGCCGUCGCGAGGGAGAAGAAGGGCGGUGGCGGCUAGGGCAAGGUGCGGCUAGGGUUUCCGGCUUCUCUGGAGCCGGGCAAUAUGAUAGAACUAUCUUUAUUGCUUGAUCUCAAAGGAUGUCUUACAACUAGUAUUUAUAACUUUAGCCUAAGAUAACUUGCCUAAAAUAACUUGCCUAAGAUAACUUGUGGGUCAAGCCCCUAAUACUAAUGCCCGGUGGGCCUCUUUCGGGUAUAGACCAAACCGGUCAUAACAAUGUAUGCAUUAAAUUUAGUUCUUGUUUAGUGUUUUACUGUGAUGAAUACUUAUCAAUGCCCUUGUCACUUCAUUUUCAUUUUCUAAUAGUAUCCUGAUGCAAGGGCUUAUCUAUAAUACCUAAAUAGCUCAUCCCCACUAUCUUAUUUCUCUUGACAUGCAGCCUAUCCACCUCAUAUGUGCCACAUCAGCAUUAUCAUCUUUAAUUUUUCCAAAGCAUUGCUUUUCUGAUGAGAAAUACCACUUCAUUUCUUAACCACACGCUGCUAUGUUUUUUUUCUGCCAAAGGCCCACAAGGCCCGACCGCACCGCUUCCUUAUGCACUUCGGUUUCCUUCCCGAUUGAUUUCCCCAUCAAAGCACGAGUCCGUCCGCUUCCUUCUCCACUUCCGUUUCUUCCCCACAGGAUAAAUCUUUCUCCAAUCCUCGCGUGUGCGGCGGCUGGAUGGUAAUCUCACGCGAGGGCGCUCCUCCGGAUAUGAGCACCAGUCCACUCCGACUCCCCUUCGAUGCCUCUCAGGGCGAUGGGAUGUGGGCCGAGCCAUGGUUCCCUUGCCGCCAAUCUAGAACGUUGACCAGCGCAGCCGAAUCAUUCUAAGCGCACGCCAUCGCUCUUCUCCAGGCUCUCCUGGCGCUGGCGGCCUCGGACGAGUCACAAGCGGCCUCCCGGUUGCGGCCCCGAUCUGGACGAGUAGUUCGGGUUCCAGCUGGAGGAGCUGUCAACAUCAAGGUCCGCGAGCCCAACCCAAAGAAAUGCCUAAGCAUCUCUUCUCCUUGCUCUCUCUCGAUUUGUUUUCAGGAGCAGCCGGUAUAUAUCCAUGCCUCAAACAGAGAUUGGGUUCUUUGACUUCGAGCUAGAUAUCCGUGCCACAAGUCAUCGACCCAGUUUCGGGAUUAAACAAUUUGUCCAGUUCUAUGUGGUUCGGCUGUGAUUGCCCCUUUGAUGAUUUGUCUGCACUAUUGUUCAUGUUCAAAGUUAAUAUAGUUUUUGUUUUAUUUUAUUUACAUGCAUGGCCAUUCUAUUGUUCAGGUUUGGACAUUUUUUAUUGAUGCAACUCCUUUUUGUUUUAGCUCUUCUGCUUUCAGGUAUGUAUAUGUUUUGCCUCCUGUCUUCUCCACAGCUGCCUCUCUCCCUCUUCACCUUCUCCAGCCUCAUAUAAAUCCCACUGCUCUCCUCUAAAAGGAAACAGAUGUGUUUAAUUCUCCCAGGUAACCGCUGCAGUACAUUUCCCCUUUUAUCAUUGGAGCUGCUCAUGAGUCAUGACCCUGCUCGAUAGUCGCUGGGUUUUGCCCUUGGAUAUUCGGCCACAUCCAUCGCGUGUUGGUGCCCUGCAUGUUGACCGGGACAUACCUGCGUCCUCACGCCACAACCCCUGUCCGUACAUGCUACCCCAGCAGCCUCCUCAUCGUACGUACAGCCCAUCAAAUUGUUUGCAAAACGAUGCUGAAUUGGAACUAUAUGUAUGGCCUCUUUUUCUGCGGUUUGUUCUUGCAAUCAUGAGCCAGAGGUUGGAAACAUCCUAGGUUGGGUCACGUUUGCGCCGUCGACGCCACCUGCAACCUAUUUCAACCCCCUCUGUACAAGGUUCUCCCUGAUUCCUCCAUUCCAAUCUCCCUGCACCAUGUUGUUCGUUAGAUUACUACCAUGCAUUUGACCUGUUGAUCGUUUUCGCCCUGCUUUCCUUCAGUAUAUUUAGAGAAUCAAUGUUCGUAUCAUGAAUCACGUCUUUGUGUUGAUAUUUUUUUCCCUAGCUCAUCACUAGGUAGUCAUGGAUUCUUAUUUUGCUCUUCUUUUGUUUUGACUGGGUGUAUAUAGUAUAAACAGACAUGCAUACACACUGGGUUCAGACUUCUGUGUAAACUGAAACAGGGAAUUAAUCGUUGUGCCAUGUUCCAAACUAAAAAUAGAGAAAAGUGGACAAAUGAUUGGUUAGCAAAUAUACAUAGCCGCAGGCAAAUAUAUUCUAGGUUGCUGACUGCACAAUCUGAACUAUAUAACUCUGAAAAUAUAUUAGACUCUUUCUCUUGGGAGUUUAGAGCUGUUGUAGCGUUGCUAUAUAAAUAGAUGUCCAGCUCACUUGAUUGUGUAAUAUAGAUGUGUAGGUGAGACAUCAAACUGAACCAUAAUAUCAGGUUUAGAGAUGCACAUGGCCAAUGAUCUCAAACGUGUGUGUGAUGUUUCAGCAUAUAUGCAGUUCUGGUCACUGACUGACAAAUUCGUAGAAAUACAAAAUCAGUACGUACAUUCAGAAAAAACGUGUUAUUAGUUUUAUCAUUGUGGCAUAUCUGCAGUUCUGGUCAUUGACUAACAAACUGUAUAGGCCACUGUAUACAAAACUACAAAUAUAUUAUGAUGUGGGGCUACAUGUAUAGACAUCAUCUGCACUUUUUUUGCAAGCUUCCACUUUGAUUCAUGUGCUCACCUCUUUAUCUUACAUUAGUGUAGAUUGCCAUCUCUGCAGAAUGUGAAGUUAGUUGUGUAGUUUCUUACUUAAAUUUGGUUCAUGACCUUUCACACAAAAUUCAUGAAAAAAAUCCCGCAGCAACGCGCGGGGCAUCAGCUAGUUACUGUUGUAGCUAGUUCGAACAACAAACCAUAAGAAAAUGAGCUGACUCCCUAUACUAUUCACAGGUCACAACAGGAUCCAGUACAAGACAUGCUUUUGGAUGCUAGUGAAGUCCAGAAAGGGCGAAAACGAAGCUUACGAUAUGCUGAAGGUCUUCUUUCAUCAUCUACGUAAUCUAAAUAUUUGUUUGCAUUAUCCUAUUCAAUUCUUCUGUUAUCUACAGUCCCUAACUUUCUACCGUUCUCUGAAGGUCAAAGGACAAGAACGAGUUGCUCUUUCAGCCGUUUGAAAUGAACUACAACAACGAACCGGCCAUGUACUGAAAGGGCUCAUGUGCUUACCGUGAAAAAGGUAUGUUUACCAUCAUCCAGGAACUAUUUUCAACAACAAUGCUGUUUGCGCUGCAGUUUCAUAUUAAGCAUUCCAAAAUAAAAUGUAGCGAUGCUGAAGAAACAAGAUUUACUUUGCCUAAUAAAAGAUUAAAGUUUUUUUUCCAACCCUGUGUGUAUUACAAUGAUGGGCUGUGCGGGGCGGCUUAUGGCUGUGCGGGGCGAGUAGGUGGCGGCUCAGGGCAUGGUAAUGCAGUGUCGGCGGUUGGCGGUGGCCCGCGGUGCAUCUUCUCCUUCCGCAGCGUCCGGGAAGACGAGGGGAUCCGGCAGUCUGCUGGGUACCCUGCUUAGCACCCCAGGCACAGCCCGCGUGCGUCGCUGCUGGAGGUAGUCACCCCCCGGCGUCGCUGCUGGAGCUAGUCACCCCCCGGCGUUGCUUCCUGGCAUCUUUGCGUGGGCGCUGUGUCCGGUCCUUGGUCCCGUGCACCCACCUCGCCCGGAGUGGAGGGAGUCCUGCGGGUACCAGAUGUGCGUAGCAGCAGCCUUGUGUUCGCCACCAAUUGCGUGCACCAGCUCAUCCCCACCCACGCCUGCUUCGUGUCUCUCCCGCGUCGAGAUGUUAUCCGUUCCAUAACCUCCAGAUGCCUCUGAAAAUAUGGCAUUCUAUCGGUUCCUCGUCGACGCGCUGGUCUCGUGGUCCUCGAAGCGCCAGCCCACGGCGUCCCGCUCCAGCGUGGAGGCAGAGUACCGUAGCGUGGCCAACACCGGGCCGAGUGUGUCUGGCUUCGACAACUCCUCGGCAAGCUCUGCUGCGCGGUCACCACUGCAACGCUGCCAUGCUGGUCUACUGCGACAACAUCUCUGCCGUGUACCUAUCCAGCAAUCUCGUUCACCACCACGGCACCAAGCAUGUCGAGCUGGACAUCCACUUGUAUAAAUCUAACCUUGAUCAAUGCAAUCGGUGUGUUCCCCCUGUAUAAGUCUAACCUUAAUGGCUUCUGCACAGAGCGGAUGACUGCAGGUGGACGAUGCUGCGAGUGGGCGGUGGCGCACGUCGACAUGAGGCCAGAGUUUUGGAGAACGCAUCGUCGUGGUCGUGGCUUUGUUAGCAGGUCGCAGGAACAGGUGAUGACUAAGUAGGAGUAGUUCUCAUCAUUGUCUCAAAGAAAACGUGACGGUUUAUUACGGCUGGAUAAUACAGCAAGGUCCGGCGUUCGAUCUCUGGACCGUGUAUUAUAC
rnacentral:lncRNA from 1 species